rnacentral:lncRNA from 1 species
AAUUCCUUCUAUCUAUGUAUGUAUAUAUAUAUGCUAAAAAAAGUAAAAAAGAGAAGAAAAGACUAAAAAGGUAAAAGAAAGAAUUUUAUAUUUUCAAAUUUUCCAAUCAAUAGGAAGAAAAAAACUUCAGACAAGAUGGAUGAUGCAGUACAUGACCAUAUCUAAAAAAAGGUUUAAAAUUCAUACCAUUUUUCAUGAAACUAAUACAUGGUAUAGUGUGGUUCCAAUUGAAUUUGAGAACAAAAUUUAAUUAGUACAAUUAAGCACAUACACAUUAAUUUUUUUAAAAAAAAAAUGAACAAUAGACGAACAUUUAAGGCUAUUUUAAGGAUAGAUUAAAAAUACAUAAACUAAAAUUAGAGAAACUAAAAUUAAAGCAUUUUGAACAUACAAAGCAAAAUAAAAUUUUGGGAUCCUCAUGUUCAUAUAGAGUGUAGAGUAAUUGUAAAAUAUGUAUAUCCAAUAAUAGUGCGAAACGUGUCUCAAAGCAGUCGGUAUUCGUCAAAGUUUUAAAAUAUACAAUAUUGUCCCUAGUCUCUCUCUCUCUUUUUUCUCUUUUAUAAUUAAUAACGUUUCUAUCAAACUCUUUUCAAUCAAAGUAUCAUGAUUUAGACAAAAGAACUAAAUUUAUUUAAAAUAAUUUAUAAAUGUCAUUUAUUUUUUUUAUUAGGUUUUCCUAAAUUUUGAAAACAUUUAUAAUCUUAUAAAAAUUAUUAAUUAUAUAUAAUUUUUUAAAUUAAAUUCAAAUAAUUUUCUUAUUUAUAUUAUACUAAAUUAAUUACAACUUCCCCUGUUAACUAUAUUAUGAAAAUUAAUUAGAAAUAUUUUGUUAAUUCAAUAUAAAAUGAAAAUUUUUUAAUACAAAAUUAUCUAAUGAUUAAAAAUAACAAUAUAUCAUUUUGUGCAUCAUCCUUUAACAUUCUGAGACAAAAAUUCUAACAUCGAUAAAAAUUUCUUUCUUCAUAAUUCAAUGUCGAUCGUUUCUUCCAUCAAUUUCAUUCUUAUCAAUAUCGCUAUUCAAUUUGGUUCUUAAUUUAUUUCAAACUUUCGUUUUAUAUACAACUUUAAGUUAGUUGUCUUCUUCAAUUACUUUCUUUUUUCUUCAAAUUUCAAUCAAUUACUUUCAUUUUCCUUUUAUUCAAAUUUCGUACUUUACCAAUAUUUUGCGCACACAUAUAUACAAUAUGACAUAUGUAUUAUUCUUUCUUUUUUCAUUUCGUAGCAUAUAUUUUUUUCUUCAAAAAUUUGUUCUUUCUUUUUCAAUUUCGUAACAUAUAUUUUGGUCAUGUUCUUCAUAUUUUGUUUAUUUUUUUAUUGUUCAGUUCAUCUUCCUGUUAUGUUCGACACAUAAUUUUUAUUAAGUGUCCCGUCGUUCGUAUAUACUUUAGUAUACCACUGAAUAAUAAAUUUAUAUAAUGUGAUUUAUAACAUAUAUACUACAACAUAUAUUCAAUAAUACAUAUACAUAUUCUUUUUUCAUGUUUUGUGAUUUUUCUUACGACGUAUAUAUACCAAUAUAUACACAGAUUAUAUAUUUAUUAAAUAUAUUUUUUUUAUAUGUUUCUUACAUAUAUAUAUAUGCUACUGAAUAAAUUGUUUAUGUUUUAUGAUUUGUUAUAUAUAUACCAAUCCAUAUAUUCAAUAGUACAUACACUUUUUUUUAUGAUCUGUGCUUUUUUCUUACUACAUUUAACACGAAUUAUGUAUCUGAUCAGUAUUUUUUUCUAAUUCUUAUAUAUAUACUACUGCAUAAUACAUAUAUCUUAUGUAAUUUGUCACAUAUCUAUACUACUUCAUAUAUUUAAUAAUACAUAAAUGAUGUUAUCUUCGAUAUACUCAAUAUAUCAUAGUGUAUUUCGAAUACAAAAUAUAAAUUCUUACUAAUUUUAAAAGAACAAUAUAUACUAUAAUAUACACGUAAUCACUGUCGUUUCAAACAUAACUUAUUAUUUAUUACAUAUAAAAUAAAUAUUUGAAAUAAAAUACAUAAACCAGUUUAACAAAUUGAUAGCAUAACCUUUCAUUCAUAAAAUAUACAUGUAUUGUUUCAUAUAUACUAUUUAUAAACCAAUUUAAUAUUCAACCAUUUUUUUUCAUACAAUUUUCUGGAUCUUCAAUUCUUUCAUCAAAGUCCAUACAUUCCAACAUAUUCAGUUUUUUUCAACAUUACGUAUACCAGAGAACAACUGGUAUUUUAAAUGGCAUAUAUUACAUAUACUAAUCAUCAUUUUUUCUCAUUCAUGUUUCUGUAAACAUAAACAACUUUCAUAAAUAAUCAAUAUUAUUUCAAUCAUAACGUAUUAUUUACUACGUAAGAUAUGAAUAUUUAAAUAAAAUACAUAAACAGAUUGAUAUAAGAAUCUUUUAUUAAUAUUAUUGAAAACGUAAAAUAUGUGAAAAAUAAUGCAAAAUAAAAGAAAGAGAUUGGAAAGUGAGAAAGAAAUCAAAAGGAAUUUUUUUUUUUUUUGAAAAAAGUCAUAAAAAGAAAACUAAUCCAAGAGACAAUUUUAAUUAUUAAUAUUAAUAUAUUAGCAUUUAAUCACUUACCAUAUUUACAUAAGAUAUCUAAUAAAUGCAAAUCAUAAACAUGGUUCACUUUUCUUUUUCAUUUUUCUAUUUUUUAAUAUAUUAUUAAUAAUAAAUAUGGGUAAAUUGAUCAUUUAGACCCUAUAUUUAUGUAAAAUAUUAGUCAAUUUAAGACAUUUAUGAAAUUUUGAGAAAUUUAGGUCAAUCUUGUAAUAUGAUAUACAAUUUUAGGCCAUAUUAGUUAAAGACCACAAAAACAAUAAUAUAAAAACACAAGCACAUUUAGUUAUAACUUAACUAAUUGAAACACCACGUAUAAAUAAUUCUCAUUUUCCUUCACUCCAUUGACGCGAUUGGAGGAGAGAAAUAUUUAUAAAGGAUAAGGUAUUAUCAUAAUCCUAAUGUUAUGAUAAUAUGUGUUUGAAGAAAGAUUUAUUAUUGGUAAUGUUAUGAUAAUAUGUAUUUGGAGAAAAAAUUAUGAAUGGUUAUGUUAUGAUAGUAUGUGUUUGGAGAAAAGAUUAUAAUAGGUAAUGUUAUUAUAAUAUCGGUUUGGGUGAAGAAUUAUGAAAAUUAUUUAUUAUUAUUUUUUUAAAUUCGUAUUCUAAAGUUAAUACACGAAAUUGUCGUAUUCGUAUUCGUAUAUUUAAUUUACCAAAUUGUCAUAUUUUUUGUAAAAUAGGUUCCAUUAAUUUUCUUAAAUGUGAUGUCCAUUUUCAACGUUUUUUAUGCGAGCAUUUCAUGCCAAUAAAUUAUCAAUUUUUUAAAACUCGUAUUCUAACUUCAAUACACAAAUUAUAUAUAUUUAAUUUAUCAAAUCGUCUUAGUUUUCGUAAAACAAUUUCCAGAAAUUUCUUCAAAAACGACGUUCAUUUUCAACAUUUUUUAACGUUGGGUCGUUACGUGCGAAUAAAUUAUAUUUUUGUUUUUAAAUUGAUAUUCUAAAUGCAAAAUACAAAUUGUGUAUAUUUAACUAUUUAUUUAAACUAAUGACUAACAACAUAAUUUCAAUUCUAACUCAAUUACAUACUUUAAACACAAAAAUGUUAUAAACUGAAGUCAAUUACAUAGAACACAACGCAUAAGCAAAAAUUAUUAUGAUUAUUUUAAAUUCAUAUUCUAACUCAAAUACACAAUUUUCGUAUAUUUAAUUUACCAGCUUCUCAUAGUUUUCGUAAAAGAAUUUGUAGUAAUUUUUUUAAAUACAACAUGCAUUAUUAACAUUUUUUAUGUAAUUGUUACGUGCGAGUAAAUUAUUAGUAUUUUUAAAAAUUCAUAUUUUAACUCUAAUACACAUAUUUUGUAUAUUUAAUUUACCAAAUCAUCCUAGUUUUUGUAAAACAGUUUGCAGUAAUUUCUUUAAAUAUGAAAUCCAUUUUCAACCUUUUUUACGUAAUUGUUACGUGUGAUCAAAUUAUUAAUUAUUUUAAAAAAUUCAUAUUCUAAAUCCAAUACACAAAUUGUAUAUAUUUAUUUUACCAAAUUGUCAUAGUUUUCGUAAUGUAGGAGCGAAAAAAAAAAAAAAAACUGGUCAAGCGAUGUAAUCACAAUAAAUUACCUAAUUCAAGAGUACAAGAAAAAAUAAAAAUUUUAAAAUCACAUAAUUGUACCAAACUCAUAAAUGAGAAAAAAAUAGAUUAAAUAAUAUUUAAACUUAAAUGAGUUAAUUAUAAAUAAGAAAAGGUUAAGGAAGUGUUGUGGAAGUGUUAAGGUAGGAUUGAGGGGUUGAGAAAGGGUUAUGAUAACCUUUCUCCAAAUAAGGAAAGGGUUAUAUAACCUUUUCUCCCAUAACUCUUUCACUCCCUCCAACACAUCUUGUCCUUGGAAUUGCCUGUAAAAGAAAACUAUUUUUCUAAAGAAUACUAUAUAUAUAUUUAUUUAUAUAAAAUGAGUUUAAAAUCUACACUUACAUGUUUGGUUCGAUCUCUUUAAAAGUAUUUAUAUGCAAAAUUGUGUUUUGUUUUUCCUAUAUUAACAAUGUUUAAACAUAAGUCAAAUUAUCAUAAAAGAUUAUUAAACAUUAUGAAUUAAUUUCAUAAAGAAAUACAUACAUUUUGAAUUUUUUUUUCAUAAAUAUAUUUUAAAAUUAAUUGCAAGUUAUCUUAAAAUUAUUAAUUUUUUAGUUACUUGAAAUUAAACAUUAAUUUCAUUUUUUUUGUAUUAAUUUUCUUUAGUCAAUUCAAUUUUGAAAGCCCAAGUAUCUUGAAAUGUAAAUACAUAACCAUAAAAAAAUUGAUUUUCAACAAUAAAAUAUAAAUAAGAUAAAUAUUUUUCGAAGACAAUAUAAUAUCAACUAGACAAAAAAAUGUGCAAUUCAACCACAUUCUUUAUUCAUCUUCAUUUCACGAAUCGAACGAUCAUGUUUUUCAUUGACGUCCUCAUGAUUUCUUUUACAAAUGUUAAGACAAAGUAGAUUUGGCUAAGAAAGAAACAUUUGCAAAUCCCUAUAUUGAAAUGUAUAUGAAUAUACAUUGAAAAAAUAUUAUUCAAAGUGUUUAAAAAUAAAAAUAAAAAACAAAAACAAAAAGAAUGACGUAGUGAAAAAUAGAUACUAAAAAGGAAUAGACAAAAUAGAGAAAGAAAAAUAGAUAUUUGGGAGGGAUUUCUCGUUAAACACCAAAUAAACAUUUAUUCUAAAAUUUGGUUGAAUGUGUUUCCUCUAAAAUGAUUUAUUUCAUAACCUCAUUUUUUUCUAAAAAUUAUUGUAAACCAAUAUCAAACACCUCAAUUUAUCUUAAAAUAAAUUAUUUUAAAAACUAAACACUUAAAAAAUCAAUUCAAACACACCUCAUUCUACUUCAAAUUCAGUGGUUGUAACAAGUUUGUACGAAUACAAUUAAAAGUUUGAUGAAGUGUUAGUAUUUUAUGAUUAUCCGUUCGUAACCAUUUCGUUUUUAGUUCUUCUUAUUAUUCCUCCCAAUUCCUUACACUCAUUAAUCAUUAUGAUUAAUAAGUGUAUGCAUCUUUCUUUAAAUUAAUUUGUAUUCUUUUAAAUUUUAAAGAAUCUAAAAUUUCACUAUAUUUGUAAAUAUUUUGAGCAAUUUUGUCAUUUAUAAAUAAUUUCCUUUUUAAAGACCACUAUUGGUAACUAUUUUUGUUUCCAGUUUCUUAUUUUUGAAAAUUAAUCCUAUUUUUUUCUUAAAUUUCUUAUGAUUGUAAUUGAGUACAAAGAGUUCAAUUUUUAGCCAAACUCCAAAAAAAAAAGUUUUUAAAAACUAAUUCUUUUCAAAGUUUGAUUUACUUUUUUAAAAUAUUAGUAAAAAUUAGAUUAAAAAAACAAUAAAUUUAUGGAUGAAAAACCUAUUUCAUUACCUCAUUUUCUUGUUUCUUUUCUUCUAUUUAUAUUGAUCUUGAAAUAGAUUAGUCAUUCUUAAGUUCCUAACAACAUGACAACUCCUACAUAGAACUUUACACGUGUAAACUUAACGUUUAUCUUAACCUUACACGUAAACAACUAUCAAAUCAUGAUUAGACAUUUUCUUGUCUGGCUGCGUUUCACAUUGAACUUUAGAACGCCCAAUUCUUGUGUUGAAUGUGUACUUCUUCAAAACUUCAAUGACGGUUUCAAAACGCAUGCUCUUUAAAAUGCCUUUUCUUGAAAGUUAGUCAAAAUGUUGUCCCUUCUACUCAAACAUGGGUCCUACAAUAUCGGUUGGGAAAGAAGCUUCCCGUACUAGAUGUGAAGUGUGCUGAUGGUGUUGAACAACUGAAAGACUUAAGUAGCCAAGCCCUGCACAUGUGGGAGAUGGUGGUUUCUUUAUUCUAGUUCACUUGUAGAGCAGUGUCAGUUAGGCUCUUCAUUAUAUCCUCCAAAGGAAUACCAGAUUCCUCGCCACCUUUUUGGUUCGUAGCAUAGUUCAUCUUAGCAACAAGUUCUUGAGGGUGUUGUUAUCGUGUAGUGAAUACAUGUUUUACAAGAGUUACCUCAGUAAGUUCAACUCUAAGUUCACUUAGCUCUUGUGACAAUGUAAAGGAUAAAGGGACAUAGUUGUCACGAUGUGCUCGCGACGAGAGCGGUCAAUGUCCUUGUUUAUUUAAUUUUAAUAAAUAAAUAGGUUUGGAGUCACCACUAACCAUAUUAAGAUGUGAUUGGUCACCCAAAUAUUUUUUUUCUAAGAAAAGGUCUAUGUAAAUUCAUGAGAUUUAAGUUCGGGAGUUAGUUGUGUGCAGUGAAUUUAAUACUCUACAACACACAUAAAAUGGUUACCUAAAUUUAUCUUUUAAACUAAAUUAAAGAAGGUUUCCAAAACAAAGUUUUUUAUUUUUAAAUAUCUCAUGGUUCUCAAUUCAUAUCAAAGAAAAUAAAACCUAAGCAUGAAUUGAUAAUUAUGGGUGGCAUAAGAGCCAAUGGAAACAUGAAGUUUAUUUUUUGUAUCAAAAAUAUAUUUUUUUAUUUGUUUAUCUCAAGAAUAUUAAGAUACCAAACUUUGAUAUUUUAAUCUUCAUCAUAGGUGUUUAAUGAGAAAUUUCAUGUAUCUAAUAAUUAAUAAAUUCAUAAAAAACAAUACUUAGUCCCAUUUAAAAUAUGAAAUUGCUUAUAAUCUUAAAUACAAUUUAUUAAUUAAAUUUCAAACGAAAAAAUUUCAUGAAUUUAUGGAAUUUAAAUUACAAAACCCAUAAAAAACAAUAUUUUUCUCUGAAUUAAAUUUCUAUAUUUAAAUUGGAAAAUAAAUAAUAAUAAUGAUGACGAUAAAAUAAUGGGAAAUUCGAGAAAUAUACAUGUGAAAUAGUUAUAUAGGUUGUGUAAAACUGGUAGGCAGGCCGUGAAAUAAGUAAAAUAAUACGAUGAGAUAAAAUAAUAAAUAAUAUAGAGACAAAAAAUACAUAGAUAAAAUAAUAUAGAGAUAAAAUAAUAACAUAAGCAUCCAAAUAAAUAAAGCAUGAUGCAAAAUAAAACACGAUCCAGGAUGCCAUGAUGCAAAAUAAUUAAUUAACGUUGAAUAAGGUAAUUUAGGUAGAAUGUGAAGAUGUCAAAUAAUUAAUUAAUGUUGUUAGGGUUAAUUUAUUAAUGCAUGAUGCAAAUAAUUAACACAUGAUGUCAGAUGAAUAAUUAACACAUGAUGUCAGAUGAAUAAUUAAUGCAUGAUGCCAAAUAAUUAAUUAAUAAUGACAGGUUGCAAAUAAUUAAAUAACAUCGGCCAUGGUAAUUAAGGAAAGACGUGAGGAUGCCAAAUAAUUAAUUAGGAUAGAAUGACAUGAUGCAAAAUAAUUAAUUAACACAUACUAGGAAAAUUAAGGCAAGAUGCCAAAUAAUUAAUUAACGAAUGUCAAAUGGGUGCCAAAUAAUUAAUCCAAGAUAUGCUAAUUAAUUAAUGCAUAAUUUCAAAUGAAUAAUUAACGUGCGAUGCCAAGUAACUAAGGCAGGAUGCCAAAUGGAUAAUUAACAAUGUCAAAUAAUUAACACAGAAUAUAAGAUACAAAUAAUUGAAAUGAAAAAUUAAUAUAGGAGACUAAAUGAGUGUCAAAUAAUUAACGCAGAAUGCGAAACAAUUAAAGCAGCCAAAUGAGUGCAAGUAUUCAACACAGUGAACCAUGAAUUGAAGGGCACACUAAAUUUGAAACACCAGUAAUUUAAUUAGCCUAAAUCUAAAAACAACUUAGUAAACCAAACCGGCCGGACUUAAAUCAAAUAAAAUUGAAACCACCCUAAAAAUUCAAUACAAAAAGAAUUAAAAAUAUGCAAUAAUGACCAAACCAAUUGACAUCCAAAAAAGAAAAAGAAAAUACAUUUGAAUACCAUAAUUUGGAGAAAACGUUAGUUUUCUCAAUCCUCGCAAAUGACAACGCACGUGAGAAGAUUUUUUUGUGCAGUAAAAAGUGUACUUUCCUUUAAACAAAAUCUCAACCUAUCUCCUUUAGACAAAUCUCCGGUUAACCUUUUAGGGCCUUCUGGUUGCCUCUUGGUGCAAAUGAUUGUGCCUUUGGCCUUAGCUUCCACCUUCAACUUGUCAUUCUUCACCUUUCUCAACCAAAAUUCCUCAGUGCAAUGAGAAGGUAGCACGUGCUCUACUCUGAUAUGAAUUCUCUUCAACCAAAUAAAAACUUACCUUAUUUAUAGACUUUGUCGUGGCCAUUAAAAAUUUAUAUAUUUGUCUAUAAUUUAAUUAUUAGUAUUUUCAUGAAGUGAUGUAUCCAUUCAUGAAAAACACACAAGCAAUAACUAUUUAUUUAAAUAGUUUGAUCCGCAAUGAAAUUAUGUUUCUUGAUUACGGAUUUGAGUGUAGAUUCACCCUACAUUUCAUUAUAAUUACAUAAAACAAGUAAAUAACACUAAAUGUAUUUAAACGAGGCUAACCUAAUAGAUAAAUAAUGUAAAUGAACCUGACCUAAAAUCAGACCAGUUUUGCAAUUUAACCGUUUUUUAAAAAAGAAAACUAUUAUUAUUAUUUUGAAAAGUGUCAUUCUAUGUUACUUAAACCACAUUUGAAAAAUAAAAAGUCAGUGCCGUUCAUACUUCAUUAUCAAAAAUUGUCAUACUCACCACUGAAAUUGUUUAUUUUAAAAAAUUAUUGAAUAAAUAAAACGCAACACGUGGAAUUAUCAAUUUAAAAAAUAAACACAAUGGAUAAUCACAAGCUAAUCCAUUCAAUUUUUUCUUUCUACAAGUAGAAAUAUUCUCCCCCAUUAUAUUGAUUUUUUUUUCUCAAAGGAAUUGAAAGUAAUACAUAUUAAUCAAAUAAAUCAAUAACAACUACACAUCAAAUUAAUUCAUCAAAUUAUUAUUAUUAUUAUUGCCAAAUGACGUAAACAUUUAAAACAAAGUAUUAUUGUACUGAAUUUCAUCCAAUUAGUUUAUUAUCCCACCAAAUUGCCGUAAUUAACGAUCCAACCACUAAUAAUCAAAAUUUUAAUUUCUAAUCCUAAUAGACCAAUCUGAAAAUAUAAAAAUCUUUCUAAAUAAUAAUAAUAAAAUAAUAUAUAAAUAAUAAAAAUAGUGAAAUCUAAAAAUCAUAUGUAAAAUUUCAAUUUUACAACUACCUUUAUUCUAUUUAUUCUACUUGUGGCACAUGUAUUAAUUUGGUAAAGUGAUGUUAAAAUGAUUCGCAGAUGUUUACAAAUCACACACACCUUAUUUCUAUAAUGUUCGACUAUGCUAAAAUAAUUUAAAAAUUGAUACAAACUUUAAAGUAUUUGAAUAGUUAGAAUAAACAAUAAUAAGUUGACUUUAGAGUCUAAAAAAUGGCCCACUAAUUAUUUAUGAUCUUAAAUUAGUCCAUAGGCAUAUAUGAGACAUAUUUUCAAUAUUAAAAUAUGAGAUUACAAAUAUUUGUGUGGAGACUUAUUUGAAUACUACUUUUUGUUAAUUUUUUUCAACUAUGCAAUUUUAAUGGAUAUCUAUAUAAAUUAGUCCAUAGGCAUAAAGUAAAUUAGUCCAUAAGCAUAAAGUAAUCAUAUGUUAACAACAUAAUUGACUUUAUAUCUUCCCUAUAUGGUUACCCUUUUUGAUGUACAAACCAGAAGAUGUACAUUUUUUAUCUAGUGGGAUUAAUUGGAUUUUAUUUCUUUUUCCUUUCUUCCUUUUUCAAGUGGAUUUACAAGUAAACAAAAUUUAAAGGAAUUAAAAAGGAAAAAAACAAACAAACAAAGGGACUUCCAGAGGCUGAUUCUGAUCUUUACAUGGUACAGAAUUUGUUGGCUAUCUUGGUGACCUUAGUGAAUCUACAUGGGAUUUACCUUGAGGACCUCUCGUCCGAAUGAAAAGUCGGUAUUCGUCAAACGUCAUUGGAGAAUAAAGUGCGGGUCUAUCUCUCGUAAUUAGCGCUUUUGUUGGUCCUAUUGGAAUAUCACUCUUGGGAUUGUAGAAGAAAGCUAAUGAAACACGUUCUUUAUCUGAGUUCACAAUUACUCUAUGCUCCACACUUCUGUAUAUUGCAUUGCUUAGAACCUAUUUCAAAAUAACACAACAAUUGAAAAACAAGUGAUUUAGAAAUUAAUUUCAUGAUUUUUUUAAUUAGGGUUUUAAUAUUACGAGCUUUCUUGGUAGAGAACUUUUUCAAGUCCACCUCUAAACUAUCUCUAAAUUUUAACCUAUGUCUAAUAAGUCUUUGGAAACUUUUAGUCUUUUAGUUAUGUGUUUAUUAGAGUUUUUUUUAAACAUAUUUAUAAAAAAAUUAAAUGAUAUGAUAUAUUUUAUAUAAUAAAUAAAGGCUUCAACUUCUAGGUACGUGUCUCAAUAGAUUUUGUAAUUUUUUUCUUUUACAAAAGUUGAAUAGAUCAUUAAUUUAUCAGUUAUAGAAUUGAAAUUUAAAAAAAAAUCUACACAGACCCAAAUUUUAGAAUUAAGAGAUUAAAUAAACACAAAUCUAAAAAUUUAAAAACCUAUUAAAUACUUUUGAAAGGUAAAGGAAGACUAAAGUUAUAACUUAAAAGGAUGGUGGGUAGGAUUGAAAUAUUUUAAAUGCCAAGUGUAAGAUUGAAUUAAAAAUCAAUUUAUGUAACUUAGGUAUAUUCUCACCUUCCAGAACUACUUAAUAUGAAUAUUGGCCAACAUAAUUUGUUUUGAAAAAGAAAAACAUAUCUCUGUUUGUCCAAAAGAAUAAUAAUUAUAAAAAUAUCUCUAUUAUGAAAUUUGGCAUUUUUUUCUCCUCAAACAAACAAUAGAAACUAAAUGAAAAGGUUAGAAGAUUUUUGUCGAAUAUAAUUUUGGUCCUUGUAAAAAAUAAACAUAGGAAAAGAAAAGUUUUAUUUAGAGAGAGCAUAAUAGAUUCUAAGAAGUGGAAAAAAUGGUCCAAAAACAAAACAAAGACCCCUCCAUGUGCAAAUGGCCAUAGAGAGAGUUCAAAUAAGAAACGCCUUUUAUUUUAGACCAAGUAUUAAUAUAUAUCCAUUACCAACUAAACAAAUAAAACAAAUAAAACAAUUAAAACAAUUAAAACAACUAAAACAAUUAAAACAAUGCUUACGUAACACUGAGAUAGUUCCAUAGUUGGAAAGGCAACUAGGCAGUUGACCAAUAUAACUAGUGAAGAGAACAAACCUGAACUUGAUCCCCCACAUUAACUAUAAUAGCAUGAGGAGCUGGUUUCACAGUAAUCCAUUUAUCGUCUUUUCGAACCUGAAGUCCAGCAACUUUAUCGUCCGGAAGUAGGAACGUCAAUCCACCGGGGUCGGAGUGCGAUGAUAGCCCCAACGUCAACUCCGGUUGUGGGCAUUUUGGAUAAUAAUUCACUCUCAAACAUGCUCCAACAUCUUCUCCUCCAAAUGCAUUUUGUAGGUACCCUUCUUGAAGCCCCAAAUUUAGUGAUAAAAGCUUCAACAAUUUUCCUCCUACCUUCACUACUUCUUCCCCAUACUCCUCUGUCAAUUCUCUACAUUAACAAAAUAAUCCAAUUUCAUUUCUUUACCAAUUAGUUCCAGAUUUUUAUGUUAAUAGGAAUAUAUAUAUAUUCUCUUCAUGUAAAAGUUAAAGUUUUAUUGGUUAUUGUAGACUUAUAUUCUCACCUUUAUCCCAUGAGAGUAAAAAAUAUGGAUGGAAAUGACAUUUAUGGGGUGACUUUGACUUAUUUUUUAUUUUAAAAAUUUUUAGAUAAGAAUCGAGUUGAGUUAGGUUGGGUUGGAUAAGUACCUGAUAGAGUUGGGUAUAACGGGCCAUUUAUUGUGAUCUUUGAGAUGAGAAGGAAGAUAGUGAAGAAAAAAGUAGUCACUCCAAUCAAGAAUAGCUCCUUUUUGAACACCAAGGCGACUACCAUAUCCUUCAUAAGUCUUAGGACUAUUGGCAUAAGUUUGUUUCAUCUCCACUGGCAAUUUGAAAAAAUCAUACCAUGCACGACGGACACCGUCGAGAAGCUCAUCCCGGAUGCCGUGAUUAAUGAUUUGAAAGAACCCCCAAUUACGACAGGCGUCAGAGACUUGGCUAAGAAUGGUGUGUCGAAGGGAGUCGUCUUGAUCGAGAGCGAAGCCGUGGAUGUCAAUAAUUGGGAUGUUUGUGGUGGGAGAGGCGACAGAGAAAACGGUAGGGCGGUCGGACAAAGGCUUGAUGUAACGGGAAGGGACGGCGGAGCAACCACUCUCCGAGAGGGAUUGGACACGAACUAUGGGUUCGGGCCAAUCUUGGUUGAGGUUAGUAGUCAUCACAGCCAAGGGGAGGCUCUUGGAAUUCCAAGGUUGAUAUUUAUUUAUAUAAAUAAAAUUUAAAGGUUUGUUAUUGUAAGGAAACAAACAAUCCAAACGUUUUUUUUUUUUUUUUUUUUUAAGUUAGCACUACCAAGUACGAUGAAUCACUAAUAUAUAUAUAUAUAUAUCUGUUACAACCUUCUUCAUCCUUCUCUAAGAAAAGAAAAUAAAAAGGUAAAAGGGGAGAGGGUAAGACUUUUUUUUUCCUUUUUGAAUAUAUUAUUCUUUUUAUUUGAUGCACGUUGUUAAAUUUACAUCUUAUGGAGUUUGUUUAUAUGGUUGGAAAUGGUUCAAUUCAUCUAGCUAUAUCGAGCCACUACAACUAUAUUGAAUCUUUUAUAUAGGUUUGUGCGUUGAGUUGUUGUUCUUGCGGUUGAUUACCAUUUGUGUUGUUUGUCUUUUUAUCUAAUAUUGUUAAUUUAUGGAUGUAGUUGGUUUAGUUGGUAAGUUGGUAUACAUAUUUGUUUUAUUAAGUAUUUAUGCUUGUAAAUAGUUUUUUUAAUAUGAAAAGUUUAAGAGAAUUAAAAUAGAAUAUUUACAAGUCGUUUAAGGACAAAAAGAUAUAUAGCACGUGUAAAACAUUAGAGUUCGUAUUGAGAAUAAAAAUGAAAAGUUUGAAGAACCAACAUGAUUUUUGUAUAGGGACCCGAGAUUUAUACUUAUUAUAUCUAACAUUUCAAAAUAAUAAUAAAAAAUGUUCGAAAACAUAAACUCAACAAUGCUAAUAACAAAGGAGAAAGAAGUUUUAAUUCGUACAUUGUCAAAUGCGAUGAUACAGAUUAGCAAUAAAGCGUGAGAAAAAAUUCCUUCUUUCUUUCACUAUAUAUAUAUAUAUAUAUAUAUAUAUAUAUAUUUAUUCAGAAGACAUUUAAAAAUCUUAGAAAAAGAAUAUGUACUAUUCCAAGCAAUAAAAUUUGAAUCACAUUUUCAAUUUUUCCACUCAACAUGUUGUCAGAAAAAAUUACUGAUUAUGAUGUGUGAUGUAGUUGAUGACCAUAUUUAAAGAAAACGUUUUAAAUUCAUAGCAUUUUUUUUUUUUUAAGAAACUAGUACAUGAUGGGGUUUGAAUUGAAUUUUGUGAAGAAAAGCUGAACAAAAUUUAAUUAGUACAAAUACAUAUAUAUGAAAAAGACAUGGAUGUAGGUGAUAGAAUGUGGAAAGGUGUAGAAGAAGAAGUAAAUGAAAAGUAAAAACAUAGGGACGAGGGUUAGAUUAGAAUUUAGGUGGGAGAAACAAGUGGACAAUGACCGGAUGAAAUUAGAGAACGUGAAUAUUAUGGGGGAGCAAUCUUGUGGACUAAAACCCAUACCUUUUUCUGAAAACAAAAAAUUACAUAAUGUCUUUCUAAAAAACAUCAUUUUCCUCUCCCACUAUUUCAAGUUCUUUUUCCUUUUCACUUUUUUACUUGAUUAAAGGUUUAAAUAAAAUUUAAAUUUAAUCUCAUAGAAAUUAAUAAAAUGAGAGAGAAAUCAUAAAAACUUAUGUUUAAUUGGUUGAAGAUAUUUUCAAAUAUAGCUGAAUGAAUGAAGGAGUUAUAGGGUAAAAUGAUAUGGAUGAAGGAUAGGGUGGGGAUGUAGCAAUUGGGCUGUGUGGGUGGUUGAUGGGGCAACUGAAAUUGACACGGCCGACACAGCAGCAAUGAAAUUUUCUUUUUCUUUUAAAUAUUUGAUAAAUACGGAUAUCAUUUUGGAUUCAUAUAGUUUUUUUAUUCUUUUUUAUUUUUCCAAAUAUAUAUAUAUAUAUAUAUAUCAAUUUCGAAAUAACACGGAACUCUAUCAAUUCUAGAUUUUUUUUUUCUUUAUAUCUUACUUUUUCCACUUUGUUUUUAUCUUCUAAUUUAUUCCCCAAUAAACAAAUCAUUCUAAAAAUAUUGUUGUUUUACAUCUAGACUCUGUCUAAAAAAGAAUAUUGUUAUUUGUAAUAUCAGUGGCUGUGGUUUCAAAAAAUCAUGGUUUAAUAAAUUUGACUUCUUAUUUAUAUUAUAUAAUUAUAUAAAAAGAAGCAUAUAUAAGUUAUUUUUAUAAUAUAGAAUUGACGUUAUUUUUGGUUUAACAUGACUUGUUCUACAUGAUAUUAAACCUUUUCUUCUAAUUUUUUAAGUUUCAUUACACAAAUAUAACCCAUGACCCGAAUUCUACUCUUAUUAUUUAAAUAAUUAUUGCAUAUAUAUUAUUUUAAUUAUAUAUACAUUUUUUUUAAAUUCGAUAACAAUACAACUUCACAUCAUAUGAGUUGGAAUAUAUGAGGUUGUAAUGGGUUUUUUUUUUUUUUUAAAUAAGUAGAACUUUUGGAAUUAAAAAAUACAACUAGACUUUAUAUAUAUAUAUAAUGAUAACAUUCAUAUAGGCAUGUCUUUCAAUGUUUUAAUUUUAAAUUCUAACAAAAAAAAAGUUGAAAGAUAAUUAAUAAUUUAGGUUUUGUUUGUUUAGUAACCAUUUUUUUUCUCUUUGAACUAAACUUUUUUCUUUUUCAUCUUCUCCAUUUGUUAUAUAGGUUAUAUAGGUUAGAGGUUAGAUUUCUACCUCAUAUACUAUAUAAAAAAAAAGGUACCUAUAUACUUGUUAUAAUUACUUUCUUGACUUCAAUAUUUUAUUGUUUUUAUAGUCUAUGGGAUAAAUGAAUCAAAUUUAACUUCAAAGUUAUUGGUUGGGAUGCGGACUUUCAACGACUAGAAUAAAAAAUCAUGUUAAUUACUGCUAAGUUAAUCUUACUUUAGAAUUUAUGUAUCAGUUGACAUAUAUUCAUUUUCAUUUUUUAAUUCUUAAUAUUUAUGUUUUAUGAAUUAUUUUAUCCACCUGAAAGAUUAUUUAUCUAUUAUAUUUUCACUUUUUGGUUGUAAUUUCAAACUAAAAUGUCUUUCAACUUUAAUAUAAUUUUUUUUUCUAAAAAAAGUUAAUGUAUUUGAAUAUUUUAAAUAAGAAGUCAAAUCUUUUUAUUAAAAAUUAUCAAGAAAGAAAUUAUCAAUUAAAACAAUAAACUUAUAGUUAUAUCAUUAAUAAAAGUAAAAUUAAUUUAGACGAUAGACCCAUGUAAACAUUUAUUUUCUAUUCGUGAUAGAUUCAUAUAGACACUUUGAUCUAUCUAUCGUGGUCUAUUAUUAAUAAAAGUAAAAUUUAGCUAUAUAAGUAAAAUUUAGCUAUAUAUGUUUUUUUUAUCUUGGAAAUGGAAAAUUUUAAUUUAAAUAUAUUGUACAAAUUGGAGGGGUUGAGGGAUCUGAAUUAAACUAGAGAUGUUUGGGUGAAAUGCAAAUAUGUGGAAAUUGAUGUAAGCUUUGAUUACAAAAGUUUCGUAUAAAUAUUAAAUUAAUGUAUUAAUGGGAAAUAAUUGCAUUGACUAAUACAAAAUAAGAAUUAAAACUUUAAUACGAAAACUAUAAAGAAAAAGAAAUAGAAUUAAGGCAUUUAUAACUCGUGUUUUUAUACCCUGGGGUCCACAUACGGCGCCGUUAAGUUUGAUUCUAAAUUUAUAAUCUUUUUUUAAAAAGAAGAAAGAAAAAAACUCCACACUUAACAAAAUAGAAUAAAAUCAGUUCUUCAAAUAAAAUCCGCUUUAUUAGUUAAUUAUAUAUUCUUUGCAGAAAAAAAAAUAUUAUAUAUCAAAAUUUGGAAACCUGUACGCUUUUAAUUUUCAACUAAGUGACAACUCACAUUACCUAAUUCAAAUAACAAGGGUUGUGUUAAUAAAAAGUUGAAGAAAAAAGAAGUUGAGUCAAGUUGGGGUAUUGUGUAAGUAAGAGGUUGGAUUGAUACGGUCUAACUCAAUUAUGUAUAUAUAUAUAUGUAUACGUUAGCUUCCAUGUUGAAUGACAAAUUGUUCACCUUCAUAUUAAAAAACAAUAUAAAAUUUUAUCUAAAUUAUGAAAAAAAAAAAAAAAAUCAAUCCAUACUUUCAACUUAUGUCCACUCUUAGGGCAAUCAAGUAGUCUUUUAUAAUUACUUAGUUAGUUAUGACAUGUUUUCCCUUGCUCUAAUAUUUUUAACAUUUUUGUUAAACUUUGUUCGGUACUUGGAUUUAUAAAUUUUAUAGUACAUUUUUCCAUUCCUUUUUUCUUUUUUGAUUUUUCCAAAAGUAUAAAAUUUGAAAAUAAAAAAUCCUUGGUAAAAAAAACCACUAAAAUCUUUAAUUUACCCUUUAUUUUCAUGAAGUAUAAGUAUUUUUUCAAAUUCUCAAAUUUUCUAUUUUUGACUAUUUUUUUAAUGAAUAAUAUACACAUGAAUGAAUCAAAUACAAUAAUUCUUAGCUUUUAAUUAGCUAAUUUCUCACCACAACCAUUGUUAUACUAAAAAAAAUAAACAUAAUAACUUAUUUGUGUCUGAAAAACAAUAAGUCAAAAGGUUAAAAAUUUAUUUGAAAUUUUUAAUAUUCUAAUAUAAAAGAUUUAUUAGAAAUAGAGUGAAAGGUUAGGUCUCAUUUAUUUGAAAUUUGGUAUGUUUUUUUGUUGUAUUUUUUUUAGAAAUAGAAUGAAAGUUUAGAUCUUAUAUUAAAAAUAAGAUAAUAAAAUUAUUGACCUUAAAAUUGAUAGAAUAAGUUAGAUUUAAUACGUGCCUUCGUAAAAGAAAGUUAUAAAAGAUAAAAAAAGGUGGUUAAAAAACGUAAAUGACACAAGAUAAAGGAAAAGUUAUUAGAGAGUAUUAAUUAGAGAAAUAUAAAUUAAAUAUUAUAUAAAAUGUUUAUUUGAGUAUCUUUACUAUUAAUUUCGAGGUAAAAUAAGUUAUUUUCUACGCAACAUAUUAUUAAAAAUAGUUAGAAAGCAAAAAAGUUGGUGAGAUAAAAGAAAUGAGAAGUAAAAUUUUAGAAAGUUUUUUUCUUGUUGGUAUUUAAAAAAAAAAACUAUUUAAACUUUAUAAAAAAACAAUUUUGACAGUUUUCCCUUUUCUUAAAAAAGUUAGAAAAUAUUAAAACUUUUAUAGAGAUAAAAGUGAUUGAGAUAUAUUGAAAUUUGAAUAGAAAAUAAAUGUUUUAGAGAAUGAGAAUAUAACUUUUUCGGAGAAAAAUUAGAGGAAAAAUUUAGAAAAAGAAGGAACAAAAAAUCAAAAUUUUGAAAUAUAUAUACAGUAUUUUAUAAAUUAAAGUUAUAAUAAUGCUAAUGGAAAUACAAUAGAAGCAAUAACUAAUAUGUAAUUUUUAGUUUGUAGUAAUUAUCGAUUGAUAUUAACAUAUUAGUUAUUUUUUAGUAAAUGAUAUAUAAUUAUUUUGAAAAGUGCAAAUUCACAUUAUUCCUAAUUUAUUUUGAAAAAAUAUAUUUUUUUAAAUUCAUACGCGGAGCGAUAAAGUUGAUAGAAAUGUUACAUACCUCGAAAAUGAUAGGAAAAAUGAUGAAAUAGUUACAAUACAUUAUAUUGUCAAAGCCACAACUUUAUCACUUGGCAUUCAUUGAUCCAACCGACAUUGCACAAAAAUGAUAUGUCGUUGUUAAUAGAUGUUAACCAUACGUAAAUAAUAUUUGAUACCACAAUUUAUCUUUACAAUAAAUAAUAAUAAAUAAAGAGCACAUGACUUUUAUUCUUGUAGUUGGGAUAUAAAAGAUCAAACAAAUUUUUAAAAAUGAUUUCAUUAUAAACAAGUUUAGAGAUUGAUUUUUUAAAUUAAGUUGACUUAAGUAAUUGUUAAUCAUAUUUACUUACGCUAAUUAACUUCUAAUUCAUUCCUUAUGGUCUGCGAGGUUUCAUCUCGCCCUCAUUUAAUUUUUAUACUAAAAAACUAAUUAAUUUGAAAAAAAUGAGUUUAUCAAAAUAUUCUUUAAUUUGAAUUUGGUUAUUUUAUAUAUAUAUUCUCUCCCGUAGAAAGGAAUAAAACUUUUUAUUCUUGUACUGAAUCUCCUCAAAAUAAUUCAUAAUUGAACAUUACAAUUAAAAAAUAUAUUUGAAACUAAUUAGAGCAUUUGCUAGCAACUUAGGGAGCCACAUGAUAACAUUGGGACGCAAUUAAGAAUGAUUUAGAGUGGGGUUGGAAGUGAUAAUUGGACAAUCAUUUUAGAGAAUGAAAUUUUUGUACCAUUUAUAAACAAUCAAAUUUAGGUUCGAAUUAACUUUGAAUCGUUAUCUUUUGUUUAAAUUUUUUUACAUAUUUAGGUUUGAAAAUAUAUUUUUUAAUUUUGGUUGUUUCUUAGCAUUGUAUGUUUGUUUAUUGAAGAGAUUUCUUUCUCCCUUAUUUGAUUUUAUUUAUAUCAUUUCAUUAUUUAUUCUUUUCUUUUCUUUAUUUUCCUUCUUUCUUUAAUUUACUUUUAAUAAAAAAAGUAUGUUUCAUUAUAUUAUUGCUACCUGUUAAUUUCUUCUUUGUUUAUAUAGUUUUGUGUAUUUGUAACCUUAGGUUGUUAUACAAGUCUUUUUAUUUUCUAGCUAAGAUCUAAUUGUCUAAUGUGAUCACCUUAUUUACAUAUGUAAGCUAAAGAUAUCUUUUAUAAUUAGUUUUCAACACUAUAAAUUUAUUAGUUUUGCAUUGAUUCAAUAACAAAUCUAGUUCCUACAAUUUAUACAUAGUUUAUAACAUUUCAGUUUAAAAAUAUUUUAAAAUUGAUCUUAUUAUUUUACUGGACGAUAAUCACCAUGGGUAAGAUCAAAAUAACACAAAAUUUUCAAACAAAAGAAUAAGGAGAUGUUUCGUUCAAUCAACUUCGUAUAAAAAAGAUUAAAAUAGCACGAAGAUGUUUAAUUUCUAAACUAUGUAUACUUUUAAAAAUUUAAAUAUAAAUUUUCCUAUGUAAUUAAAUUUUCUUUUAUUUUGUAUAAAUUUAUUAUAUCAUGUAAUUACAAAUAUUUUACUUUUACCAACCUAUAAUAUUUUAAAUAUCUUUAAAAAAUUAAAAUUAUAUACUAUUUUAGACUUUAAAUUAAUUUUUUUUUACAUUUUUACAUAUAAUUAAAUACUAUUUUAAAAUUUAAAUUUAAUAUUUUGCUUUCCACGUGUGUGUUCUUUCUUGUAGUAAUAAAAGUUGUAAUAGUUGAAAGAAAAGUUGUUUGUAUGAUAUUUAUGGAUAGGGUUGAAUUACUAUUUUAGUUUUUAUAUACUUACUUCUUUUAUAUUUAUUUUGAGUUCACUUAUUUUUAAAUGUGCAUUUUAAUUUUUAUAUUUCCAAUUUUGAAAUAACAAAUACAAUAUUUUACACUUAUAGGAUCCACAAGAAAAUAAUAUAAGUAUAGAUUAUUGCUAAAAUAACAAUAUAUUUUUUUUUAAUAUCCAAUUAAAGGAAUUGUAUGCAGUGCAAGAUAAGAUGAUUUUAAUUCAUCUAAACUAAUGGAAAGUAUGAUAACAUUUGUCAAAUACAAUCACUUCUCCGAUGCAUGAUAUUAGUUAUACAAUAAAUUAUGUAAAUAUUGGUGAUAUCAAUGACAAAACUUGGGUAGAUAUGAUUUUAAAGUUGAAAUUUUUAGGUAAGCUAGUUAAGAAAAUUUUAAGUAAGUUUGAAGAAGGAACUUUUCGAUUUUGAUGGCUAGAUUACAAGUUAUGAACGUUUGAAUUUGAAAGAACAUUUUGAAAAUGUGUAGUUUCUAGGCAAGAUUGAAAAUGGACGAAGCAUUAAGUCACAAGGGUUUAGACCUGCACUCUUUUUGAAGGUAAGAAGGUUUUCUGGACGUAGAAUCAACAACACGACAUGGCCAACGCACAGCCUAACAACGUGCGGUACGCGCGUAGGCCAUUUGAUAGGCCAUGUGUGUGAGGGGCAUUUGAAUGUACAUGCGAGGAGAGAUGAGGAAUUGUGUCAUGCGACCAGGGCGAGUGACAUGAUGAGUGCGAGGCAAGCACACAACUAGGCAUCCUGAGGGCCUGUGUGCGUGCAUGCAGUCUGUUGUCCAUGUCGAGUGACCAACCGUGCCAUGACACUAGUUUUGACAAUUUUGAUUGUUUGAGAUUUGUGAAAUAAGUUUGGAUAUUUUAUAAUUUUAGAUAUUUAAAAUGAGUUUAAAAUUAUCUAAUUUCAUGGCAAGAAGAGAUUGGAAAAAUCCAUAAUCCGAUGAAUUAGCUACCAUCUAUGAGUGACAAAAUGAAUUUAAAAGUGAUUUCUAAACAUGAGUUACUAAGUUUAAGUUUGAAGCAUGGUUUGAGGUAACUUAUUUGAAAACUAUACCUGAUUUAUAUUAUUGAUUUCUAAAGCAUGAGUUUCAAGUUUAGAGAAGUUUGAACAACAUGAGUUUGACUGAUGAGUAUAUUGAGAAUGUUUUAAUUUCUUAUACAUUGAUUUAUGAGCAAGCAUAUGAUUGUCGAGCUUCUAAAAGUACUCAUGAGAUUGAGAUAAUUAUUUAAAGCAUGAGAUUGUUUGAGCAUGUUUUAGUCUAUAUCUAAAAUAUUCUGAGAUAUAUAGCAACCCAACGAGGAAUGUUCAAAGAUUCUUUGAUGAGGACAUUUAGUAUAUGAUUAGAGUUUCCAUCACUGAGACUAGGUUAGAAAUGAGGGUCUCUACGGACGCCUAGAUUUUUCAUCUCAUAGUUGAGUCAUGAGAUACAAUAACACUACUGAUAUACCUAGAUUUUGUCUCAUAGUAUCACAUUACGAGUUAGGGCUUUAAUAAUGCCUAGAUUUUAGUCUCAUAGAUGUACAAAGAUUCAUGUUAUUGCAAAAGAAAGAGAAAUGUUUGAGUUUGAAAUUAUGUAAUUGCUUUGAUUCACUUUAAAAGUAUGUGCUUAAGUUGUUUACUACUUAAAGAUUUACUAAGCAGUCACUCUUUCAAUUCCAAAAAAUAUUUCUUACAUUUUAGGUAAAAGAUCAUGGACCCAGCGUCUGAUUUCAUCUGUUUAUUUGCUUGAGUUUCUUGCGUUUCAUACUAGUAUGUGUUGUUUUAGUUGUGUAUUUUGGUCUGUACAUAAGUUUGGUUCAAUACUGUUAGUUGUGGAUUGUACAGGGUUUGAUAAUAAGUGUUUGAACUUCAGUUUGUGGCUAUGGUGUUUAUGUCUAUCACACUAGUUGUAGUUGUCAUAUGCUUGGGCUACACUUCGUAUUUAUAUAGUGUUUGUUUAUAUUUUCAUUGUGUAGUAUAUUCUAGGUUAGAUUAGUUUUAGUUCAAGAAUGGUUAGCAUAUAUUGUUAAAAGGAGAAUGCAUGAUCUUUGUUGGUUUCACACCAUCUCUUAGACUGAGAGUAGGUGGUUUGGGAGGAGGUGUGACACAAUGAAAAGUAGAGUUAUACUCUAUAAGUUCGUAUCGAAAGGCAUAACUUAGAAGUAAAGACUAAUGUUACAUAUGAGGACUAAAAGGGCAUAAUUAACUACGAGGAGUUCAUAAACUUUCAUAUCUAGAACAUGAAAAAAACGUAAGCUCGAAAACUAGACCUUAGGCCCUAAUUAAGCAUGGAAAGAGAGCACUUUGGGUAAAAGCUCAAACAACUUGCUUAGCCUUGAGUGCAAAUAAAGAUGGGUCAGAGUUUAGCCGCGAUGUUUGAUGAAAGGGAUAAUAUGCUUCGACUUAUUUGGCAGACAUCAGAAGAAAGAUAGUUUGGACGAAAAGGCUAAAUUGACCUUUUCGCCCAAGGAUGAGAUAAGGCUUGCAAAUUUGAAGAACGGGGCAUAGUAAGUGUAUGUCAUGAUCAAGUCAGCUAAAAAAUUGACCUUAUAAAAAUUUAUGAUAUGAAUGCCCUAUAUCAUAAUUUCUCUACAAAUACAUUCUUAUAACUUUACAGAAAUAAGUCCACUUUAAUAUUCAUUCUCUACUUACCACAGAAUUACACUAACUUAAUUGUUGAAACUUGUGUCGUAAGCAACACAUCGAUGUAGAAGCUUUUUUUAUCUUUCUGGUCAUGCUCUUUCCCAAAUUACAAUUUUGUUGUUAUUGUCACGUGAAAGUCAAAUAUGCUUUUCCCCAUCUAAAUUUUGGCAUAAAAAAUAAUAUGAAGAGAUAUAAUUGAAUUAAUUUUAUGUAUUUCAAUUCUACGAUUCUAGCUACAUCCACCAAUAAAUAUGGUGGUUUAUCAUAACUAAGAAAUUUUGAUUCUUACAUCGCUCUUGGUUGUCUCAAAGAAUCAUUCUACUUAUCAAAUUGUAAAAACACUACAAGAAAACAAAGGUUUCUCGAUGUUGUGAAGGACAUCGGCAAACACAACAUUAGGAAAAUAGACCCAUUUCGACACAGGUCAUGCAAUGUCGACUUUGACGCACAAGGCUGACGUCGUAAUCAAUCACGUCGGGCUUUGUUCGCCAUUUUCAUUUUUCAAAUUUAUCAUUGAACUUUUCCCCAUCACGGUGGAGAAGCAUGUUGGAGAAGGUUUAAUAAAUUAUUUUAAUUCAUGAGCAUUCCCGACACACUACAGAAACAUGUUGGGACAAGUUGACAUAAUUAUGAGACCAUUGAACUAUCCCGACAUAGUAGAGCAAGACGUCGGCGAAUGUUUAAAUAAUGAUAUAAAUCUUACAAUUUUUCUGACGUUUGUAAAGUGCGUCGGUAAUUUUGUAGAGUAAGGACGACGUACACAUUGUAUGCGUCAGAAAAUAUCUAAAUAAUAAAUUUUACAAACUAAUUAUUCCCUAUGUCAUUGGUGAAACAUUGGCUUUGGUUAUACUAAUGUCGACGUGUCACUUUAUGACACUGGAGAUAGUCCUAUUUGCUGAUGACUUCGAACUGCGUCGACAAUUCCUGACCCUAUUUGAUAUGUGUUCAUAAAACACAGAACACACACAAAAAAAGAGAGAAAAUGGAGAGAAAAAAAGAAGAUCCACCGUCGCCACCGUCGUUCGUUCACCGUCGUCUGCUGCACACCGCCAUUCUUCCUCCCUCAUCCUCCAUCGUCGCCAACCCCAAGGUAUAAGUUUUCUCUCUUUUUUUUUUGUUUUGAAUUUAUGAAAAUGUAUGUGUAAUUUAUGUAUUGAUGUUAUGUGUUAUUUGAAUUUUAGAUUGUAUGUGUAAUGUAUGUAUGUGUGAUUUAUGUGAAAAUUGUAUGAGUUUGUAUGUGUAAAUUUAAAGAAAAUAAGUGUUUGAUUGUUCUUGUUAAAAUCCAUUGAAACUUUAACUAAAAUAAAAGUAAGGUUUUACCAUGUUGUUCUUGUUGUUAUCGUUGGAAUCCAUGGAUGAAGAGCUUUCGAAGAGAAUUUAAGAUUUCAAAUUAGUUUUAGUAUUUAGAUGUUGAUUUAGUUGGUUGAUUUUAACUGUUAUGAUUUAGGAUUUAAGAUUGAAGUCAAAAUUCAAGAUUGAAGAAUGCAUAAUGUUGGGAGGUUAUUCUUUGUCUGUUUUUUGUUAUUUAAAUUGACAUAAUACUAUGUUGGAACUUUGUAUUUAUAUUGUAUGUAUAGAUUGUAGACUUGUAUUUACGUUUGAUAUUAAAUUUGUUGUAUAUUUCAAAAUUAUAUUCUACUAUUGAAUCAACAAAGAAAGAAAAGGAAGAGAAUGAGAAGACUAUAGAAGAGCUUAAGGUGCAAGAAUUUCCUUCAACUACGUUUGAGGACCAUGAAUCCAAGAGUAGGGACAUGAGCAAAAUGUGCAAAGAAGGAAGUUGAACAUUAUUACAAGUUGUGUCGAAAAAAUAUGAGGUUGCUUUAAAGAGAAACGACCCUUGCUUUGGUAUUCAAGAAAAUUGAUGGGAAAAGAGGAGCAGAAAAUGACGAGACCGAGAACCAAACAGGUAAGUCAUAGAAAGUUUUCCACUUCCUUUGGUGGUCUCAUAUGCAAGUGCGGAACUUUCUAUGGCUUACCUAUUUUAUUCUCGGUCUUGUUAUUUUAUGUUCCUCUUUUACCAAUCAAUUUUCUGAAACCACCAGAGCAAAUGUUGUUUCUGUUUGAGGCAACCUCAUAUUUCUUUCGACGCAACUAUGAUCAUACUAGGGCAAUUAUGUUGCGGCAAUGAUUUUAGUUUUUAUUAUUCAUGUAAUUUUUGAACCUACAAACGUGUACUUUUUUAAUAUUUGAAUUAAUUUGAAUUUCUAUUUGAUAUUUUAAUAUUUUUUAUUAAUUUUAUGUUAAUUGUUUUUAUUAUUGGACUAAUUUAAAUUGAAUUUGAUCCCAAUAGUGAAAAAAAGUAUAAUAAAUAUUAUUUUCUAUUAAUGAUACAUUAAACUAUAAUAAACCUCUAUCAAUAUUUAUCAUUAAAGUGAUAAAUGCCUAUCUGAGUCUAUCUUAAUUUAUAAUUAGAUAGAAAGUAAAAUUUUGCUACAAUAUUUAUAAAUAAGUUAACACAUUUUUCUUAUAUUUAAAAACUUUCAAAGAUUUUAUUCAACAAAUUCUAAAAUUUAAAUUUCACGUUCUAUAGAUAUUUUUUGAUUGGCAAAUUAAGAUAUGUGUUAAAUUGACAUGACAACCAAAUGUGACCGUUAUUCCAAUGGGUUGUGAAUGAAAGGACACCUUUUAUUUACUUAAUUAAUUUUGAUAUUUUGAUAAGACACCCUUUAAAAUUUUAAAAAUUUUGAUUGAAGUUUGAUGUGGAAUCAAUCUACCUCUUGUCAAGUGAAUAUUUCCUUAGAAAAAAAACAAAAUGGUUAGAAUUUUAUAUAAUUUUAUGAAAGAGUCUUUUAAGAAAUAUAAAACAAUGGUAAAAUAUUUACAUGUUAUAUAAAAAUUUUAAAAACAAAAAAGCUCAUAUGUCCAUAACGAAAAAUACCAAAACCUUCUCGUGAUUAAUUGACAUUAAGCGCACAAUAUAUUUAGAAAAUGAUUGUUUAGAUUUCACUAUUAUUUCCUACACGAUCCUUUAAAUUUAAUAAUAAUUUUUUGGUACAAAAUCGUUUAGAUUUGACUAUUCUUGGUAGAUUUAAUUGUUUAAAUUUAGGUAGCCAAAUCUAAACGAUUUAAUUUUUUUUUAUACAUUUAGAUUUGACACACGAUCACGUUGAAAUUUGGGUACCAAAUCUAAACAAUUUUAUUUCAUUUUUUUUUGUUCAAGAUCGUUUAGAUUUAAUCGUUUAAAUUAGAGUAGCCAAAUUUCAAUGAUUUUUUUUCCAGAUUUUUUUUCAAGAUUUUUUGGUACAUAAUCGUUUAAAUUUGAUAUAUGAUUGUUUAUAUUUGAAACAAAACGAUCGUUUAAAUUUGACUACCCAAUUCUAAACGAUUUUUUAAAAAGAUUUUUUGGUUAUCUUUUGUAUACAAUUGUUUAGAUUUAACAAUGCAAUAUCUUAACGAUUUUUUUUUUCACUAUCUUUAAGAUACCCAAAAGAAAAAUUGCAGAAUAAAGAAGAUGGAAAGAAAUGACAAACUAAAAUAUUAUUAAAAAUUGUAGAAGAAGAGAAAAAGACGGUUGAAAUAAAAAAAAUCGCAGAAGAGAAAGAGAACAAAGACGAUGAAAAAGAGUGCAAACCUAGAAUAUUUUAAAAAAAUGAUCAGUUUCAUGAGUUUUUUAAUUUUGUUACACGAGUCAUAAAUAUUGUGUCAGUUCGUUAUAUUUAUGAAAAUUAACCAUUUAUGAAUAUAUAUAUUAUUGCAUCUCAUAAGAAAAAAAAGAUAUAUCAUUUAUGUUUUGAAAAUGCCUAAAAUAGGGAACAUUAGUAAAUAAAUAAAUAAAAGCUCAUUUGAUAUCAUUCUCAUUUCCUAUUUUUUAUUUUUUUUCUUUUGAGAACAAAAAACAGACUAUGUUUAAUAAACUGUCCUCGUUCUUGUUUUUUGAAAAAAAGAAACAAAAACAUAAAUUUGUUUGAUAACUAUAUCUUGUUUCUUGUUUUUCACAACAAAUAUGUAUUGUUUCUUGUUUCUUGUUUGAUAUUGUUUUAUGCUUCAUGUGUGCGUGUGUCAGAAACUUAAAAUAAGAUGUGUGUUGAAAAUUAAAAUAAGAUAUAAAUCUAAAUAUUAGAUAAUUUUAAAAUUUAAAAUAUAUAAUAUAAAUAUAGCAAAACUAUUUUGAAAAUAACAAAAUUAAUUAAACGUUUUUAUAAAAUAUGGAAACAAAUAUAAUUAUGAAAUAUUAAGGGUUUAGAUGGGGGAAAAUGUUUUUUUUUAAAUAUAAAGUUGUAAUUUUAAUUUAUUCUUUUUUAUUUUAAUAUAAAAAUAAUAAAUUAUUUAAUGGUAGCAUUCUAUCACAUCAAAUAACUGUCGUGGAUGUGUUAUCUAAAAAAUUUCGUCUUUUUCUACCAAAAACGUAAAAUUUUCCAAUUUGUAACAGUUUUUUCUUCUCCCUCCCAUUUUGUGAGAUACACAACUGUCAUAGUAGACAGAUUUUGUUAUAGCAUAAGAGAAAAAAAAAGUAUCCAUUUGGGAGUUGAAAAAUGAAACAUAAAGAAUUAAUAUACAUAUUAAAAAUUAAAAUAAUAUAUAAACUAAAAUAUAGGAAAUUUUUAAAAUAAGAGAAAUAUAAUAUAAAUAGGAGCAUUUUUUAAAAUAGCAAAAUAAAUUAAAAAAAUUUCAAGUUAUAGCAAAAUUUUAGAUUUUAUUACUAAUAGUCUUCCAUCACUAUAGCAUAUCAAUGACUGUCACUGAUAAAAUUUGCUAUAUGUUGUAAAUAUUUUGUAAAAUUUGGUGUUUUUGAAAAUCUCCCAUAUAAAAUAUUGAAGAACUAUUUUUGUAAAAAAAUUAAUUAAAAAAAAUUAAAAAUAAAGAAAUGAAGUGAAAUAGAAAUUAAAAAAAAAUAAAAAAUGUAAGAAAAACUUGCUUACGAGAUUAACUUGCAAGAGGAAGACAAUUAUCAGGUGUGCCAAAUACCAAUAGAUCAAAACUGUUAAUUAUUGGAGACACUCGUAAAAAUAGUAAAAAAAUUUAUAAUAAUAGAAGCAAUGUCACUACAUUUUCUAAUUGCAAAAGUAACAAAUUAAAAAGUCGAUAACUCUCUAAUAGUCUUUUGAUAACCUUCUGAUAGCUCUCUGAUAUCAUUAAUUACUUGUCAUAUUUGUAAUAUGCAAAAAAGAUGUGUCAUGGACUGUUCUUUUCUAAAUGUUUUGUCAUCUGAUGUAAUUUUUCUAAUUAUUACUUGUGAGAAUUAUAAAGUAGAAAUAGAAACAAAACAUGAGAAAUUAUUUUUUGUUAUUUUUCAAUUUUGGUCAAUUUUUUAGAAAUGAUUCUCAAAUUUUAGAAACAAGAAACGGGUACAGUUAUUAAAAAAAUUAUUUGUUAAGAUAUGCGAAAUAGAAACGAGAAACAAGAAAAUGAAACGUUAUUAAAUGAACGGUAAAUCUUCUGAUCUUUCUUAAAGUUAAAAAUAGAGAGAAAUAGAAAGAUCAAUAGAGAACAAUUGCAAAAUAAAUUUAUAUUGGGAAAGUUUUUCGAAAAAACUCUAAGCUUUCCUUUUUAAAGGAAUAUUAAUUUUUUAUAUGAGAUUUUUUAAGAAAUAGAAUAAAACCCAAAAGUAUUUAUAAAAAGUUUACAGGCCUAUAGUGCAAAAUAUCAAAAAUACCACACGAUUAAUCGACCACACACGCCCAUGAACCACACACGCGCACACAAAGUUUGGUACACGAUCGUGAACCAAGAUCGUUUAGAUAUUGGUACACAAUUGUUUACCAAGAUAUAAACGAUCGGUACUAAUAUCUAAACGAUUUUGGUUCAUGAUCGUGUAACAAGAUCAUUUAUAUUUUGUACAAAAUAGUGUAAUAAGAUCAAAAUGAUCGUGUACUAAGAUCUAAAUGAUCGUGUACCAAAAUCUAAACGAUUUAUGUUCAAGAUUGUGUACCAAGAUUUUUUAUAUUUGGUACACGAUCUUAAACCAACAUUGUUUAUAUCUUGAUAUAUGAUCUUUUAGAUAUAGAAGAGAAAAUAUAUAAGAUCAGAUGACGAAGAAGGAAGAAAUUUUGAAGGAGGAAAUGAAUGAAUUACGAACAAGAACAAGUGAGAAUAUGGAGAAGAAGAAGUAAUAAUAUGAAGAGGAGAUUAAUAAAUCACAAAGAAGAAGAAGAAAAAGAAGUGAAAAACCGUCAGCAUUAUCAAAGGUAAAUCUGAAAUUUAUGAAAAUAUUUUAUCGGCUUCAUGGACUUUUUAAUUUUAUUAUAUGAGCCGCAAAUAUUUUGAUAUUUUUUUAUAUUUAUGAAAAUUAACCUUUUUAUAUCUAUAAGUGUUUAAUUCAGCUUACAAACAUCUACAAUAUUUAAGUAUCAAGAACACGUAUAUUAAAUUUUAGGUAAACAAUUACGAUAGAUUGAAUUCAUUCUCAUCUAAAGAUCUUUUAUAAAUAAAACACAUACUAUAACAAUCUAAGAUAGUUUUUAAGAGAAUAUUUGAUUAAUAAAAAUUAAAGGAAAAAAGAAUCAAAUUUAGACCACAACAUAAAUGAGUUAAAUUAAAUAAUAUUAGCUUUUAGAAUCAAAUUCUCACAUCCUUGAUUGAGUUGUAAUCCUCCAUUAAAAGAAGGGGGAAAAGACAUAGCUAAAGUAGAAUAAAGAAGAUUAAGUUUAUAUAGACUCAAACGUAAUAGUCACUAUUGAAGAAUGAAAAUUUUGAUAUUGACAAAUAUUUUCCUAAAAAUGCUAGAAAAUUUUAAAAAAGAAAAAGUGAUUUACAUCACUCCAAUCAAAUGAUCCAAUAGACGAAUGUUCACAAAAAAAAUUUGAAAAUUGAAAUUCUUAAAGAGUGAUUUAAAAUAAUAAUUAAGUUGUUAUUACGUCCUUUGGAACAUGUAUAUCUUCAUGUAAGGUAUUAAUGUUAAAAACAAUUCUUGAUUUUCAAUUUUUCUUAAAAGUAACAUUUACUCUUUUAAAUUUGAUUUGUAAUUAACUAUUUAUUUAGGUUAUGUAUUUUCAAAUUUAUUGUAAUAUAAUUCUUGAACUUUAUCAAAUAUUAAUUUGGAAUUUGAUUAAAAUAUAACAAAACGGCAACAUAUUUACAUUGUAUAGAAUAAUUUUGAAAACGAAAAAAGCUCACUUGUCCACAAUGGAAAAAAUACAAAAAUAAUGUUGUCAACACGUGAUUAAUUUUACAUUCACGCGCGUAAUAUGUUUGAUAAACGAUCUUGUAUCAAGAUCGUUUUGAUUUGGCUACACAAUCGUUUAGAUUUAGUACAUGAUUGUUUAUAUUUGACCACCAAAUUCUAAUUUUCUUUUUUAAAGAUUCUUUGCUACACGAUUGUUUAGAUUUGGUUACCAAAUUCUAAAAGAUUUUUCUAAAAGAUUAUUUGGUCCACGAUAGUUCUAAAUCUAAAUGAUCCUAUUAAUUUUGAGCUCAAACAAUAUUUUUCAAGAUAUUUUAUAUUUGGUAUACGAUCUUACACCAAAUUACACAAGAUUUAUGAUUGAUUGAAAAAAAAGAAAAAAAAUGACAAAAUUAGAAGAAGAGAAGAAAGAUGAUGGAAAGGAAAAAAAAAAAUAGCAAAAUAGAAAGAGAAGAAAGUAAAUGAAAAAGAAAGGUAAACCUGAAAUAUUUUAUAAAAAUGUCAGCUUGGACUUGUUGAUUACGAACCGUAAAUAUUUUGUUGGUUUGUUAUAUUGGUGAAACUUAACCUAUUUAUUUGUGUAUAUACUUAUAAAUUUGUAGAAUAAUUUACUCACUAACAUGAAAAUUUUAACAAACUUGAUUGUCAUUUUUUUAAAGAUAAUUUACAUAAAUGUAACAAAACAAAAAAUAUUUACAAUCAAUGUAGCAAAAAACAAAAACUGAUAAAAUAUUUUCAUAAUUUUCAGAUUUGCCAUUGAACAUUGCGAACCAUUCGUCAGUUCUCAUUCUUCUUCUUUUUUAUUUAUGUAACGCCCCUAGUUUAAGGAAGACGUAAAUGGGCUGAUAUCACAUCUGAAUCAAAAGGAUCCUAAGGACAUGAAAGUAAGAUUAAAAAAUACUUAAAAAAAUUAGAAGUUACUACCUAUACUAACACGUUGCUCCUUCUUUUUCGAUGACUUGAUUAUAGGAAUUUUAAAGUUAAGUGUGUUAGCUUGAAACAAUUCUAUGUUGGGUGGCCUUAUGAUAUUUUUUCUAGUAUGCAUGUAAAUGAGGACAAAAUAUGUUGAAAGGAACUUGUGUUACUUUGUGGAAAGAAUUUUUCACUCCAAUAAGCCUUUAAGAGAAGGGACUUGUGUUACUUUGUGGAAAGAAUUUUUCACUCUAAUAAGCCUUUGAGAGAAGCAAUGAUGACGUUGCCAGAGGUAGGUUUAUGAGAAGAACUUUCAAUCUAAUAAGUGUAAUAUUUUAACUGUUUUUUAUAUUUUUGAACAACCCAUUUUUUUAUUAGGUUGAAACUUAAUCUUUAUGAUCCAUGAAGAAUGUUAGCCCUUGAUUAAUUUUUUUUUUUAUCAUGAUAAGAGACUAAAUUGUUAUAAAUUGUAAAAUCAAGAACUAAAUAAUUAAUACUUGGUGAAAUGUUUAAUAACUAAAUUUGUUACAAAUUUGAGAGUAUAUAAGUUAAAUUGUUACAAGUCUUACUAAGUUUUUGUUUCCAUGAGGACCUAAAGUGGUUUUUAAUCCAAAAUUAAAGCGAGAAUAUAAUUUAUUCUACGUUUUACAAGUAUUUUGAAAAUUUAUAAGAUGUACAUAUUAACUUAUCCUUAAUAUCAUUAUUGAACCCUCCAAUUUAUCACUACAUUGAAAGAUAUUUUAGUUUUGUGUUGUUAUAACAUACCAUAUUUAUUUUGGCUAACAUUCAUUUAAUAGAUGUCCUAUCAGCUUUUAACAAAUAACGUUUACUAAAAUGAGUAAACAUAGGUAUUUUUAAAUUUAUUUUUGAUUCCACAAAAUUGUAAAACGAAAGACUCAACGACUCAUCUUUAAAAUGAUAUAUAAUGUCUUAUUCAUUAAGUUUGAAACCAUUUAGCCGUUUAAUUUAGUGACUAUCAAUACACAACAUGCUUAAAAUCAAAGUUAGAUUUAGUUCACAACCAAAAUGUUUGACGUUUUUUGGAAAGAAAAUGGCAACCUUCCAAAGAACAAAUUAGUGAUGACAGAAUGCUUCAACUCAUUUAGAAUAAAAGAAAAUAAGAGAAGGUGUUUCAUUUAAAUUGCAUAAAUUACAUAAUUCUUCCAUAUAUGUGUGUAGCAAAAUCAAUGCAAUACUCAAUAAUGUCAAUAUACAAACAUACAAAUCAUGGCGAUGAGUAACAUUUUUUAGGUUAAUAAUUGAGUGAAUAACAACAUAUUUAAAAAAUUGCAAAUAUAACAAAAUAUAUUUGUUAUAGACUAUUAUUAAUAAACUUUUGUCAACGAUAUACUUCUAACUAUCAUUUAAAAACUUCGAAAACUAAAAAUCUAAAUUCUGUUGUGUCUGCAAAUUUUGUAGCAUUAUGUUAUAUCUAUUAAUACUUUGAACAUGAUUAUGUUCCAUUAUGUUAUAUUUACUAAUACUUUGAACUUGGUUACUAUAUUUGCAAGUAAAGUUAUUUGAAAAAUGUGGGUUUUCUUUUGUUACUUUAUAUUCUCUAAAUUACAAUCACUUGAAAGUAUCUAAAAAUUAUGUUUUGAAAAACAUAAAUGAUAAUGCGGGUAUGGUAUCAAGUCUAUCAAAUAUCGAAUUAAGAUUUGGGGCGUUUUUAAAUGCUUACGAGAGCCGGGUAUAAUGAAGGAAGAAAUAAAAUUAUUUUUAAUAAUUUGAAAAGAUCUCCAAAACAAAGCCAUACACUUUUUCUAAAAGCAAAUUGAGUACUUAUUUGUGAUUUUGAAAACUAUGUCAUGGACAAAAUUGUGCAAGAAGUACAACCAAGUAAUGUAAGCUAGGAAUUAAAGUCUUCUAUUAGAUAUAAUUUUGAUCAAAUCCCUAAUAAUUGUUUGAGAUUUGAAAAUUUUGAAUAUGAUCACUAACUUCUUAAUUAUUUUAUUAUGUCUAAAUCUAUUCAACUAUGCUUAGGUUACUUCAAAUUUCUACCCUUGAUACUUAAAAUUGUAAUUUUAAUUUCUAUUAAUGUUUACCACAGUUAUAAUAAUAAUAAUAAUUUUCUUUAAUUGCCGUUAAACCUUUUAGGAAGUCCUAUUUGGUUCUAUUUUACUUUUAAAAAAAUUAAAUAUUUAUAAAAUAUAACAAAAUUUAAGAUGUACGAAGGUUAGACACUUAUAGACUACGACCAAUGACUAUCAAUGCACUAACUGAUUGAUAGAAGUCUAUCAAUAUUGAUCAUGGAUUGAAUUUGAAAUUUUUCUAUAUUUUGUAAAUAUUUUUGUUCAUUGGAUUAUAUUUGACUACAUUAUUUGUACAUCUAUUAUCAUUCUUUGAACCCAAUCGUUCUUUUAUUAAUAAAAGAUUUGGUAAAUUAAAAUUAGAAGUCAUACUCACACAUUCUUUGACAAAUAGGUAAAUUCAUUCACACCAUUAUUUAAACACAUGUUUCUUGCAUACCUUCACCUAAUAAAUUGGGAUAUUUUUAAAUAUUAAAAAAUAAAUUAAAGUAUUUACAAAUUAAAACAAAAUUUUAGAUAUGGAUAGACACAAAUAAGUAUAUAUGAUUUUGUACAUAUUUUCAAUAGUCUUCUUAUUAACAAUAAUCUUUCUAAUAAAUGCGAUUGUUUUGUUUUCUCUUCUCACAAACUUAAUUUUUUAUUGAAGAGCUAGCUCAAAAUCUACCACAAGAGAAUGAAAAUUCAAAGCUUCUUUUGUUCAUAAAAUAAACAUUGAGAUAUGAUGGAAUGGAGAAUUGAGAUUCUUUAUUAGAUUAAGAACUAUAAUUAUGAACAUAAAAAAAAUCAACAAAAACAAGAUUUUGUAUUUAAACACUUUUUUGAAAGUAAGAUAUAACUAUUCAAUAAUAAAUUAUUUGAAAAGGUAGGUAAAUAUAAUAACAAAAUGAUAAUUUUUAAAAAAAGUUUUUCUCCUAAAUUAGAGGUUAGUAAAUAGUUUAUUUUUAGUUUUUUCCUCAAAUAUAUAACAAUAUCAAACUCAAUUAUGGGAUAUAAUGUUAGACUAUAUAGAUGGUGAAUUUCUUUUUCAUUGAGUCCACCAUCAAUUUUUGCUUUUUUGGUUUUUGUUCUGUUCUUAAUUUUAAGAAAAUAUAUUUAACUAAUUACUCAUUUGAAAACAAAUAUUAAUAUAAUUGAAAAAACUAUUUGGAGUUUCCAUUCGAACAAAUAGUAUAUAGUUUCAAUUUUCUUUCGAGUUAGAACAUAGUUAAAUUAUACUUUUAUUUUUAUUUUUACUAGUUUAAAGUAUAUUUAUUUAAAAUUUAUAGUCGUCAAGAGACUUUUAAUCACGUGCGUCACACAUGAAUGAUAUAUGUUAAACUAUCAAUACAUAUGAAGUUGAACUAAUAAAAGUAGUUAUUACAAAAUAUAGAUAAUGAAAAGGGUCAUAUUUAAAAAUAACAAAAUAAAUUAAAAUAUUUACAAGCUAUAAGCAAAAUUUUGGAUUCUAUCGUUGAUAGUUUUCUACCAUCGUAUCAUGUCAAUAACUAUCAGUGAUAGAAUUUGUGAAUUUGCUAUAGAUUGUAAAUACUUUAUAAAAUCUACUAUUAUUAAAAAAUUUCUAAUGAAAAUAUAUCAACCAAUAAUAAUAAGUUCUUUAAUUGUUUGAUGAAGGAACAAAAAUAUAGGAAUAUAAGAGUGUGUUUGGAUUACCUUCUAAAGUAUUAUUUAAAAUUGAGAAAAAAAUCAUUUAAAAUGUUUAAGGGUUUGGUAACUUUUCAAGAUAGCAUUUAAAAAAAAUCAUUUUCAAAAUGUUAGCUUAAAUAUUUUGAAAAUGAUUUUUUAUGUCAAAUUUAAAGGGUUUGGUAGCUUUUGAAGAUGCAUAUUUUAAAAAAACGGGAUCGAAAAUUAAUUCAUUUUAAAGAAAACAAUGCGAACACCAAAUUUUGAGAAAAUAAAUUUUUAAACAAAAUGAUGUAUCUAAUGAAAUGUUUAAAUGUUAAAACACUUUUGAAAUAAAGUGGUUAGAAAAUGUAUUCUUCAAAUAUAUAUAUAUAUUUUUGUAGACAAUCCAAAUAUAAUCUAAAUUGAUAUGAAAAAUGUUGAUCAACUAUUACUUUUUCGGUCCAUGUUAUCAAGCAUUCAAAUUAGUCUUUUGUUUGAUUCGUUUUUUCUUUUCUUUUUUUUGUUCUUAUUCUCCAAUUUGGUUAGUUAUUUUGGUUUUUAUUUCUCUAUCUUUUGUGUGAACGUUUCUCCCUGUCCUUCAAUUUUGGGUUCCCUAAUUUUAAUUGAAUGUUGCACCUUUUUUCUUUGGUCUAUGCAUAAGACUUUUCUUUACGUCUUUUCUCUCAUUCUAAGGUCUUUUAUCAUGAAAGAAGAAAUAAACAACCAUAGAAUCAAGCUUGAGAAAAAUCAACUCCAAGAUCUACCCCGUUCCAUUACAGUAUGUUAAUGGUAUAUUAAUGGUGCACUAGUUACAUUUAUUGUAGGAAAAGAAUCGAUUUUAUUAUCUUAAGGAGAAACAAAAGUACGAAACACAGAGAUGUGUACAUGUACGUAUUUGAUUGUUGUUUGUCGUCAAUUCCAAAUUUAAAGUGUUGUAUCAUGGAAGCCAUUGUUUUGAAAAACAAAUUCAAUUGAUCUUGAAUGCAAAUUGUUUGUGUCAAUUUCUCACCAAGGUUAGACCAAAAAAAUUUAAGAUUUGGAACCAUUCAAUUCUCAUAUUUGAAAAAUUAUUACACAUCAGUCAUUUAUAUUCAAAACUAAGAUGAUAACAUUUAAAAGAAUUAAAAAGUUAAAGAAAUAAAAGUUUGAUCUUUUUAUGUACAAACUUGAGUAUAUAUGUCAUGUCCCACCCCAAUGCUGCAAUCAGAUGGAGGGCGUGUCACUUAGAUAUUCAUCGCAUACCUCUUGCGAGACAACGCGUUAAAUGUCUAGUAAGUGGAAUAACUCUUUUGUUCCGUCUCUUUGCAAAGAUCUUCCACUUUAGCCUGAGAGUCCAUCACCUCAUUUUAUAGGGGAAACAACUCAAGAAAUUAACACUACGAAAAAAUUAACUCUUUCCUUUAUUAACUUAAAUCUUACAAAAGUACAAAUUACAAAUUACACUUUGCUUUGCAUAAAAAUAAACCAGCUCUGGCCUUCUCACAUCAUUUUUCUUUCCAUCAAGGUGCAACCUUUCAUGCCACGAUGGAUGAGACUUUGUGGAAAUCUCUUGGCACUAGUACUCAACAUCCGCUUUAAUUACUGCCCAUUUUCCUUCUUUGUCUCUUCGAUUGCUUCCCCGAGGUAGGUGCUUAGAGGUGAGAAGCUUCUCUUUCUCUUCCUUACUUCAUUCACCCCAUAGGCUCCAGCUAGAAGACAAUCUUUAAGACUUCAUUUUCCUACCUCAACUUCUCAAAAUGCUUACGCCUCUCUUCCCUGUGUAGUUGGGAUUUGGACAUUAAAGAGCAACAACCUUACCAACCGACUCCUUGAACGCAUGACGAGAUGCCAUGUAAGACUACAAAUUUACUUUGUCUUUUGUCCUUAGCUUGGCUACACAGUUUUAGAACUAACCUUCGCAUGGCCUCAACACCUGACAACCCGAGGAGGGGAAACACUUAAAACAUAAGCCAAAGGGACUUAGUGAGCGAUGAGUUUUAAGAAAAUCUUUUGGGAAAUCACAAGGAAUCUAAAGAUUAAUAAACAGUAAGCCAUACAACAAUCACAAGGAAAUCACAAAGAGUCCACACAUAAGGUUCGUUACAGCGAACAUUUAAUGCACAUUUGAUAACCACCACAAAUCAAUAACCACACAACGAUUUACCAACCCAUACAACAAUCACAAUCACAAGCUCAUUUUGAGACUUGAAAAUCUUUCCUAGCUGACCUGGGAUUCAGUCUCACCAGUAUCACACGAGUUAAUUUUCCCAUAGCUAGUUGUCAGACCGCUUGACAAUAUGUUUACUUCCUCGCUUCAAACCCUUGGGUACAAAUACUUCUUGAAGUAUCUUGUCAAUGCCUCGCUUAGCGCAUUGCCUUUCUCGCUAGCUAUUCUUAUUGCAUUACUCAAUUUCAUGCAAUAUAUAGGACCUCUGGCUUACGCUUUUCUCUUUGUAUCCUUCCUUGUGAGAUGUCUCAAGGCUUAUCCGAAACAACUUUCUAACAAGGAUUUCCUCAAGAGGACGUCUUUUUCGAAUCAGGGCCUUACAACUUAAACUCUUGAUCAAAGGACAACAACAAGACAGCUCGUCUCGACUUGGAAAUUAUCCCCUCGCUAACCUAGGAUUUGCUCUCGCCAGUAUCACACGAGUUACCUGGGAUUCCAUCUAGUAUCAUGCAAUAAUCCAAGCCAUAACCGUACAACACAAUAUGACUGCUUACUCUUAUAGCACAUAUUAGCACAACUAAUAAGGUAUUUUGUGAUCAUCAACACAGAGAAAAGAAUACUCAACAUACAUCGUGUAUAAAACACCACUUUUCAUAACGAUGAUCAACCAAUGGUUUUAGAAAUGAUAUUAGAAAUCAAAUAACUAACCAACACCGCUUAUAAAUCUUUACCAUUUUUCAAAGAGUGCUCGUAGAAAACAUUUAGCCUUUCCCUUAUUUCUAGAAAAUAUUUAUGAAAUGAGUCUUAUUAGUCACAAAAAUAAGACUUAUAAAGCAUAUUUGGCCAUUUAGAGAAAGAUAAUAAGUAGAUACAGAAAUAGUACCUUGAUCUCUUGAGUGACUUUGUUCAUUAAAGAACAAUUUUAGACAUUGCCCAAGAUGGUACUGAUUACAUUCUUCAUAAAGAGGUUUAUUUUUGUUGCUUGCAACCGACCUCUGGUAAUUGUUUUUUGGGUUUUGGGACUGGAACAAGCUUCUUUCCUGUCUCCAUUCUUAAAAUUAUUUCUUUUUUAUAUUCCAAACCGAAGCUCUUUUAGGUUUCUUUUUCCUUCUGUUAUAGUUUAUCUUUGAAUUAGUUUGGUGAUCCAUACCACCAGACUUUCUUGAUGAUAAACUUGGUUCCACUCUUAAAGCAGUCUCAAUCAACUGUGAAAAAUUCUCCCAUUUUGAUGUUGUUGGCACUGGAGUAUGAAUUUCUUGUCUAAGUCCUUUCUCAAAUUUUUAGCGUCUAUUACUUUCUAAUGCCACGAUCUUAAGUCCAUGAAAUAAAAUACCCAACCACACACUUUUAGAGGUUCUUUGGCCUUCAUUUGUCGCCCAUAUAACCUCCAAACCAUCCUUUUGACACUUAACCAAUUUUUCCAAUCUUUCUCUUUUUCUCAAUUCUAAACUCAAAUUUCAAGUAUUUUCACCUUCUUUUGUCAUAAAUUUCAUUCUCUCUUGUCCUUGACUAAGCUUAACAAAUUCCAAAAGUUUAAGAAAUUUUGGAGUUUCACAAUUCUUACCCCCUUAAGAAAUUUUAUCCUUGAAAUUUUAAACACCAAGCAAUAUUCAUAAAAGAAUACUUUUAUUUACAUAGCAUAAAACUUUAACAUAAUAGUUCUUAACUUCUCAUAAUUCCCUUUUGUUUCAUAUUGUUGGGUCCUUCUCCUCCUGGGAUUGCCUUAGGUUGAUUUACGAAGUCUUUCAUGUCAAAAUUUGUACUCAGCAUUGAUCAGACAUCAUUUAUGACGUACAAAUUUGAUUCAAAUAUUGAUGUGUCAUCUACAUAUAAGCAUAUGAUAGUCCAUAAGCCAUUCCCAAACUUAUAGUAUAUGCACUUAUCACUCUCAUUUACUUUGAACCCUUUAGAGAUGAUUAUAUUAUCAAAAUUUUCAUGCUAUAUUUUCUUAGGAGCUUUGUUUAGACCAUUAUUGAGAGACUUAAUUAUCUAGCUUAUAGACUUUAGAUUCAUGAUCAUGAACUAUGAAACCUUCAAGUUGUUCCAUAUAUAUCUCUUCUUCUAAAUCACCAUUUAGGAAGACAGUCUUAACAUCCAUCUGAUGUGCUAAAAAAAUGUUUAAGGAAGCUAUAAAAAUCAACAGUCUAGUUGAGGUGAUUCUAGUCACUCGGGAGAAGGUGUAGAAAAAAGUCUAUGUUUUGACUUGUCUAAAACAUUUUGCUUCUAGUCUAGCCUUAUACUUAUCUCCUGAUCCAUCAUGUUUGAGUUUCUUCCUUAAAACUUAUUGUUUUGCAGCCAAGGGGUAGGUCAACUAAGUGCCAAAUCCUAUUUGAUUCAAGAGAAAUCUAUUUCAUCAUUUAUAGCUUUAUUCCAUAAGUUGACAUCUACUAAGGAUAAGACUUCUAUUAGAUCUUUAAGAUCUCUUCUACAUUAUACAUUUCGAAGUCUUCUCCAAAUUUUUUUGUGGUUCUCACUCUCUUACUACUUUUAGGUUCAUGGUCUACUUCCUUUUCUUGGGUUUGGAUCCUAACUGAAGGUAAACUACUAGAACAUGAGCCACUAGUUUGUCAAUUUAGGCCCCCACUAUUUUUAGAUUUAAAGGGAAAUCUAUAUUGAAAGAAGUUUGCAUCAUUUGAUUCUAUGGUUCUUAUUUUCUAAGUCAUGGAAUCUAUAGGCCUUACUAUUUUUAGCAUAUCCUAUGAAGACACACUCAUAGGCUCUACUGGCUAGUUUUCUUCUCUUAGGAUAAGAAAUUCUAACAUAGGUUAGGGAACCCCAAGUUAUGAGAUAAGACAUGUUUGGUGUUUUAUUCUUUAGGAUUUCGUAAGGUGAAGUUGUGUUGUUUAAUUAAGAAUCCUAUUAAGGAUCAGAAAAAUAAGUUAUGAUUAAUUAUACUGCCUAAUUUGACAAUUGUCUAUUUUAAGAUUUACACAAAUAUGAUUAUAAUCCAUUUUGAUAAAAGAUCCCACUCAUUAAACAUUUUUGUCUAACCUCUUAAAUGUUUUCUUUUAUUCCCUCUAGGUAGCGAAGGACCUCCGACGUUGAACUUGCUACCCUGAUUGCCUACCGUGCCUCCUUAAUCAUAUCAUUUUGGUAGUGGUCACUUCUCACAUAGUGUGUAGAAACUAGGCGAGCAAAGUUAAGUCGCUGUCUUGAGUUUGCAUUUCAUUUCUUUUGAAAGAAUUAUGUACUAAAAGUCAAAUGAACUCUUGUGAUUCGUUUGUCACUGAAGUUUCUUGUUUUUAUUCAAAUUCAAAUUUGAUAUUUUAAAUUUUGUGGUAUAAAAAGUUGUUUCGCUUACUAGACCUUCAAAGUUUAUCACGUGGUGUGGUACACAUUGAGGGUAGGCAGAAUGCCUCCCCUUAGUCGAAAAGAAUGACUUUGGAACGGGGCAUGAUAAUUACGCAUAAUAUGUCUUCCAAUGCCAGAUCAGACAACAAGCAAAGAGUAUCUUUACCAAUUCACACAGCAAGCAUAAAUCACACAACAUGAAUAGGACAUUCUAUUCACAAUUACACAACAUGAUUAAAACAUUUCAUACCAAAUCACACAACAAGGAAGAAGCAUCCCAUUCAAGAUCACACAACAUAAAUAGGGUAUUCUAUUCAAGAUCACGCGACAUGAAUAGAGCAUUAUAUUUCAGACCACACAGCAGGAAUAUAGCAUCUCAUCAUAGAUCACACAACUAGGAUUAGACAUCCCAUUCAAGAUCAUACAGCAUGAAUAAGGCAUUUUAUCGUACAGGGUACAAGGAUAAAAUUAUUCAACAAUAUGAAGUUCUCAGACCUCCUUUAAGCACAUAAUUUUUAGUGUACAGUAAAUCAUAUUAAUUGUAAAUGGUAUACAUUUCAAGAAUAGGAAAGCAUAAGAUAAUAUAAGUCAUGGUCUUAAUAUAAAAGAAUUUUAAAAACUUUUGAAACUUGGAAUUAUUUUGUAAAAGAAACCACUUAAAACACUAGAGACUCCACUCCCUCCUCCUUACUUUCAAAUUUCUCUUUGCAGUUUAACUCUCAGACUCCUUUUUUGAUGUAUUAUCCAAAUGGUAAUAUCUUAUGUCCCCUUUUCUUUCGGUCUUUAGUCCUAUUUAUAGUGACCAUUCACAUCCAUGGGUUAUUUUCAUAGUUUCCAUGUGUCACCUUCUCAUUUCACCUUGUUAUGUAGCCAACCCAAACUUGACACAUGUAAGGAGGGGUGACCACAAGCUUGAGAACGACAAUCAAGAGUGCAACUUGUAUUGUUCCCCUCUUUAACCUUCUGUUUCAUUGUAUGUUAGAUAGGAUAUGACCAUCUUUAUUUGUAUCACUAUCGUGAAUGACCAAGAUUGUAGUUCUUUUCUUAGGGUUUUUUACUUAGUUAUGGAUUGUAAUGCCCAGUCCCAAAAGUCACUCUAUGUGGCAAGUGGGAAUGUGACCGUUUAGAAAUCAUAUGCAAGUCUCUCCACGAGAUAACAUGUAGAAUGCCUAGUAAGCGGAAUAAACACAACCAACAAGUUAAAUGCGAAAUGAGAACUUCGAUUGAAAUUACAUAAGUUCAUUUAACACAAGUAUAUAUUCUUCCCAAACUUCAAAAGAAACUAUAUACAACUUGAGACAUUUUUUUACUCUUCUCACCUAGCUUCUACUUGCUAUGCGAGUUAGUAAUGGCUACUUCUAAAAUGAUUCAUUUUUUGUAUGGCAUUAUAGACGCACUACAAGAAUUUUUUGAUUUCUCGACAGCUAAAUCGUUGAGAAAAAAGGCGUCGAAAGAGAUGGUAUCUCUCGACACAAUAACUAAAGCGCCGAAAGAUUAGAGAACUUCAAACGCAUCGUUGAUGGCAUCGAAAAAUGGUGGGGAUUUCAUGAUGCACGUUUUGAUGCGCUGAAAAAUGGUCGGGAACUCUCGACGCGCAUUUGGUGGUGUCAAUAGUUCCCCACCAUUUCCAUAUGCAUUAAAAUGUGUGUCGAUAGUUAUCCUUUAAAAGUUUUUUCUCGUUGAAGAAGAAGAAUGGGUUUCGAAAAAGGUAAUGCGAAGGGGAGAAGAAAGGGUUUGAUGCCACCGCUCAUUCCACAUAUACUUUCUUCUUCACUAAUUAGUUUCUACAUUCUCAUAUGCUUCUUUCGUUGAUGUUAAAAUGUUAGAAAAUUUGUUUUAUCCUUCUCGUUUUAGGUUUUCAACUAUUAUUCUAUGAAUGCAAAAUUUUAAGGGCUUAGCGAAAUUAGAAUUUUUUUUUACAUUAGGAUUAAACUGAGGUUGAGAGAGCGAAGAACAACGUUGAUAAUUAUUGGAUUGUCGUGGAAUGUUCAUAGAUCCGUUCAGAUCUAUUCUUUUAGAUGGUGAGGAAGAACAUUUAGAAUGGUAAACUUUACUUUCUUUCGUCCAUUGUUUUGUAUUCUUCACUUUGGAGUUGACGAUUUGUAGUUCAUGACGCACAAUAUGAAGCGUUGGGAGAUGUCUAGGAUCCUUUGACGCUUCAUGUUGUGCGUGAAGAGAUCCUCUCUCGACUCAUUUUGCCUGACUUCGAUCCCAACGCGCAUUUUUGCGUCAAGAGAUCAUUUUCUGACGCUUUUUCAUAUAUCUCUUGACGCUUUUGUGCGUCAGGAGAUCUUCAUUUUCUUAUAGUGACGAUCAAGGCUGCAAGUUCAACGCUAGAUGUCCUUCGCUACGUAGGGAGGGGUAAAAUAAAACAUUUGAAAGAUUAGACAAAAAUGUCUAGUGAGUGGGGUCUUUUAUCAACGUUUUUAAUAAAUCAAACUUUACCUUAACACUUUAUAAAUCAUUUGGUCAAAUGAUAUGAUUCAUAUACUUUGUGUUUCAAUAAUAGAAUAUUGAGCUUAAAGCAAUUCAUUUCAAUACAUUAGGCAAUUAACACCUUUCAAAUUUCAUUAUCAAACAUUUACAAAUCAUAUGGAAAACCAUCUCCUUUUAAAUCAUGCAUCGGGUUCAUAUCGCGUAAAAACUCAUUCUACAUAAUUCAUCAUAUCAUCAUAUUGACAAAUCAUUCCACAUAUUAAUUACAUCUUUGUACCAUUUUAUCAGCUCAAGCGUUUAUCACACACUCUUUUACAAAGUUGUAGCUAUGCGGAGUAGUCUCAACACAUUUAGAAAAUUUUCAUCAAUUCCAUCACGCAUAACGUGUCUUUCGAUGUCAUAUCACAUAGCAAGCAAAGUGCAUCACAUAUCAGAUCACACAACAAGUAUAUGAGGCAUCCUAUUCAAGAUCACAUAGCAUGAAUAGGGCAUCUUAUCCCAUAUCAUAUAGCAAGUAUGAAUUAUUCUCAUCGUAUAGAGUACAUAAGAUGAUCUUACUUCAUUUCAUCAUUUCAUCAUUUCAAUUCAUGUUAAACCCAUUCAUUUUGGGUUUAGGGUUCAGAGAUUCCAUAGAAAUACAUUCAAAGAUUUAAACACCUUGGAAAUUCUUUUGUUUUCUAAAAACAUGUAUAGCAAGAACCAUUCACAAUCACAAUCAUCUAGUUUGCUCGUCGAGCUCCUUAGCCAAGAGUUUCUUUGUACUUCCUUACAAUUCCCUGCCAGAUUCAAGCUCGUGAGGAAUCUCUAAAAAUCUUGAAAAUUCUCUCAACUCUUUCUUAAUUAAGUAAACACAAGGAAAAAACAGCUUCAAAAUGGUCGAACUCCAUCCAUUUAUAAGCCUUUCUGGUGAGUCUUUCCAUGCAGGAAUGAUGACUUUUGUUUGAUGGUGAGAAUCAGAUAAUGCUAGAAUGUCAUGUUCACUGUUAUUCCUUUACCUUGAAUUUGGAUUGGAUGGCAAAGUCAAAUCAAUUUUCGGCUUUCUUACAUGAGAAUGACAUCACUACUUUUUGAUGAAAUAAGCUUAAAAUACAUAAUAGUUCCUUCCGUAGCCUUCAUCACAUAGACUACUCUUGUUGCGUGAAAUCAUAUCGCAUAAGGCAUAAUCCAAUCAGAAUUGUUACAAACUUGUCGAUUGUUUCCUUAAAUUCCUUGACUGAGGUUUGAAGGAUUGUUAAUUGACAUCUUGCUUGUCAUAGAGUGUGUUAAGUUAGAAGUAAUAUGCUAGACUAGUAAUCAAUCAUGCACAAAUGUGAUAGAAGGUUAAUGGAGACUAAUAAUGAAUGUUUGUAAUGUUGUACCAAAUUAAUUUCAACUAUUUCAGUUUUUAAUAUAUUUCUUAUCAUUUGGUACGAAGUGAAAAUCACUUGUAGAUCUUCAGAAAUACAUCACGAUAAAGAAGGAAGUUCAAAUACCUUCAAGAACAAAAUUUCCUCGAAAGAGAACUCUCUCAAAUUAAUUUGCACCCUCCCACACACUGAACAAGGGUAGAGCUUAGUUAUUUAGAGGCAACACAAUUAAUUCUUCAAGAUUUUUUUAUUUAAAAGAUUCAUAUUAAAGAAGAAAAUCUUUUAACAUAAAUAACUAUGUAUCCCUUAUUUAAAUAAGGAACGUUCAUUAAAUAAUAAUAAAAAGAAUCCUAUUAAUUCUUUUUUACAAAAAUACCCAACAAUUUAUUUUUGUCUUUUUUCUUCACUUCUAACUUACACUUCGUGGGUAAAGAAAAACUUCAAUUUUAUUAAAUGGACUUUUGUAAAAGUAGCAAAAAAAAAAAAAAAAAAAAAUUAUGACAAUAUACCUUAUGUCACAACAUUUUGUAAAUUUGUAAAAAUAGCAAAUUUAAAAAUGAUGACUGUCUGAUAAUCGUAUAAUUACUCUCUAAUAUCUCUCUGAUAGUUCUAUGAUUACUGUCUGAUGGUUGUGUGAUAUCACUAAUUUUGUUAUAUUCGCAAUAUGCAAAAUAUUGGUGUCAUAAGCUGUUUUUUUCUAAAUGUUUUUGUCAUUUGAUGCAAUUUUUCUUUAUUAAAUUAUUCUAAUAUCUCUUGUUCACACUACUAGAAAUUUGAGUUUUAAUGACGCAAAACUUGCAUUGUAAAGAGUUUCAACGAUACAAUUUUUGCAUCAUUGAAGCCCCUGUCAAGAAAUGAUAUUUACAACACUUCAAAAAACGUGUCAUUUAAUAUGCUUAGAUGACAUCAAAAUUGUGUCAUUAAUACUUUUACUUUGAUAAAAUAAAUAUGUCACCGUUAUCUAUAACUCGACACCAAUAUAUGUUAUCAAUACUCUUAAAUUGACGCUUUACAUGUAUCACCGUUAUCUAUACCUUGACAGCAAUAUAUUGAUCGAUAAUAGUUUUUGUUAGGAUAAAUUAAAUAGAUUACAAACAAUUUUUAUAUCAUAAAACCUAAACUAAAAUUGCUACAGAAUGAAAUUACCUACAUAUGUUAUUUAAAUAAUUUAAAAAGAAAACACUUUUAGCGAGAAAACAACACAAACAUGUCGCAAAAGAUGAUUAUUAUAGAUACAAAGGUUCGUUAGAGAUGUUUGGACAAUGCCAUGCGCAGUUUAAAGUUGGAGACACAACUAUUUGUAUAUAGAUGGUUACACAUCGAAUCAAUGCAAUCGUUACAAGUAUGGUGCGAUUCAUGUAAUAGAAUUUACAAAUUUAAUUGCUGGUUGAUAUAUGUAGUAAAUUGUUACGGUUACUACACUUCACAAAGUAUAUUAUAUUGUUAAUAUAUACAUGAAAGUUAUAAGGUUUUAUGUCAAAAGUGAGUAUUAUAUGUAUAUCAAUGAGAUACCAUUAAACGGGUGCAGGCUGCAUGUAUUGUACACUGAAACAGAUCAUUUUCCAAUUUCACAAUAUUAUUUGAUGUUCUUAGAGAGUAAUUUAAUUGUAUCAUAUAUAUUUAUACAAAUGUAAACAACUAAUUAUAAAUACUUAUAGAUCCACUGCAGUACAAGCAAUUUCGAUAUACUAAAUUUCUGACUAAUUAAAACAUGGAUAAAAUAAAUUAGCACGAUUCACUAUGUAAAAAAAAAAAAUGAAUUGCUAAUGUCGAUACUAAACCUUUACAAAGAAGAAAAUAAGAAACGAUACUAUAAAUUAUAAAAUUCAUAGACAAUUUAUCGCAUGUGGAUCAUUGCUAGGAAAAGUUGUCAUUUCGUCUCCUAGCUCUUAGUAAAUUUUAGGUCACUAAUUAUUAUACAUCAAAUAGCUAUGAUUCAAUUUUUUUAAAAAAAAAUUUUGCAUGUAUUUACUUAAAUUUAAAAGAUUGGGUAUAGAGAGAAUAACUUUUCUACACAAACCAGAAGGCUAUUUUUAAAUAAUGACAUUGUAGAAGUGUAGGGUUAAUUAUUAGCUAGAUGAUAUGAUUUGAAAGGCAUCUACAAAUAUAUGGUUGAUGUUGAUCAUCUAAAGGAAUUUAGAUGCAAAAAUUGAUACCCCAAUUCCUAUAGUUGAUUUGAUUGUGCUCUUAUCAAUUCAAUAGAUAGCUAAGAACAAUCCCAACAAGUUGAUGAAAUGGACAAACAUAUCAAAAGAAAAUAAAAGGAAAAAAGAUAAGAAAUAUCACUCACUAGUCAAAAAGUUCUAAUAAAAAGAAUAGUUAAACACAUGCUUGCAUGUCCAGAAAUUUUGUUGAUAGAAAGCUUUAUAAAUAAAAAAUAAUCUAAAAAAAAUUGUAAAGAAUGGAGCUUGAAUUGAAUGUGAAAUAAUUUUACCACUAAGAUAGAUUUUAAUAUUAGUAUUAUAUAACGAGCGCUAAAAAUUCGUGCACCUAUACUAAAUCCGUCGAAAUAUAUUUUUUAUUACUUGAUUAUUAGCUUUAGCACUCGUAAAAAUAUUUCUAAAUUGACAAUAUGUUUAUAUUAAAAUUAAGAAUUUAUUUGAAAUAAAAUGAUUGUAAAAAGUAAAAUAGAUGAAAAUAUUUACAAAAUAUAACAAAAUUUCAAAUUAUAUCUCUAUCAAUGUCUAUCUUGGUUGAAUAUAAAAUUUUGCUAUAUAUAAAUUGUAACUAUUUGAAAUGGUUAAUUUCCAUAUAUAUAACAAAACUAAAAAAUAUUUAUGGCGUGUGUAACAAAAACAUAAAAGCACAUAAAGCCACAUCAUUGUAUUUUUAUAAAUUUCAUAUUUACCCUUGAAUAUUGCAGGACGAUUCUUCAAUUCUUUUUCGUCUUAUUCUUUUGUGAUUUAUUCAUCUCUUCUUCUAGAUUUUCUUACUUCAACAUUUAGAGUAUAAGACCCAAUCGUUUCAAUCUUCUAUUUCAUCUUCGACAAGUUGCUUUGAAGCUAUUUCACAUUUGUUUCAAUAUUAUUUUCAUUUUUCUCAUAUUCAAGAAUAACAAGAUCGAUCGAUCGUUUAAAUAUUAUUUUACAUGAUUAACAUGAUUAUUAAUUUGAAGUUUUUCACGAUCAUUUACAUUGGGCUACGCGAUCGCUUACCAUAACCAACACAAUCGCUUACUAUGGUCAACAUAAUCGUUUGUCAUGGUCAACACGAUUAUUAGAUUAUUUGAAAUUUUUAGUGAUCAUUUACAUUCGCCUACACGAUUGGUUAUCAUAACCACCACAUCGCUUACCAUAAUCAACACUGUUGUUUACCAUGAUCAACACGAUUGUUGACCAUGGUCAACACGAUCUUUAAAAGUAUAUUAUUAAACUACAAGAUUUUUUAUCCUUGUAAUAUCUCUAAAAUGAUCGUGUAGUUAUAGUAAACGAUCAGGUAUCACAAUCCAAACCAUCAUUUAGACUGUAGUACGCUAAGGGUGUAAGAAUAACCUGACAACUCGAAUAACCUAGACUACCCAACCCAUAUUAUAUGGGUUGGAUUGAGUUGAGUUAAAAUAUUGGGUGGGUUGGGUUAAAAAGUUUGAAUUUUUAUGGGUUGAGUUGGGUCUCGGGUUGGAGGGUCGAAAAAUUUGAUUCAACCUAAUCCAACCCAAAUUAAUAAUAUAUACAUAUAUUAUUUAUCUAAUAAAACUUAAAGAAUAUUAGGCUUUCUCCCUCACAUUCGCAGUUCUCUCCCUCGCGCACCGCAGCCACAUCUCCUUCGUCUUCUCUUCUUACAUCUCCUUCACGCUUUACCUUCUCAUCUUGUCUUCUCUUCUCACAUUUCCUUCACGCUUUACCUUCACAUCUUCUCUUCUCUUCUCACAUAUCUCCCACGUGCCACAGCCACAUUCAUGCUUCACCUUAUCUUCUCACAUCUUCUCAUCUCCUCUGUCUCCUUCGAUCUCAGAUCUCAAUUCGUCAUAUCCUAGAUCUCAGUCUCUUCCGUCUUUGACAUCUCCUCCGAAAACCAUUAGAAAUUAGAAGUGAAAAAUAAUAAUAAUACAACUCAACAACCCAACCCAUAUUUUAGGGGUUGAGUUGGGUUGAAAACUAAAUUCGGAAUAUUUGGGUUGCCAACUCAAAUAACAUGAAAAUAUGGAUUUGGUUGAGAAUGUCUCCCAACCUAACCCAACCUGAUUAUACCCCGAUAGUACCCCGAUAGUACACGAUCGUUUAGAAGAAGAUUACAUGUGUACUGUGUGACCAAUUAACCGCAUGUUGACUGAGAUAUUUUUGGUAUUUUACAUUAUGGAUCUAUGGACUUUUUUCUUUUUAAAAUUUUUUCUUGUUUUAUUAGUUUGUUAUAUUUUUUUAAAAAAACUCAUAUGAAAAUAUAUUUUAAAUGUUUAAAAAUAAUUAGUUCUAAAAUUUGACUGGAAAUUUAAGAAUGAAAAAAAAUCCUUUUAAAAUGGCUUUAAAACAUUAGAGUUAUUUUAUUUUCCAUAAAAGUACCAAACAAUUUGCUAAAAAUGUCGUCCAAGAAAUGCUUUAACUAGGAUCAUGGUUUGGUUUGCCCUUUCAAAAGAAGUUAUUUUUAAAUUUAUCAAAAUGAACCUAAAUAUUAAGGACGUACAAAAUGUCUCCUUCCAUUAAUGAUAGAGAUUGAUAGACAUUGAUACACUAUUAUCAUCUAUUAUUCAUAAACACUAAUAAAUACUAAUAGAUGUUUACUAUUAAUAGAUGACUAUCAUAUUUUGUUACUUUUGAAAAUAUUUUCAAUUGUUUGACCACUUACAAUUAUUUUUAUUUUUAUUUUUUAUAUUUUUUACCUAAAAUAUAAGUAAAUUACUAUAAUAUGUACCAUAAAAAAACCUAACAAAACAACAUGUUUGGAUUAAUUUAGAAAAAGGAUGCUUUUCAAAAAGCCUUUGCACUUAAAUACUUCUGAUAAAAGUUGUUUUGGCAACUUUUUUUUCUGAAAAAAAUAUUUUUUAUUACAAGUUUGUUUGCUUUGUUAUAUAGUAAAGGAAAAUUGUCAAAAAUAGUAAAAAUUUGACAAAAUAUUUACAACAUAUAACAAAAUAUUAUGAUUCUAUCAAUAAUAGACAUUGAUAGACAUUGAUAUGCUUCUAUUAGUAGCAUUGAUAAACAAUGAUAAAAGUCUAUUAGUAUAGAAUCCAAAAUUUUGUUAUAGCUUGUAAAUAUUUUAAUUUAUUUUACCAUUUUAAAAAAAUACCUUUAUAUUAAAUUUGUUUUCAUUAGUGUCAAAUUAUAGUUAUAAAAUACUAUACAAACUAAUAAUUGAAAAGUUAAAAGUUGUUAGGGGUUGGUGGAUUUAGUUACAGUAGGUGGUCGUUGGCAAUGAUGUUGAGAGCUAGGUGGUCGUUGGAGUUGGUUGUAUGUGACCGUCAAUGUUGGUUGGAGUUGAGGGUCGCAGGUGUUAGUGGCGAGGUCAGCGGUAACUAGGGAAACAUAUUGUGUAGAUGAUUUUGAUAAUUUUAAGAAUUAUACACGUUAGGAAGAGACUAACCCAUUAAACACUCAAUUUUGAAAUCUUUUUUCUAAAUCAACUUUUUUAAAAUAAAAAAAAAAACUUAUUAACAGAAUUAAGUGUUUGAACAAAAUAUGCUCUAAAUCUCUCCCAAUAGAUUUAUUUUGUCCAAAGACUAAUUCUCAAACAAGAAAAAAAUCUCAAGAUGUUGCACAAAGAGAGAUAUAACCAAAACUUCAUUUUUGACCAAGUUGUAGACCGGUGGAGAUGGGUCCUCAAAAUACAAAUUGGCAUAAUGUACAUAUCCAUUUUUGCAAAUUGAUGAACAACAUUAUUCGUUGAAAUGACCAAAAAUUAAAUCUUAAUUAGAUCAACUAUCAAAGUUUGCUUUCUAUUCUAACAUUCAUUCUAUCCAUAACACGUCUUUUAAUAACUUUUCUCAUUGUACAUUCAAUUUUAUAUAUUAUACCCCAAUUACAAAUUUAUUCCAUUUUUUUUAUAGGGGAUAGGAAAGAAGUGAAUAUUUUCCUCAUCACUAAAUGAUAUAUAUGAACUACUCUUAUCUUAUCACUCUCAAUUGAUUUUGAAAUAAAACUACAUCUUUACGUUGGUAUCAUAACCCAUAUUAAGUUUAAAAAAUAAGUUUUCCAUAAAAUAACGAUGAAAUCAAAGAAAGAUACGACAUUGGAGAACAUAUGAAGAAUGUCAUAUUUUAUUAGAAAGAUAAAAUACAUCAUCUCUAUAACAUGUGUAGAGUUAUAUUUUUCACCCAUAAUCAUUACAUGGGUAUUGUGUAUAUACUUGAUAUCUUCCUUCACAAUCUAUAUGUGUUUGCAACCAUGUGAUGGUUAUUACAUUACAAGUGUUUGAAUUAGUAUUAUAGUAUUUUUUUUUUUUUACUUUUAUGUUAAAACCCUACCUUGUCUCUAGUUGUGUCUCUCUUUUAAAUUAUCAUAAUAAUGAAAACAAAAUAAGACGACUCAUUCUCAAAGUAUUCAUCAAUAUAGUAUAGUGAUAUGUGGAUCAACAAACAUCACAAAAAUUGUCUUUAAAAGUUUAUUUAAUAGAAAUAAUUUUGUGGAAUUAAUUGAUUCACACGUAAUAAUUAAAGUUAAAUGGUUAAAAGAAAAAGGGAAAAAAGAAUAUCAAUUUGGCACAUGUUUAACCAAUGCUCUAUAAAGAGAGAAGAGAUUGAAGUGUGUGGUGUUUUAUGGGGAUGAUAACAGUGUGAGAUAAUGGAAAGGGCUUUGUAGGGUAUGUUUUAUCUGUUGAUGUCCGAAAAGCUCCCAUGAAAGGGACUCCCAACUUGUAGUUGUUGGCCCUAGUUCACCACUUGUAUCCCUAAAAACCACAUUUUUUUUAUUUUGUAAUAAGAAGAAAAUAUUUUCUUAAUAAAUAAAUAAAAAGCAAUUACCUAAACCUAAGGCAACUAGUUAAGACAUACAUAUAUCCCUCUAGGAACUCUAGGAACGGUUUGUUUUUUAAAAUGUAGAUAAUCGAAAUUUUAGAUGUUCAAAACUAUAGAUAUAUGAAAUCAUAGAUGUUCAGAACAUGGCUAAGCAUGCUGGUUAGAAAAAUUAGGAUUAGAAUUACAUAGUAAAGAAACUUACGUUCAACAUUCUCUCCUAAUUUUACAAGACUUCAAGUAUUUUCUAUUCUCAAACUGAUUCGAGAUGAAGUUUUGUGGAAACUUAAUUGGAUAUUUAUAAAAAGUACAGACAAUUUUUCUCCCUUUUGAGAGAUGAUAUAGAAAGUUUGAGUUGUUUGCUUUUUCAUAACCACUCUAUCUCCCUCUUGCAUGCUUACUUCCCUUUUCUUCAUCAAGAGAAGAGAUCAUGACAUUUUUUUAAUUACUCCAUUGGAGUUAUUAAUUUAACGUGAAUUAAAUGAAUAUUAAAAUAAUUAAUUAAUUAAAUCCUAUUUAAUUAAUAUUUUAUUUAAAUCAGGAAUGAAUGAAUGUGUCUUAUGUAACUUAUAGUCUUAAUUUAAUCAAAAUAUGAAUCAUAUUUAUAUAUAAAUUUUUCUCGUAAUUUAUAGUUUUAAUAUACACUAUGUAUGCAUUGAAUUUUAACCUAUCGUUUUAAUAUGAAUCUCAUUCACAUUAAAUUAAUAUUCAAACUUAUUUAAAUAUUUUACUAUCUUGUAAACUAAUUUGGAAUCAAUCUAAAAUUAAAUUUAUAUAAUAAAAUUUAAUUAAAAUAUAAACUUUACAUUAUAAUGUUUCACCAUACAUAUUAUAUUAUUUCCCUAAGUAAAUUCGAACAUUUUAAAUUACAUCUAAUAUGUAUUAACUUCAUUACCCUUUACAAGCUAGGAGGAGGAUCCAUUGGGUGUUGAACCUACAGAUCAAAAGCUACAAUAAUAUGAGAUUAAUUUUGUAAAGCCCCAAGCCUAGGAUUUGGAAUUCGGAUCUCCGACAUUCCCCUACGACCUGGUAGCAUCAUCCUUACUAUAUCUUUAAAGGCUUAUUAUAGUGAAAGUUCUCCCCACAAACCAACAUAAGUUCUUUUAGCAUGCUUUGUUCUAACUCACAUGCCUCUUAGGAAUAUUUUCAAGAGGUCACCUAACAUAAAAUUGCUGCAAACUAAGCACACUUAAAACGAAGAACUUUGGAGUUCUUAUGAUCAAACUACUGAAAAGGAAGGUGCACCUUUUUUAAAAGUUUUUUUUAACAUUACUUUCAUGUCUUCAGGGUAGAAUUUGGAAUUUGGAUCCCCGACAUUUCCCUACGACCUGGCAACGUCAUCCUUACUAUCUCUAAAGACUUAUUAGAGUGAUAGUUCUCCCCACAAACCAACACGAGUUCUUUCAGGAUGUUUUGUCCUCACUUACAUGCAUUUUAGGAAUAUUUUUGGGAGAUCACCCGACAUAGAAUUGUUUCAAGCUAAGCACGCUUAACUUUGGAGUUCCUAUGAUCAAGCCACUAAAAAGGAAAGUAUAUCUUAUCGGUAUAGUUAUUAACUUUGAAUUCUUUUUAAGUCUUUCUUAACAUUAUUUUCAUGUCCUCAUGAUCCCUCUUAUUCAGAUGUGAUACCGGUUCAUUCAUGUCUUCUUCGUAAUCUUGGACAUUACAAAUUGACUAAACUUGUAUACCACAUUAAUCAAUAUCUGUAAGUUGUGUGUACACUCCACUACCUAUUUUAGUUCUCGAGAAAUUUGGUUUCCUCCCCCCUCCCAUUUGUUGCCUAAUAGAAGAAUACCAACCAGUUCUAGAGACCAAUCCCACGAGGAAAUUAGAAAUAUUAAACUUUUUAGUUAUAUUGGUUUUGAGUAUCAGUAAAUAUUAAAUUUUUACUUUGAUAAAUAUUUACAACUAGUUUUUGUUAAGAGUUUGUAAAGAUAUCCCAACGACACAAUAAUGUUUCAUUUAUGAUCUCAAUAAGGAUAGGUAUAUUUAUAAUAUCAUAAGUUAUUAAAUAAUCAUAAACAAUCGUGGUUAUUAUGAAUUAUUAGUUUAGUGGAAGUAAUUAAACUAAUGUUCCUAGUAUGAUAUGUUUUUGGCAUAAUAAUGAAAACUUGUAUGAAUAGUUCUUUUAACAAUGAAAUGUAAUUAUGAGAACAAUGAUAACACAAUAAAUGUGUUAUUUUAUCUAAUUAAAAUAUGCUAUCCUUUCGAGAUUUUCAUGAAUUUAAUCGACGUUUUAUAGAAUUUGAACACAAAUAGACAAAUAGGUAGAUAGAGUUGUUUUCCUUCUUUCAAAGCUUGAGAAGCUAAAACAGUAAAAAAAAAUCAAUCACUAUGUGUGAAAUUAAAAGUAAAGAUGCAGUAAAAAAGUUCAAGGAUAUGACAUCUCAACGUCACGGAGUUAUUAAGAUGCUCCCUACAACAGUUGUAAAAGUGAAAUGGUUGCGUCAAGAAAGGUUCAAAAAUUUGAAAACACCUUUAACUAUACUUAACUCUAUUAGCAUUGAGAGAUUGUCCACGUCUCUAUAUUUCAUAUUGAUCACUGCAUAUAAGUUUCUCACCAAAUUGUAAGUACUAUUUAUGAAGUUCUAUCCAACUACGAAAAUGAGGUUCUUGCUUUACAAUAAAAAAAAUAGAAAUUAGAAAAAUAGAAGUUAGGAAUUUAAGAGAGAUUAUCGGUUGGUCCAGUUUAGGUGGCUCUAAAUGAAAAUUGGAUCAAACUAAAAAUCUUAGAUUUAAGCAUAUCUCAUUUACAAGCUUACGUCUGUCAGCCAUGCAAGUUGACAGUUCAGUUGUUGUAAUCUUUUAUUUACAUUGAAUAUGUUCGGGUAAUCACGUUAUUUAAACACAAAAUCACCCUAGUGAUCACUAUACUUAGGAACUACCACCCUACUCUAGUGGUUUUUGUAAGUUGGCCUCAAAAUUACAACACAAGUUUAUUAUUUAGAAAGAAAAAUCUAACUUCAACUUAUAACAUCCCCACAUCCCCCUAGGGCUAUGAUCCUAAAGAAUGGAAAGGCCUAACUUCAACCUAAAGUCUAAGUUCAGUGGGCCUGUCUCACUGUUUGGGCCUACAUUGAAUUGGCCCAACUCAAUACCCCCGUGCUCCAUGCUUUGGUCUUGGCUCCUUGCAUUAUGAAACAAUUAAAAUGAACGAACCUAUUUAAAACACAGGGUCUUGUAAUUGAUUCAAAUUUCUUAAAACUUUUUAGAAAUAUUUUAAAUUGACUAAUAUUUUAUAUAGAUAUAAUGUGUAAAUGACCAAUUUAUCAAUCUUUAUUAUUAUUAAUAUAUUUAUAAAAUUGAAAAAUGUAAAGUGAAAGUGAAUCAUUAUUAAUAUUUGUAUUUAUUAGAUAUAUUAUGCAAAUAUGGUAAAUGAUUAAUUGUAUUAUGGUAAUAUUAUAAUAAAAAUUGUCCCUUAAUUACUUUUGUUUUGGUGAUUUUGUUACAAAAUUCUUCUCUCUCAAUUUCAAACCUCUCUCUUCAUUUAUUCUUUCUUUCGUUUUGCAUUGUUUUUCAAAUAUUUCACAUAAUUAUAAUAUAUAUAUUAAAUAAUUCGGUGUAUAUUUUAUGAAUGAAAUAUUUUUAUAUCAAUUUAUUUAUGUAUUUUAUUUAAAUAUUCAUAUCUUACGUAAUAAAUAAUAUGUUAUGUUUAAAACAAUUGUAAUUAUGUAUGAAAGUUGUAUAUGUUUAUAGAAACAUUAAUAAGAAAAAAAUUAUGAUAAGUCUAUGCAAUAUAUGCCACUAAAACAUUAGUUAUUCUCUGGUAUAUGUAAUGUUGAGGAAAACUGAAUAUGUUUGCGAUGUAGGAAUUUUGAUAGAUGAAUUGAAGAUCCAAAAAAUUGUAUGAAGAACUGGUUGGAUGUUAAAUUGGUUUAGGGUUUAGGGUUUAAAAAAUUUAUCAAUUUAUAUUUAAUGACGAGAUCUAAGACUUUUUGGCAUUUAUUUUAUUCAACUAUAUAUAAAGACCUUUCUUCAACCAUUUUCUUACAAACAUUUGAAUUUCUCUCUAUUUAGGUUGUUUUUCUUUUUUUUACUCGUCAUACGUGUUUUUCCUUUUCUAGUAAGAGUAUAUGUUUUUUUUCCUUAUAAUAAUUUAUAGGGGUCUUUUCAAAAAUAUAACAAAAUAUUAAAAUAUUUACCCUCUAUAGAACAAUUUCAAAAACGAAAAAAGCUCACACGUCCACCAUGGAAAAUACUAGAAAUGUCUCAUGAUUAAUUGACAUCUAGCGUGCGUAAUAUAUUUGGGAAACGAUCAUUUGGAUUUGAUCGUUCUAGAUUUGAUCGUUUUGAUUUGGCCAAAUCUAAACAAUUUUUUCAAGAUUAUUUGGUACACGAUCGUUUAGAUUUGACUAUUUUUUUAUACACAAUCGCUUUUAUUUGGUAAACGAUUAUUUAUAUUUGGUACAUCAUCAUUUAUAUUUGGUACACAAUCGUUUAGAUUUGAUCGUUUAAAUUUGGGUAACCAAAUCUCAACGAUUGUUUUCAAUAUUUUUUUGUACACGAUUGUUUAGAUUUUGUAUAAGAUCGUUUAUAUUUGGUACACAUUCGAUUAGAUUUAAUCAUUUAAAUUUAGAUUUUUUAAAGAUUAUUUGGUACACGAUCAUUUGGCUUUUUUUUUUUUUUUUUUUUUUUUUUUUUUGCAUACGAUCGUUUAGAUUUGACUUUUUUUUUUAUCAAGAUCCUUUAUAUUUUUGGUUGACGAUCUUGAACAACCAACCGUUUGAAAAAAAAUAAAAGUAGAUCUUUUAUAUUUGAUACACGAUCGUGAACCAAAUAACAAUUUGAAAAAAACUAAUAAUAACAAAAGAAGAAAGAAAAAUGACAGAAGAAGAGAAGAAAGACGAUGAACAGAAAAAAAAAUUGCAGAAGAUGAAGAGAAGAAAGACGAUAAAAAGGAAGGAAAAAUCUGAAAUAUUUUAAAAGAAUGGCCAGCAUAAUGGGAUUUUUUCAUUUUGUUACAUAGGCCGUAAAUAUUUUGACAAUUUGUUAUAUUUUUUAAAAGUAACCAAAUUUCUAUUAUAAUAUUGAUUAAUCUAACCCUCAUCAUUCAUCUUUAGCUUUACUUUUAUGUUGCAAUAUAUUUUUUGUGUUGCAAUAUGUUAAUACUUGAUAAUUUAAGUGAAAAACUCGAAGAUAUACACGUAAGAGAGUGUAGAAAAAUGAUCUAAUGUCAUUUGUGACUUCAAGUCCAAAAAUGUCACCCCCUCCCGAGGUCAGCCCACGCAACCCGAGGAAGGAGUGAUCGUCGAGGCUCCCAUGUUAGACUUAUUUGAAAUAUAAUAUUAUAAAUGUGGUCCAUAUGCAAUAUAUGCUAUUUUAUCUCUUUCAGGCCUAUUAUUUUAUUAGACUCAUUAGGUAAAAAGAUAAUGUUUUAAUUAAACAUCGUGAUGGAUGAUGUCUAUAAAUAGAAUCUUAGGGAUUACGAUUGACUACCUCAUUAAUUAAGUAGUUCAUUUUUUCCAUCAAGAAAUCUAAUUAAGAUCUAAAGGAAGACAAGUGAGAGAAACAUCAUUCCUCAAGAAGAUUAUUCAUGGAUCAAGGUAUGUUAUUCUUUAUCUAAAUUUAAUUUGUAAAAUCAUCUAGUUCAAAGAUCUUGACACUUAUUGUUAGAUACAAUGUUAGAGUUUUAUUGUAUAAUCAUGAAACUAAAGUUUACAUGUGGUAUCAGAACCUUGAUUGAGAACUUGUGAUUUUACAAGAACGCUUUAAUCAUUUGUUUUUAAUGUUUUUGGUGCAUGUUUUCAUCAAUUUGAAUUACAUUAUUUAAUUAUCAAUUAUCAUUUGAAUUAAAGAAUCUUGAAUCACUACAAGAAAAACUGUCUAUUAUGACAGUUGUGUAUAUCACAAAAUGGGGGAGAAAAAAAAACGGUCACAAAAUGUAAAAUUUCACGUUUCUGACGGAAAAAGACGAAAUUUUUCGGAUAACACAUUCUGCAAUAGUUAUUUGAUGUCAUAGAAAAAACAUAAAAUAAUAUUUUAUUUUUUAUUAAAAAAAUAAUAAAUAAAGAUUAGAAAUUUAGAAAAUAUUUCCCCAAAUCAUUAACCCAUAUUAUUUUCCCCAAUCCAAUCCAAUCGUCUUUCAUCUCCAAUCCGACCGUCUUUCGGCCUCGUCACCAUCCGCCCCUACUCCUGCCGUCUGUUCACUCUGGCGUGGCCGUCUAUUCGCUCUGACGUGCCCAUCUGUUCACUCCGGCACUGCCAUUAACGAAUGACGAAACCCCCGCAAUCCCUCCACAAUCUCCGAACCUUUUCAAUUUGUUCCCGUCUUCUCCGACGCUACCAUUUGUGCCUGCCAUCAACUCCUUUGCCGGUAAGCUUCUAUUCUUUUUCUCUUUGUCUCUCUCUUUCUGAAUAUUGUGUAAUUACCUUUUAUAACAUCGACAACUUCAAUAUUAAGGGAGUCUCAUAUAGCUAAAAAGCCUCCAGCAGAUCCCGUGUUUAGUAUUUUCAUUCCUUUCAUUCCAUGUUGAGCUUAUUAUUAGUAAUGGCAUGCAUAACACAAAUUCUAUUCUUUACAAGCUAAUUGUGUAGUUGUUUGUUGAAUGAAUUUCUUUCUAUCACUAUUAUCCUUUUCCACAACAUGUUCAACAACAGAAACCUCAUCGAAUAAGAGGUUCAUUAGCAGUUGCAUAAGAGGUUCUUUCACGAGUUUAUGAGUCUGCUUGAACAACCCAAAUUUUUUUUAUGAAUUUUGAAUACAUUUAUAAACACUCCAACAAUCCAAUACCUUUAUACAUGCAUUUCAACUACCCCUCUUCUUCAUACCCAAGUCAGGAGAAGAAAAAAACGCUUUACAUAGCUCUCUUUGUCCUCUUCUUCAACUUUUUUUUUUUUUUUUUUUUUUUUUUUUUUUUUUUUUUUUUGUAAAUGGGGUUAAAGUAGAUUCUUAAUUCUAUAUUUACUUAAGUUAUGGGUCUCACGGAGAAGCAACAACAGAAUCAGAAGGAGACAAAAAGAGAAGGAAUCAAGAAUGUGGAGCAAGUGAAGGAGGGGCGAGUUUUUUUUUUUUUUUUAUUGUGGAGGUUUGAAUUUAUAGACUUAAUUUUCAACAACAAAAUGGUCAUGAAACAAGCGUAAGUUUAAUUUGAAUUUGAGGGGAGACAAUAUUUGCUUCCUACCUUUAGGCAUUUAUCUUAUUGUAUGUUAGUCAUUUUCUGCAGUGUGAGAUCUCUUGUUGCUUUGAAUCUUAACAACUAUGGUAGUGGCAGGCAUCAGUGGAGAAAUCUUACACCAGAGUACAUGGAAAAGGUUUAUAGUUCCAUUUUUUCCCUUUACAGAGCACACAAUAAUUUUUUUUGUUUAUUUUUCAUCAAAUUCUACUUUCUGGCUCAAUUCCACUUGGACUCUAAACAAGAGAUAAUUUUUGCUUAGGGCUUGGCCCUUUUUAUUGCGACUCUCAAGGAAUGGGAGAUAACCUGGAAUUUUAUUUUGGAAUCAUAUUCUUUUUUUAGACUGUUGCCUAUGUGGUCUUGGAAGAUUUUUAUCACAUAAGACCACAAUCUCUAUUACAAACCAAACUAAACUCUAAAGACCUUCAACAAAAGUUGGAAAUCAAAGUGUAGCAAACUACCAUCUCUAGAGAAUGCAAUGUGAUCUAAUUCCUCAAAUGCUUCCCUGCUACGAAUGCACGGGUGCAGCUCGAACACAAAGAAAGAUUAUCCCUGUAUAUAAUCUUUUUUAUAUGAAGCAUCUUUGAUAUAAUCUAUAAUAUUAACUCCCUAAUGCAAGUUCUUUGCCUUCUAAUUAUGCCACUCUAGAAACUUGACAUUCUUAGAAGUUUCUUCCUUUACGGCGAGGUGAAGUUGAAAGUAAUGAUAUUGAUGGUGUUGACUGUGCAGAAACUAACCUAAACUGUAUCAAACGAUUCCACCUCAAGGUCAUGAAUCAUGAAUGUUGGAAUUGAAUCACUUAGUUACUUUGUGAAUCCGUAUUUAUUUAGUUCUUUAACUAAUUUAUAGAGCUAGAUAAUGAUAUUUUUUUUCAAAUUUUGUUAGGUGAUUGAUGUGUGGAGAAAACAUUGGAGCAAACACAUAUAUGUGGGAUAAUUAUGGUAUUGCUACAAUUUAAACAUCUUUUUUUAUCCUAUCAAAAUUUGGGAUUAUAUAUAUAAAGUCAUUUUAUUUGAAUUAAGAAUUUACUCGUUCUAGUAGUUAAGGACUUUGUUGGAACUUAGUAUUAAUUUUUUCAAACCUUUGAAUGUAUAUAAUGCUUUCUUUUUCUUUUUUACGUUAUAAAUUUGAAUAUUUUGGUUGUAAUUAUUAUCAUGAAUUUGGAUGAAUGUGAACUAUACCUUCUUAGUAUGGCAAAUUACGACACAAUAUCUAUAUGAUUAUAAUUUGAUUUUACAAUAAUAAUAUUAGAUAGGUGUUAUUAGAUAAGUUAUAGUUAUGUUUGUAUUAUUACAAAAAAUGCUAUAGAGGGUCAAUCAACAAUAAAGUUUGUAGGUAAAAGUGUGGUAUUUAUAACUUUUUUCCAUUACAAUAAAUAAUGCUAAUAAAAAUAAGAGACCUUCAAUAACAUAUCUAGUCUUUUAUAAUGUCUUUUUAUUGUUAUACAAUUUUUUAUGAUACUUUUUCAAUAUUAUGAAACGUUUCUGUAACAGUAAAUUAAAGCUAUAAUAUAUCAAUUUUUUUAUAUUGUUAUUAAUAGCUCUACAAAAAUCGCUAUUAAAAGUCAAAGACUUUUUGCUACGACAACAUUCAUAAAACGUUAAAAACAAUGGUUUAUAGCAUUUUUUCAAUGUUAUUAAAAUAGCUAUUGAUUGGUUUUAAUAACGUUUUUCUGAAUGCAGUAAAAAAAUGUACAAAAAGUCUUUUAUAACAAUUUUCCAAUGUUAUUAAAACGCUAUUGAAACAUUUUGAUAACAAAUUUUCAAUGUUAUUAAAAUAGUUGUUGAAACGUUUUAAUAACGUUUUUUGAACACAAUGAACAAUGCUAUAAAAUGUCUUUUAUAGCAUUUUUCCAAUGUUAUUGGAUCAUUUUGAUAACAAUUUUUCCAACGCAAUAAAAAUCACAAUUCAAUUUUCAAUAGUGUUUUUUUUUUCAUGUUAUAAAAAACAUUUAUAUCAUCAUAUAUGUGUUAUUAAAAUAGAUAUAUUAUAACAUUUUGCACAGUGUUGUAAAGACGCUAUGGAAAGUCAUGGACUUUCAAUAACAUUAGCUACGACAACAUUUUGAAGACGCUAUUGAAAAUUAACAAUAGCGUUUUUUUGAUGCUAUCGUAACUGAUAUUUCUUAUAGUUAUUAGAAGGGAGACAUGAAUGAACCGGUAUCACAUCUGAAUAAGAGGGAUCCUGAGGACAUGAAAGUAAUGUUCGGAAAGACUUAAAAGAAUUAAAAGUUAAUACCUAUACCAACAAGGUUCACCUUUCAUUUUGGUGGCUCGAUCAUAGGAACUUUAAAGUUAAACGUGUGUAGCUUGGAGUAAUUCUAUUUUGGGUGAUCUCAUGAAAAUUUUUCUAUGAUGCAUGUGAGUGAGGACAAAGGAUGCUGAAAGGACUCGUGUUCGUUUGUGUAUUUACUUUAAGAAUAGUUAGGAUGACGCUGCUAGGUCGUAGGGGAUGAUGCAGGGGAAUGUCGAAGAUUUGAAUUCCAAAUCGUGGAUUUGGGGCGUUACACUAAACACUAAUAGACCUAAUAAAAUAAUAGGCUUGAAAGCAUAUAAUACGUAUGGGUCAUAUUAAUAAUAUUAUUAUAUUUAAAAUUUGAUGGUUCUAAAAUUUUCAUCGUCAUUUCUCCAAAAUUAUGCAUCUUCCACUGAGUGUUAAGAUGAAAAGGUGAAAAUAGUUUAGUACAUGAAAUCCAUGGGACAAAUAGUUUUUUCUGUCUUCUACAAGGGUUUAUUUUUUAUAUAUUUAUGUUAUUUAUGAUUUUGACUCAAAAGUUUUAGAGAAGUGCACUAACUCUCGAACCUUAGAGGCACAUCUUAAUAUGAGUUUUUCUUUCCAAUAAAAUUGCUCAAUCGUGAACUUUAUUCCAAAAUAAUGUGAUUUGAAAAAUUAAUGUAAAAAAUAAGAUUCGACAAAAACGAUUGACAAAAAUAUGAUAUUUUUGGGUCACACCUCUUCUUUUAUAUAUAUAUAUAUAUUAUAUAUAUAUAUAUAUAUAUAUUACUCAUGGUCUCAUGCUUUCUUUUUUUAUUAUUUAUAUAUUAGUGGGUCAUACACCUUCUUCUUUUUUCUCAUUAUAUAUAUAUAUAUCUUUACUUAUUAAAAUUAAUACCAACUUCCCAAUUUUAAUUAAUUUAUUAUAUAUAAAAAUAUAUUAAAUAAUUCAAUAUUUAAUUUUUUAUUAAAUUCACCUUUUCUAAUUUAUUAUUUCUUAAUUAAAAUUAUGCACACUUUUUUUCCAAUUUCCAACUUUCUUUUAUAAAACAAACACCUAUAUUAACAAAAUAUGUUAUUAAAAAAUACAUUAAACAAAAUUCUAAUACAUUUUGUUUUGAUAAAAAAAUACAUUUUAGUAUCUCAUCUAACUCUUACAUUUUAAAUUUUGUAUCUUAUCUAUGUGUAGCCACCUAGUUUUAUCCUACAUUUUUUUUCUUUAAAGAAUAAUAAUAGUAAUAAUGACUAAGAUUUUAUUUUUUUAAUAAUAUAAAAUCCUAUAAUAUUCAUAUUUUUUUAAAAAAAGAAAAAUAAAACCUUAAUGAGCAUAUGUAUCAUUUUAGGGGAAAAAAAGAAUCAAUUUAUAUUACCUCAUUUUAUUUGUUUAUAUUAUUUUACAAAAAAGAAAUAUAAUUUAUUUUACAAACAAUCACACAAUAUCUAAUUUGAUUUUAUCCCUAUUGAAUUUUUUUAAUAGGAUACAACAAUAAAUUCCUCGUACUAAUGAUAUAAAACUAUUUUCUAAAUUUAAUUUGGAAUCGAGCCAUAAUUUUCAUCGAUCAGCUUUAAAUUAUUUAUCAAUUCUUGUUCUUUUUCUUUUUGCCAUAAACAUAAAUUUUUUUAUGAGUUUUACUUUGAGAAAAUAGCAAAAGUAAUUUUAAAUUGUUAAAAUAGAAAAACAUAAAAAUUAAAAAAUAAUAAAUAAAUAAAACAAUCCCUCAAAUAUUAUCCAAUAUGUAAAAUACAAUUGUUCACCUAAACCCUAAAUACUCUGUAAUUGAAAUAACGCAUAUGCUACAUAAAAAAUUUCCUCCAAAAAUAUAAAUAUUAUAAAAGUUGUCAUUAAUGAGAAGCUCCACCUCAUGCCUACAAAAUUUAAAACUUGUGCAAAGUGAUAAUUUUUUUCCUUGGAAUUUGGCCGCUUACUUUCUUCUUUGAAAUUGAUAGUUGCAAAAUUGAAACACAUUCAAUACAAGAGUUUGGCUCUACAUCUGUGGAACAACCAUAAUCGAAAGCUUCAAGUUGAGAAGGGGAGCAUUGUUGAUAUUAUAGUAAAGAUGAAAUCAUGAAAUUAUAUCAUAGAAUUCAAAACUUAUAUACAUCUUAGCAAGAUACACAUCGGUGAAUUUGUCCACUCAAAUUGGUGAGUUCUUCAAGUUCUUCAUACAUUCGAGAUUCAUUUGAGUAUUCUCCUCUCUUGUUUGCAAGAAAAAAUUUAUCGCUCACUGUGUUUGUCUGUUUGUCUCUUGUCGACUGCCCCCCUCUAUUAAUCUCCUUCUUUUUUUUUUUUUUUUGCUAAUAAAACCUAAAAGAAGAUUCAAAUAAUUGCAAAAAUGUCAUUGAGACAUAAUUAAAUUCUAAAAAUUAUUUCAAAUUGUUAUUAAAAAUAUAUAUUAUGUAUUAUUUAAUAAAUUAUUUAAAAUAUAACAAAUUUGAAAAUCUUGUAUAUAUUUGUUAUUAUUGUUGUUGGUUUGGUAACAAAUCCAUCUUAAUGUUAAGUUUUUUGAAUUGGAAAAAAUAUAUGAUAAUAUGAUCAAAUAAAUAUUAAUAACUGAAUAAGUGAUCAUGAUAUAAAACGAAAAUAAGAAGCAUAAUAAAUUAAUUUUUUAAUAAAAAUCAACGAAAAUAAGUGUGUACUUUGAUAUAUAAAUUAAAAUAACUAUGUACUAUCUAAUAAUAUUUUAAAAAUUAAUUUGAAAUAUAAAGGAUACGAAAAUAUUGAGUUAGUGAUUUUCGUUAUUUUAGGGAUUAGAUUGAGGAACGGUUUGAAAAUAUUUUAGCAACUUUUUAGGGAAAAUAUUUAUUAAACAUUAGAUUUAUGAAUUAAAUAAAUAGAUGUUAAUUAAAUUAAUUUAAAUACUAAAUAUCCAAAAAUUUGUUAGGAAUUAUAGGCAUAUAUUUAAGAGAUAUAAGGGAAAUCUUGUCAAUCUUGAAAAUAUCAUAAAUUAGUUAAUAUUUUUCAAAACUGAUUGUAGUGUACAAAAUACAUUGUAUCUGUAACUGUAUGAUAUUUGGUCUCAUUAUUUAUAUCAUGCAAAUAUAUUGGUAAAACACGUAUUAUCCUACAUGAAGGGGUAUAAAAAAACGUAUUAUACUUUUUGAUUUAGACAUGUAUAGCAAGAAGGGUUGGAAAUAAAACGUCUAAUUAAAAUAAAUAUAAAUAUUAACAUAAUUAAAAAACCAAAAUAAAUUAUUUUUUAAUAAAAAUCAACCAAAAUAAGUGUAUAAUUAUAAUUAGCACGAUUGUAGGAAUGAUAAAACUUUUAUUUUUAAAUUAUUAUUAACCAUAUGUACUAUGUAUUAUAUGAUAUUUUAUUUUAAAUAACUUAAAAUAUAAAUAAUACAAAAAUGCUUAGUUUAUGCUUGUCAUUAUUUUAAGGAUAUGAUUAAUAAUUAAAAUCAAAAUAUUAUGAAAUAUGAUGGUUGAAAUUCUCAUAACCAUUUUUUUUAUCAAUACGUACUAUAUAUUAUUUAAUAACUUUUUUAAAAUAAUUUGAAAUAUAAAUCAUACUAAAAUAUUGAAUUAGUGAUUAUCAUUAUUUUAGAGAGAUUUCAUAAUAAAAUAUUAUGAAAUGUCAUGAAUGAGUAACAGUUUGAAAAUCUUUUAUCAAUUUUUAGGAAAAAUAUUUAUUAACCAUAUAAGUUUUAUGAAUUAAAUAAAUAAAUGUUAAUUAAUUUAAUUUAAAUAUUAAACAUAUGAAAAUUUGUUAUGAAUUAUAGGCAUAUAUUUUAGAAGAUAUUGGAGAAAUCUUGUCAAUUCUCAAAAAUCAUAAAUUAGUUAAGGUUGUCAAGAAGAAUAGCAAACUAUAAGUUUUACAUUGGAAAAAUAACAAAAAUAAUUUUAAAUUGUUAGAAUAGCAAAACAUAAAAACUAAAAAAAUAAAUAAAUAAAACAAUUUCUUAAUGCCCCUACUCAGUGUGAAAAAUACCAUUGUUCACUUAUACCCCAAAUACACUAUAAUUGAAAUAACAUAUGUUACAUAAAAAUUUCUUCCAAAAAACAUAAAGAUUAGAAAAUUUGUCAUUAAUGGGAAGCCCCACCUGCGUACAAAAUUUAAAAUCCGGUGAUUAUUUUUUUUUCUUGUACUUCAGUUGCUCACUUCCUUCUUUCAUUAACCCUAAAGAAAGCCAUUUGAAACUUUUCAUCUUCUUACAUAUCCCUUCUGGGCAAUGGUCGAGCAGAUCACUUAUGGACAUUCCAAAUUUCUUCCUCUUUCAUACGGUUUUUUUUUUUCAUCUUAAAAUCUUACAAAUGAUAUAUUUUUUUUUCAUUUGGACUUCGCCCACUUACUUCCUUCUGUUCCUCUAUCAUUCGGACACUUUUUUUUUUCAUUCGAAACCCUACAAAAAACCAUUCAAUAUAAUUUUAACACUGUUUUUUUUUUGGAAAAAUUCAAAUAUGGCAAUUGUUGUGGCUUCUGUAAAUUUGGAAGCUUGGAAAGAGAAGAAUAGUUUGAAUAAAUAAUUGUUGUUUUUAUUAAUUAAUUAUAUGAUAUAUUUAGAUAUAACAAACAAUUUUUUUAUAAUAAUUAUUAUUAUAAAAUAAAAUGUAGUACACUAUCUCCUCCAUUUUAAGAGCAAACAAAGGGAUUGAUUUGUAUUAUUUGUUUUGAACGUUUAUUAUUUUAUAAAUAUUGUAGAAAAUCUAAAUAUGAGAACGGAUAGAUUAUUCAAAUACGGUGUAUUUUCAACCGAACCAACAGAUACAUAAUCAACAACCACAACUAGGAAUUUCAACAUAACCAACAUAAGCCAAUACACGUCCUUGUCUUCGAUAAACUGAAUAAGGUUUGAAUUGUUGCAUUACACAGAAAGAUCUGAAGAUGGAAAAAGUGUACUAUAAAGUCAAAUCUACCGUGAAAGAAAUUCGAAUGCAAACGCUAAAUUAUUCUUAGUACUAAAACUAAAAUCGAAUAUUAGUGUAAUUCAAAAUAAAAAUGUCAUACAAAAAUUAUUGGUAUAAUUAAAUAAUUUUUUUAGAUAAAAAUCACACAAUUAUCAUGAUUUUUUUAUGAGAUCUUGAAUUUAAAAUCAAAAUUUUAGUACUUUCCUAAUUAAAUUUUAAUAUCAAUUUUAAAAUAACACUUAUGGAGUAUAUAAAAAGGAUAUUAAAAAUAUUAUCAUAAAAUUUUGAAAUUAUGUACGUUUGCCAUUAAUUUAGGGGGAUCAAUCAAAAAUCACGAUGUUUAUGGAUGAUAAAAAAUUUCUUAAAAUAAUAAUAUGCACGUUAAAUACAUAAUAAUUAUAAGGGGAAAAUAAAAUCAUUUUAGGUUAAAUGAACUAUUUUAUGGAAUUUUUAAUUUCAAUUUAUUAUGAUGUUAAAUGAACUAUUUUAUGAAAGUUGGUUAAAUGCAUAAUUACAGGAAAAAUAAAAUCUUAAUAUGAAGUUGUUAUUAUAUCAAAUGCACGAUUUUAGGGAAAGAUAAAAUUAUAAAUUGAAAAUUUGAACAUAUUUCAACUAAGAUUUCAAAUUCAAAUAAUAAAAUAAAUAUUUAUAAACGUUGAAUUAUAAGUAUGAAAAUUGUGUAUUAUGUAUGAUAUAAUAAAAUGUUACUAAAUAUUAACCAAACCGUAUGAAACGUUGAAUGAAUAAAUUAUAUUAUCAAUUAUUCUAUGGAUAGAAAAACGAAUAUAAAUUAAAUACCUAUUAGUAUAUAUUUUAUGAAUUAUAUAAAUAAAUUUUAAAUAGUUGAUUUGAAACCUACAAAUUCGAAAACCUGAUAUAAAAUGUUACUAAAAAUUAACCAAAUCAUUAUAUGAAAAUUUAUAUAUUUAUAUGAUAUAAUAAAAUGUUAUUAAGAAUUAACCAAACCUUAUAAAACGUAUAAUGAAUAAAUUAUAUUAUCAAUUAUUUUAUGCCUAGCAAAAAAAAGUGAACUAAAUAGCUAUCAUUAUAUAUUUAUUAAUACAAAUAAAUUGUUAAUCAUUUGAAGCCUACAAAUCCAAAAAUCUGUUAUAAAUUAAAGGUAUAAAUCUAGGAGAUAUUGGUUAAAAGAGAUCAAUCCCGAAAAUAAAUAUUUAUUUAAUAUUUUUAUAAAACUGACUAAUAUGCAAAUACAUUGUAUUCGUAAAUAUGUAUUAUAUUAUAUUAUUUUACUCUGCACAAAUACACUGUAUCUGAGAAAAAUGAGUUUCAGUCUUCUAAAAUUGGUUGACAAGUUGUCAACAAAUAUCUACUUCAAGCGGUUUUGCUAAAAAUCAAAUUAUUAUUGAGAUUUGCUAUUUUCCAAAUUGUACUCCAUUAUUAUUUUGUCAUUCUCAUGGUUAUCUCAAUUAGUUAAUAUUUUCCAUUGUAGUUUGUAAAAUACAUUGUAUCAAUAUUUGGCCUCAUUAUUUGCAAGCAAAUAUGUUGUAUCUAUAAAACAUGUAUUAUCCUACAUAAAUGGUACAAACGGUUCAAAAAAUUAUGUAACCAUCGGUUUUGCCAAAAUUUUUAAUAUUUUUCAAAUUUGCUAUUUUUCAGUUUGUUAUACUAAUUUUUUUCAUUCUCACGGUUAUCUCUAAAAUCAGGGGUUUAACAUGUGAGGUAAAUUGAGAGUUUUUUUAUUUAAAUUUUAGUUCUCAAAUUUAAACUAGUGUUUUCACUUCCAUUUUAAAAUUAUUAAUAUAACUUUUGGAUUACAAGUUAAAUAAAUCAAAGAUUUAAAUAAUUUGAGUUGGUCUCACUCAAAAAGAUUAAAAAUUUGUUUAUAAUUUUAUGUAUUAAAUAAGAAUUUUUUUAGUCAAAAUAGUUAGUGUAGUUUCUUAUUGUUUUGAGCCAAUAAAUAUAGAAUUUCUUUAUUUUUUGUAUAUGUAAAAUAAAAAUAAUUUUUUAUUACUCAAAUAAAAAAAUAAAAAAUGGUACAUUUUUUUCAAAGAAUAAAAAUAAAUGAACACAUUGAAACUUUUCUUUUCAUCUUUGUUUUGUCAUUUUUUGUAUGGAAAAAAUAUAAAUCCUCUUCCUCAGUGAAACUUGAAGAAAAUAAAUGAAAAAAAGCUUAAAAUUUUGAAUAUAUUUGACACAUAAUUAAAUUUUAAAACACACGAUUAUACGUAAUUUUAUGUUUUAAGAGUAUGUCAUACCUAGCGUACAAAAUAAGAUUUCAAUAUACAUUUUUCAUUUUUUUUCUUUGGUUACUCUAACUAGAAGACUUAUGACUUAUUUGGAUUGACUUAAGAAAAAAGUAUUUUUUUAUAAAAAAACUCAUUUUUAUUUAAACUCUUUUGAUAAAAGCGGUUUAAAUAUUACAUUGCAUGUGCAUCAUAUGAAGGCACAUAAGUAUCACUAAAUGUGAUUCUAUUUGACAUAGCUAUUAGACCCUUUUGAAUGUUUUGCUUAACUAAAACUUUUUAAAACUUCAUCUGAUUACAUAAUUUGUUAUAUUUUAUGAAUAGUUUAUAAUAUUCUUAAUAAAACCAUUCAUUUGAUACAACUGUAAUAAAAAUUAUUGUUAUUGAAUAUUAAAAUUUUUUGUUUUUAUAUUAUUGUCAUGAACAUCAAUAAGUCAAGAAAUUGAAUUAUAUGUACAAAAUAUUAAAAAAUCAAUUAAAUAUUUUUUAUAUGAUAAACUUAUAAUGUACAAUUGACAAAAAAAAAAAAAAAAAAGAUUAGCUAAGCGUAGGAAUUCAAAAUCAACACCCCAAACACAAACAUUAAAAAUCGAGAUUACCAAUUCUUACACUCAAUUCAUGCACUCCAAACAUAAGCAUUUGUAAUUUUCAGAUAUCAGAACCUCAUCAAAUAAGCUCACCGUCGUUUAUUUUCAAGGUAUUUGAUUUUGAAGCUACACCCUAAGUGUCCCCUUAGGACAAAAGAUGAGUGAAAAGUUCAAUUUACCUUUAAAUGAAAACUUCCCUUCUCUUUCACACAACAAACUUACUCUCCUCUCCCACUUGUUAUUUUCUCCCUCUAACUUCUCUCGCUAAUCUCUUUCAAACUCUCUUUCUCUUGAAAAAUUGUUUAGUUUAAUUAUUAAAAAAAUUGGAAUAAAUUUAUAUUAAUUUCUACUCUUACAACAUUUUUAUUUUAUGUUUUCAUCAACUUUUUUCCCCCUGAUUUUCAAUUAUGUUUUUUUUAACAUGUCAUAAAUUUAAACAAGUAUUAAGUUAGAUUGUCUUUUACUUUUUAUAGUUACAUAAAAUAUAUAUAUUUUUUUAACUUACCUAAUUGAAUUUAGAUAUGAUUUGUUCUACAAUUCGGCAAUUAUAUAUAUUUUUUGUUUCAUCUCUAUGAUUUAAAUUUUAGAACAAAACAUUUAGGUUUAUGAUUAUUUUAUCUUAUUUUAUCUAUUUAUGUGAAAUUAGAUAGGUGCAUACCCAAACUUUGAUUUCCUAUUUAUUUAAUGGUUUAUUAAAUUUAUUCUUUCAAACUUAUUACUCUUAUUCUUCUUGCCAUGCACUUUUGAUCAAGUUGUUGAAUUAUUUGGUAAAUGUUAAUUUAGUUUUUUUUUUACUGUUAUAUUCUCCUGAAUUUUUUUUUAUAGAGAAAUUUUUAAAGUCGAUUUUUUUUAAUUGAGCUUAUGAUUUCUUAACUAAUAUAAAAAAUUAGCAUGAUUUUACACAUUAAGGAAGCUACUAUCAUUUAUACCUUGUAAACAUCUCACGAGUUUUAAACUUGAAAAUACCUAAUUUGAAAUCAAUUUUAUACUAAUUUUAGGUGAUUUUACACAUAUUUUAUAGAAAUAGGUUCUAUUUUAUACAAAAAUAAGCUUAGUUCAACAGUAAUUGAUAUGAUUUUCAAGUCAUUUUUUGAAAAACUUUUUGAAAACUACUCAAAAUAGCUUUCAAAUACUUCAAGUUUAUUUCGGCAAUUUUUAUAAAAAAUGUUUAAAUAAAAAUAUUUUUUCUAUAGUCAAUUCAAGCAUAACGCUUUUAUCUACUAUUUCUUAUUUUAUUUUUCAUCACCAUGUGUCUGUGUAUGAUAUGUAAUCAAAUGAUGAUAGGGAGAAUGAAGCUGGUCUUAUUCAUGAUCUUGUUUAGAAGGUCUCGUCUAUAUUAAAACAAACACAAUUACUAAAUGUAGCCAAGCAUCCUGUUGGAAUUGAUUCUCAACUUAAUGCUAUUGAAGAAUUAGCCUCCCAUGGUGUGUCAGAUAAUGGUGUUAACAUGGUGGGGAUACAUGGGAUGGGAGGCAUUGGUAAGACAACUUUGGAAAAAGCUUUACACAACAAAAUCACUCAUCAAUUUGAAGCCGAUCUUAAAAAGGUUCUUACAUCCUCUUGUUUUGUUAACAUUGAUUUUGAGCAUAUUAAAUCUCAAUUCCAUAGGACCUUUAAUUAAGGAACUUCAAAAGAGAGCUAAUCGUAACGUACAGCAAAAUCCCGAAAUUUUACAACAAUCAUACCAUAGAAAGUUCAAUAAGUUUUAGCUUUCAACAUAAUUCAGAUAUGAUCAUACCUGUUUUGGUUGUGUGUGUUGUUUUCAAUGUGGAUGAAGAUUCAUGUGAUACUGAGGCUUUUACUCAUGUUCAAGUAUUGAAUGAUGGUCAAAUGCUUAUGAUGCCUACUAUGGGAGGUUGGUGCAGGUCAAAAUCAGAACAUAUGUUGUUACUAAGAACUCCAUCACAAUUGAUAUACUUGAGUGAGAAUAAUCAACACAAAAUCGAAGUCUUGUUUCAGGUUUGGAAUUAUAAUAAAAAGGCUGGGUGUGUAUGUUGUUGAUGAGCUUUUUGAGCAAUACAAAUGAUAAUUGAGGUCAAGAAGAAAGGAAGGGGACAGUUCAGUGAGUGAUCAUACACCAUUAUUCCCAAUUUUUAUUGAAUGUUUCGGUUUUAUUGUUGUCUAUCAAGUUUUUCUUUAAUUCAUUGUUUUUUCUCUACGAUGAUAUGGUAUUGUCCACUAUUGGCACAAUGAGAUGAUAUCAGUGAACACAUCAAAUUUAAUAAUUAGCCCAUCUACUUUGAAAACAGUAACGCAGACAGCCAAAAGCUUGUUGGCAAAGAUUAAAAUCUAAACAAAUGCACAACAAACCUCAAAAUCGUUGUUUGGGGCCUACUCGAUCAAUGAAUCUUAAAUCUCAAUGCCAAAUAUCUUCUUUACAAGCCAUUAGACAAAGAAACAUCAUGAGCUUUGGCCAAGAGGAGCCAAAACCAUGCUUAAAGCUCCCAAAAUCAGUCCACUAACUCUCCUCUCUUACCCAAACAUGAAGGCAAACUAUUUAUAAUGACUGUCAAAGAGCUUUGCGACGCCACUUAUGCUGUUGCGGUUUUAGAUGCUGGAACAGGUUGUUGUAGACUGUGCGUUCGAGGGAGACUUGUGACGAUGUCUCAGGGUCACACUGGAUCUGACCUCCGCUCUCCUCUGAAGCCUCUGGAACUUGUGUGAUGCUCGAAUUCCUACAAGAUAGACACGUAAACUGAUUAAUAAUUCUAAAAAAGUUAGAACAGAGGCAUUAAGAUAGUUCAUUCAGGGAGCUAUUAAUAAGAAGCCAAACAAGGAACAAUGAAAUUGUAAGGGUGUAUCGGGUGACUCACCAAGUUUGCCUUUGCUGCCCUCUAACGUCAAUAUGGACGCCCAAACUUCUUAUGGUUGCUCUAGCAUUAUCAUAAGUCUUGUUAAUCGUACAGGAGACUUGACAACUCAUGCUCACAGAGCUAAAUGUUAGAGGGGUCGUUAUUAACCACAUAUAUUCUGAUUUCGAUGAGGGCCGGACGGUGAUCUCAAAAUAUUUUAGUGAUUCACCAUCAAUGAAAAUAUCAUAUUUUAUAGAAGCCUUCGCUUCACAUGAAUCUCCAUCUACUUUGAAAAUAACACAGGCAGCCAACACUUGUGUCUUUUGUGGACAGUGUUGAAGGCUAACGCUUAUUGAACUUGUUGUAGUAGUUUGAUGGUUGAACCAUUCUGGGAUCAUACCAUUCAUUAGAAUGAACUCUCUUGACCCUGAGUCAUUUAAUCUAUCCUGCGGAACAGAAAAUCAUAUGCAAAAAAGAUAUGUAAGGAACCUUAUAUGGACAGAGAUAGGAAAAACUAACAAUAUCUACAUUAUAUCAAAAUCAACUUCUCCAUAGGCUACUCUAAACUUGACAAAAGAUGUACCUGAUUUGCAUAUAUUAUAUCGUCAAGGUUGUCAGGACCUGUAACCAAUGAUUCACAACCUCUAGCAUCCAUUGUUUGUAUGCUAUGGGGAAGGUUUGGGAUUUGGAGAAGGAAGUUGCAAUUCUUUAACUGAAGCUCCUUCAAUGAAGUAAAUUAUGGAGACAUGGUGGUAGAACAGAAAAUUUGUUUUGAGACAAAUGUAGCUGAGAUAAGAAAGUGGAGACAGUAGAUAAAGGUUCCAAGAAAUCUAUAUUUGAUAGGUUGCAAUUUUUAAGGUCCAAUAUAGUCAGCUUCGAAAGAAGGAAUAUCUGUUCGGUAGUUGGACAAGGAAACAUGUGGAGUUUAGAACAUCCAGGAAGACGAAGUUCCACAAGACUUCGUAACAAAUAAAUUUCACUUGGAAGAGCUACGAGGUUUGCACAACCUUUAAGGCUUAAAAACUCGAGCUUAGCAAGAUGUUCAAUCGAUGAAGGUAACUCCUCUAUGGCAGUAUAGUCUAAAAUCAUCCUUGUUAAAGAUUUCAUGUUUUCAUCAAAUUCUGGAACUCGUUGAAGCUUACGACAGUCCGAAAGACAGAAAGAAUCAAGAGACUUUAACAUGAGGUAGCUAGGAAGCUUUUCAAGAUUAACACAACCCUCAAGGUCUAAGGUUAUCAGCUUGUUAAGAGAAGAAACAGACUCGUGAAUCGUUUUUAAGCUUAUGCACCCUCUCAGGUACAAAUACUCAAGGUUUACUGCAACAGAUAAGUCAGGAAUUUCUUCCAAAAGCUCACAGUAACUGAGAUCAACAUGCUUCAACCGUUCACAAUUCUGAACACAGAAGGGAAAAAGAAAGUCAUAAUUAAUAAUAUUUCUGGAAAAAUAUGGCUCACAAACUACUAACUAUAAUUUACCUCAAAUCUAUUCCCCAAAUAUUUGAUGCAACAAUGUUGCAUGUCUAGUCCAACAAGCCCCUCUUUCACCAAAAAGCUUGCAGGCAAAGAUGAAAAUCUAAUUCCAAAGCUAGAUAAAACCCACUUGAACUUAUUAAGACCAUACUCAAACAUAUGUGAAGAAAAUGUUAUAUUUCGAAGGAUAAGCAAUUUAAGAUUUUUCAUGUUUUUAAAUGCUUGUGCAUCAAUGGAUGUCGGUGAUAAGUCGUUGGAUAAGUCCAGCUUUAUGACUUUAACUGCAUCUGUUCCCUGCAUAGUUGUAAAUCCCGUGAUUAAAAUUUCUCAUUAACUUAAUUAAAGUGAAAACAAUUUGUGUCAAGUUACUCACUGAAUUCUUUUUCUAAAUACCAAUAACUUCCUUCGCUACCCACAACCUACUCCUAUUUUCAAGGUCAAAUGAUUCACCACGAACAAUGGUAUGACCCAUUUGUGGUAUUAAAUCAUGCAUUUGCACCUUACCAUUUUCAAUAGAAAUAAGAGAAAGAUCAUUGAGAACUGUAAUUCCAUAAUCUGGAUUGAGAUCACGUGCCUUCAACAUACUCUUCAUGCAGUAAACAUCAUCCCCAACGAACAAGCAACAAAUAUCAACGAAGAGUUCCUUCAAUCUGUAUUCAAGCCCCUCAUAACUUAUUUGGAAGAUAUCUUGAACACCUUUCUCGAGGGAGAUGACAAGUUCGUCUAAUUUACUUUUCCAUACCGACUGUUCUCUUUUGUAAAGGAAGAACCCAAAAGAACAAGAGCCAAAGGAAGUCCUUGACAAUAACCUACCGCAACUUCUGCAAGCUCUAAGUAACUGCUUGAUGGGGACUUAUCCUUCAAAGCAUACCAACUAAGAAGCUCAAGGGCAGUGUCAAGUUUGAGCACAAAAGAGGAACCAACAAUCAAGCUACCGACACUUUCAACCGUAAAAGCCAGCAUGUGACCUUAUGUGUAUGCUAGCCCCAAUGCGUACGAGUAAAGUUGAUGCAUCAAUGCAUGAUAUCAUUAGAGAGUUCAUUCAAAAGGAUCCCUCUGCCCAAGCUGUUAUUGCUCUAGCCAAAGCCGGUAAAACAAGACACUUUUGAGUUGAAGAAGACUUAUUAUUAACAAGAGGAAAUUGAUUAUAUAUUUUCUGGGAGUAGAUGAUCUUAGGAAAAAGUUACUGCAUGAAUAUCAUGACACACUGUGGGCAUGCCUUCUUGGGUGGCAAAGGAUGUAUGCACUAUUGAAGAAAGGCUACUUAUGGCCUAAUAUGCGAGACGACGUCAUGCAAUACAUGAAGACGUGCCUCAACUGCCAACCAGAUAAGAUCGAGAAAGUGGAAUUUUUUAGACUUCUCGAACCCUUGCAUGUUUCGACAAGACCAUGGAAGAGUGUUUCCAUGUAUUCCCACUACCAAACUAUGUUCUACCAAGUUGACUAUACAGUUAUUCUUUAAACAUGUUGUGAAGUUUUGAGGAGUCCUAAGAAGCAUUGUGAGUGACCGAUAUGUUAGAUUCACUGAUACCUUCUCAAAUGAGUUAUUUACUUUCUUGGGGAUGAGCUUGAACAUAUUCUCAAGCUACCACCCUCGGACUGGUGGCCAGACUAACCGAUUCAAUUGUAUGCUUGAGGAAUAUCUACACCAUUUUGUGGAUGCGAGAGAGAAAAAUUGGGUCUAGUUAUUGGAUGUGGUUUAAUUUUGUUUCAAUGCUCAAACAAGCUCAUCAACAGGGAAGAGCCCCUUUGAAAUUAUAAGUGGAAGACAACCCUUGAUGCCUUAUAUUAUUGACCAUUCUUAUGUAGGAAAAAAUCCACAAGCUCACAACUUUACGAAAGAAUGGAAGCAGACUACAAAUAUCGCUCGAGUUUACUUAGAGAAAGUCUCAAAGCGUAUGAAAAAGUGGGCUGAUAAGAAGGGACAUCCUCACGAGUUUCAUGCAGGAGAUCAAGUCCUCAUCAAGUUGAAAGCAACAAAUUCGAUUCAGAGGGCAUAAAGACCAAUGUCUCGUCAAAAAAUAUGAGGUGCCUGUAGAAGUCCUUAAGAAAACGGUGUUGAGUUUUAUGCUCUAAAACUCGUAGAUAGUAAAUAUAAUCCAUUGACCGUUAUUAAUAAAAUUUUAUUAUUUCAAUAAAUGCUAUUGAUUAUAUUAUUAGUUUUGUCUUAAUAAUCUAAAUCCAAUAAACUAACAUCCUAAGUUGUUUGAUGAGUCUUGAACAGUAUGUAGAGACAUACAUGGAUUAAUGUUCGAGAUCAGCUUAAAAUGGUCUAUAAUAUAGGGAUAAGGAUGGGUACCUUAUCCUGGUAACACUAUGAAUAUGGCUCACUUUGUAUUUGAUACAAACGCAAGAAUCCAACAUGUUCGUGUAGGUGACAUGUGAGUGAGGGUAUGCUAUGCAACGAGUUUGCAUAAGACUGGACCACGAAAUAGUAACCACUAGAUGUAACUUCGUUAACUAGUUAGCUUUAUAUUUCAUUAGGAUGACCUAGGUAACUUAGUCUUAAUCCUGAAUAUAUUAUGAACUCCUCCUUGCGAGAAUUGUCAUUUGAUUUGUUCGGGUAAGAGUGGUCAAAUUGUCGACUCAAUGUGUUUAUCAUUUUUGGGGACAAGAUCGAUUAGUGAGCUGAGAACAUAAUCACACAAGAUGGAAUUCACUCAUUUUCAACUUUAGGGUAAGUAGAUGAGUGUUCUCUUAAAUGGUGUCUCCAGAACUUGAACAAAAGGUUCUAUCCUCUCUAUAGCACGAGCGGGGUUUGUGUUUAGAUGUUGGACCAUAUAAACAAGUUGUUUAUCAGAGUAGGACUAGUAUUUAAGGACUAGAAGUAACCCAGGGAUAAAACGAUAAUUUAAUUCAGUUGGUGUUACGAGCACUUGUGAAUGACUAACUUACUGUUAUUGGUCUAUAUUUGUGAACAUAUAAAUAUAUCUACAGUGAUAAGAGUUCAUUUAUGAGUCUUUAGUGGAGUGUACACAUAGUUAACGAAUAUUGAUUGAUAAAGUUAAUGAGUUUAGCCAAUUAAUUUCAUAUCAUUGUAAUUUCUUAUAUGUAGGCUAUUAGGUCCCAUUCCUAGCUCGUAAAGGGUAAUGAGAUUUAUUUGUAUUAGUUUAAUUUAAAAUGUUCAAAUUUACUUUGAAAAUUAAUACAAUGUUGGGCGAUACAUUAUAAUAUAAAGUUUAUAUUUUAAUUGAACUUUAUUAUAUAAAUUUAAUUUUGGAUAUGACUCAAAAUUAACUUAUGAGAGAUAAAAUAAUUGAAUGAGUUCAAAUAUUAAUUUAAUGUGAAUUAGGUUCAUAUUAAAACUAUAUGUUAAAAUUUAAUAUGUAUGUGAUACACAUUAGAACUAUAAAAUUUAUAUUUGAAUAUGAUUCAAAUUUAGAUUAAAUUAAAUAUAAAAUAUUUAAUUUAGCAAUUAAUUAAUUAGAGAAUUAAUUAAUAGUAUAGUUUAAUUUUAUUAAAUUAAAUUAAAAUUAUAGUUUAUGUGAGUGAUAUUUCAUUUAAAUAUGAAUUAAAUGAAAUAUUAAUUAAAUAUGAUUUAGAUGAAAUAUUAAUUAAAUAUGAUUUAGAUGAAAUAUUAAUUAAAUAUGAUUUAGAUGAAAUAUUAAUCAAAUAUGAUUUAAAUAAAAUAUUAAUCAAAUAUGAUUUAAUCAAUUAUUUAUUUAUUUAUUUUAUUUUAUUUGACCACGUUCCUGUUUUUCUCUCCAACUUCCCUCUUCUUCAUGGAGUUAUACUUACGGCAGAAUCAAGAUUUUCAUUGAUUUGCCUUUGUUCUGUGUAUUCUCUCUUUGAAGAAUUCUCUUUGAAAAAUUUCUCAUUCCAAUUUUGGUUCCCACCAACUAAAAUCCCGCUUAGAAAAUAGGGAGGUUUUGGUCACUGGCAGAUCCAAAGUCGUCUAGGAAAGUAUGUUUCUCUUUUCUGUAUUUAUGCUCUGUAUUUUUUUUUUAUAAAGCAUGCUUAGCCAUGGAAUUUAAUUGUUUUUCAAUGUAUUUGGUAUUUUUAAGAUUCCAUUUAAAUUGAGUUUAAGGUCUCUAUAAAUCUUUCACUACUAGGACUUUUAUCCCUUCAUAUAGGAAAUGCAUCGUAUAGGGUGGCGUUGUCCGCAUGGAUGAAAAUCCAUCCAAUAGUUCAUGUGAGCAACUUAAAACCCUACCAUCAAUACCUCAAUGACAAGCAGUACGAUGACGGUGUAUGACCAUCUUUCGACCUGAAGCAGAAAGAAGAUAAACAAGUUGAAAAGAUCCUUCCUGAAAGAGUAAGGAAAGGUAGAAGGCCCACACAAGGAGAAUCCAUGAAUUCCUAGUCAAGUGGAAGAACCUCCCCAUGGAAGAAACAAGUUGGGAACGUGUCGAAGACCUUGAAGCGUGAAAGUAGAAGAUCGAAGAAUUUCAGCUUCGCUUGUCGAAAGGGAUGUCGACUAUUUAAGUGAGGGAGAAUGUCACGAGCAUGCUUGUCCAAGGCGUUGUUUGCCUAUGAUGGCAUGCUCGAACAUCCUCAAACCACCUUAUCUUUAUGUAUUAUACUUUAGUUUAGUGUCAUUUGCUUUCCUUUUGUUGUCGUCGACCAUGGGAGACAUACUAGUUGAAUUCUCGACCAAGUCUUGUUGUAGUCUUUGCAUUCUAAGCUUUCUUUGCAAUUGACCGUCUUCAAUAUUUUCUUUAAUGAUAUUUUCAAUGUAUUUCUUUCUCUAUCACGUUUUAUAAAACCAAUUUCUCUCAAAACGUGAAGGGAGGCUACAUUGUACCGCAAAUUUGUCUGUGAGUUUCAGAUUUCAUACCGCUGUCUUGUUCACUGAGCUAGAACAAGUGCCACACAAUCGCCAGUCAUGUGAUUGAAAAGUUGUGAUUGUGACAAGUAACUUUUAAUAUAGUAAGGAUAUUUUCUGACGUGGUUUCUUCUAGUUUCCAACAACCUUCCUCUCUCUCUUUUUCUUAUUGAGUUUGAAACAAUGUUUCCCCCAAGUCUCUUCUUUCUUUUUAAAAAAAUUAUUGUUUAGUUAAAGUAUUAUUUUAUUGGCAGGUCUUUAUAGAAAGAAUAUAAGGUAGGUGCAGUCACCAUGCAUUAAACUCAUGACUCCUUAUUAGCUCUUUGGGUUCUUUUAUUCUUAUGUUCUGUUAAUAUGGAAGGUUCAAAAUGGUUUUCAAAGUCAAAGCUAUCCCUUAUUAUUGAGGGCUUUCACCACCUGGAUACUCACCUACUCAGUCGCAAGGAUCAAAGAAUUUGAUUGACAAAGAAUAUUGCGAGGCUCAAAGAUUCUUAAUCAAUUGAUUCGACCACUUUUCUGGAGGGGUCCUCCGGACUAUUCAACCUAUUAGUUUGACGUCUGAACUUUUUUUAUUGCUUCCACUUUCUGGGAGUAUGAAAGAGAAGAGAAGAAGCAGCAGGGAGGGGAGGAAGAAAAGAAAGCCUAAAGAACAGACAUUCAGUUCCAUCAAUUCCAAGCCUAUCCUAACCGCUCCGACGGAGCUUUCGCAAAUUCUUUGCGCCUAACCUUUGCGGUGAGUCCUUCGGACCAGCUGACUAUUCGCUAUUCUAAAACCGGGGAGCCGAGCACUCUCAAAUAUAGCUUAAAGGAAGAUCAACUACUAGUAUGAUUGUAAAUGGGUUAGUUGGGUUGGGGAGAUCUCUUAAUUUUUACCAACUUGAAUUUUUGGUUGGUCAAAAUAUAUUGACAACCCAAAUAAAAAAGUAUGGAUGCUAAUUGAAAUCAAAGAUUCCACAAAUGAAAAUUAUUCAGGGAUCAGUGAAUUAAUGAAGUUAAUUAAUUAAUUUUAGAAAUCCAUAUCAGAAUACAGUACUAAGAACCAUAUAUACUCAUAUAUAUAUAUGGUGAUGCUUCUAUCAACAUCCCUCUCUGGAUUCUUCAAGAAAGGGUACUUCUUCAUCAUACUUGAACGUCGUUUAUGGGCACUUUACGACAUUCAAGAUCCAUAUUCCAAUGGUCCCGUUUUAGUUGAAUAAGCUUCUCCAUUGAGUAGCUUGAAGACAAAAGAUGAAAAGGGAAAUUUAGAUCAAAUCAAUCACCUUAAGCUCUUGGGUAGAAAGUCGAGACUUUUAGAAGAAGUGGCCAUUCCGAACUUUGAGCACUACCAGGUUCUUCACUCUUUCAAUAGCUUUUGAAUCAAUUUCCAGCUCCAUAGGUUGAGGAAAAUUUAGUUUUGUGGCUUUAACUACUCUUGCUUCCUACAAAUUAUAUAUAUAAAAAAAAAAAACAGACAAACAUUUCAAGUCAUUCAAAAAUAAUAAAGUUGUUCUUAUAAUUAAUAUACAUAUUCAAAGUUUGUGUGCAGAUAGUUGUUACGUUGUUGCCAUUUAGGACAUCCAUACCAUCCUCUUCAACCAACAAUCUUUUUUCUUCAUCAGAUUUGAAAGUGUUUGAAAGAGCAAUUGUCAUAUCCAUUUGUUGUAUUAAGUCAUGCAUUUCAACCUUAUUCGAUUUUUCUUUAAUAGUAUGAAGUGAUAGAUUCACGAGUUUUGACGUAAUUCCCUUUUCCAAACAUGAACAAUAACAUUCCUCCAACAUCGUUUUAACCAUGGCGUUAUAUCCUCUCUUGUCGUAUAAAGCUGAAACAAGAAAUAUCUUUUACAUCAUAUUCAAGUCCAUCAUAACUUAUUUGAAGAAGAAGUUGAAUAUCUUUGCCAAGGUAGGAGUUUUUGUAUUCAUCCAAUAUACGUUGAAACUUGGGUAUAUCAGUAGCAUAAAGGAACCUACACUUCUAAGAUCUAGGGAAAGACCUUUACAAAAUAAUGUACAAGAUAUCUCUUGAAAGGUCUAAAUUAAUAAUCACUCGAUGGAAUACUAAUUAUUUUGAAAGCAUGCCAACUAAAAAGCUCAAGAGUUUCAACAUAAUCUAAACCAUGCACGAACACUUUUUGCAAUAUAUCAAACCCAUGAAUAGCAAGUAAAUGUUUGUUUCUUAUUGUCACCGAUGACCAUACUUCCAAGUCUAAACCAGUCAUGUCCUCCUGCCAAUGCCUUCAUCAAAAACCAAAAGAAUCUUCUUUGAGCAUAGUCCACGCCUUAGGAUGUUAAUUCCUCUAUGAAGAUUGCUAACUUUGAUGAAAUAUUUCAUCCAUUAAAAUCUCACAAAUAAUUAGCUUCUUCUGUAGUUGAACAAGGCCCCAUAUUGAUUUGAAGCUUCCCUAAUAUUUGCCCAAAAGCAGAAACCUUCGAAGUCAUUAGCAAUACUAUUGUAUAAAGCUUUUUUUUGCUAAAGUUAGUCCUUACACAGUUUAUUGCUGAUUUUUCAAAAACAAAAAACAAUAUUAUCUAUUAACAUUUUAGAUUUUACUAAAAAUUUUGGGAAAAUUUUCAUAUAUUAUAUUUUCUUGCAUUAAAAUUAAUAAUAUAACUUUCAGGGAUUAAAUUUAAUAUUAUUGAAAAUAAAUUAUUAAAGUUAAGCAUUUUAAAUUAUAUGUAUUAAAAUUCAACAAACUUCCACAAGUAUUUUCUCAGUAAAAAAAAAACUUGCAAAAGAAGAAGAUCACGGCAAGGAUGACUUGGAAAGUUUUAAAAUUAAAAAAGAAAAAGGAGUAUGGUUCUUCAAAAAGAAGUCAAUAAAUGUGAUAUUUUUAUCUUAGAAAAAUUCCUAAAGUUAUAUGUGAGAUGUAAAAUCAAAGAAAGAAAAGAAACUUAAAUUAAAUCCAAAACCAAACAACAAUAUUAUCUAUAAGAAGGGAGUGGGGAGACAUAGCAUAACUAAGGGGAAUAAUUCCACAUUGAUCCAAGAAAUCUAAGACUUACUUAAAAUCAAUAUUUGUCUAUUAGUUUUUAAAAAUUAAGCAUACAAAAACAUAUUUCUUUCAACCAUACAUUUCUACUAUUUGUUGUCUACUUUUAUUUCAAUUAUUUUAAAAAACUAGGCAAACCUUUAAAAAUUGAACUUAGAAAAGUAGUUUUUAAAAUCUUUUUUCUUACCAUUGGGUUAUUUGUUCAAGUGUUUUUAUAUCAUAGUUUAAAACCAUAAUUGAAAAAAAGAAGCUCAAAACGAAAUUCUUAUGGAAUGGAACUCAAAUAUUAGUUCAUCUUCUGUCCUUCAAUAACAUGCUCUCUUCCGAUAACAUAUAUAUUUAUAAAAAUAAAAACUAGAAGUCCAAAAGAGUAAUUAGAGUCCCUCUCUAGGUUUGCAUAUUCUAACUUCAACUUUGGCAAAUUCUUCUCCAAAUUAUUCUUCUAUGAUCACGUCAAUGAAUACCACACAUUUUAAUACUUACUUUACAGUACCUCAAAUAACACUGUAAUUACAUCCAAAAUACUUCUUUAGGAAGUAAUCCUAAAAAAUGGUCGACUUAGAUCAACCUUCGUUGACUUGUUCAUAAUAUCAUCACCAUAUGGGUUGAAAAGUAUACAAGGAUCAAGUACUACCAUCCAUAUAUAGUCACCUGGUUAUCUUUCUUCAUAAAUCAUACUCACAAAAGAUACUUGACACAUGACUCCGUACUUCAAUAUCGUUGAUAAACACUUCAUUCAAGCUUAACAAACGGAUUACGAACCUAUUUGAAAUUUGACACAAGGAGGAAUAAAAGCCUUUCUUUUUCUGACUUACAUAACCAGCUAGAAAAAGAAACGUUAUUGAACUCUUCAUACUCUUAUACCUACACCAAUCUGUAAUAUCACAAUUCGAUAAUGUGAGUUCUUUGAUUCCUCCGUCUUUAUAAUAUUCAUGCACGAUGAGAGUAAAUAACUAAAAGUUAUAUUAAUUAAUGAAGCAGUUAAACUUAAUUAAUUUUUAUAUGAAUAAAAUACAUGAGAGAUGAGGCCAUGAGAAAAAAAUGAUACACACCGCAUUAUAUAUCAUCACAAGCUAGAUAUGAAAUCAUGUAUGUUGUCAAGAAAUCUGGCCAAUGAUUAACAAUAUAAUUUUGUUGAACAAAUUUAAGCUUUGGCAAAUGUUGUCUUACCAACACAAUUCAUUCCUUUUUAAAAAAAUUAUUUUCUAGUUAAAAUAUUAAUUCACCGGUGGAUCUACGUGAAAAGAAUAAGAUGAUAUGUGGUCGUCAUGUAUUGAACUUAUUACUUCCUAGUUAUUAACUUUUUAGGUUUUAUUUACGUUUCCAACUACUACUAGACAACUUAUUUUGGUUAUCAAAUUUAGUUUAUUUCUGAUUUUUCUAAUUAAAAAAAUAUUAUUAUCUAUUAACACUUUAGAUUUUACUAUAAAUUUUGGGAAAAUGUUCAUAUAUUAUAUUUUCUUUCAUUAAAAUUAUUAAUAUUAUUUAACCAAUUUCUAUAUUUUAGAAAAGUUAACUUCCAGAGGUUAAAUUUAAUGUUAUUGGAAAUAUAUGAUUAAGUUUAACCAUUUUAAAUUAAAUUUAUUAAAAUUAAACAAAACUUCAAAGCAUUUUCUUAGUAAAAAAAUGAUAUUUUAAUAAAAAUUAAGAUAUUUUUAGCAAAAAGAAAAUUUAAUUAUUAAAAUGGAAAAUAGAUAAAUGUUUGAAAUUGUGAAAAAUACCCUCAUUCAACUUUAAAGAACUGGACUUUGAGAGAAUCGUUGAAUAAUAACUAAACUAAAUAUCAUAAUUAUUAGCACAGCCACCAAAAAUCAAAUAUAUUGUAUCUAAACAUUCUAAAAACAAAAAUUAAAUAGCAUCCAAAAUUUAACUAAAAUAAAGCAUUUUUUAAUAUAUAUUUUAAUCUAACACUUUAAAAUUAAUAUUAAAAUACAAAAGUCGAGAAUGUGAGGAGCAUCUCUGGCCUCUUAAUAAAUCCACCAUUGGACACAGCUUCUACACCAGAAUUUAGUAAAAAUAAAGCAUUACUUUGUAAUCUAAUGCUUCAAAAUUAAUAUUAAAAUACAAAAGUCGAGAAUGUGAGGGGGACAUGUGUCUCCUUGGCUUCUUAAUAAAUCUGCCCUGAAUCGUAGUAGUCGUAGUAGCGCAGCAAGAGUAACGACAGCGGCAGCAGCAAGUAAUGAUAAUAAUAUUACAGUAACAAAAAUAACAAGAAGAAGAAUAAUAUUAGUAGUAGUAAUCAUAUUAUUAUAAUAACAACAACGACGACAGUAAUAUAUAUAUAAAGUGUUGAGAAAAUAAGGAAGAUUUUGUUUAUUAUAAUCAAUUCAAGAAGUUGUUAGAUAAAAUCUAAUUUGAUAAUAAAUAUAUAAAAUUCAAUAGAGAAAAAUUAGGAAAAGAAUAUGUAGAAAAAUCAGGAAAAGAAUAUGUUCAUUUACAAUUACGUUAUAUUUCUAAUUUUAUUUUCAUUUAGGUUUGAACAAUUAUAAUGUCUAUUAUGAGUCCAUAUAAUAAUACUUAUUUGUUUCUCAAAAAGAUAAAUUUAGUGGUACAACAAUAUAAUAAGAAGAUAAUGAAUAAAAUAUGAUUAAAAAUACAGAAAAGAAAAUUUGAAGAUAAAAUUCAAAUGAUAUAUACUUUUUGUAGAUGAUAAUAUGUACAAAGUAAAAAAUAAAAUCUUUAACAGGAAGCAAAUAUAUUAAUCUGAAUUUAAAAUAAUAAAUCAUUAAUAAAAUACUGUAAAAUCAAAAUAGUAUUUCUAUUCAAAUAUUUAAAAUGUAUAACCAAAUUAUACAUCGCUUCAUUUUAAAUAUUUCUCGAAAAAUUGUUAUAUCUUGAAUUCCUUAAAUCUGAAUUUCAUACCCAACUCUUUUCAUUUACAUUGUAUUUCUAUUCAAAAUUGAUACAAAAUAUAACCAUUAUACUAUAUUAAAGAAAUGAUAUGACUAGAACAGUAAAUAAGUUUACUUUAAAUGCAAUCAACAAAUUAGCAAAAGUAAAAACUUGAACCAGUGAAUAAAUAUGUGGGUAGAAAUAUAACUUUUCUUGAAAUUGUUGUUAUCUAAAAUAAUAAAAAUUGUAAUCAUAAUAAAAGAUAUAUAUAUAUAUAUAUAUAUAUAUAUAUAUAUAUAUAAUAAAACCUAGAAGAAUGCACUAAUUUUACUACUUGUUUAAACUUUAAUUAAUCUAAUGGAUCAUUACUAACUCAUUGAAAACAAUAGAACAUGAUUCAAUCAUUUGAUAAAUCUUUUUACUUUUUCAAUAUAGAGACAAUUGUUAUAGAUAUUAAUCUUUUUUUAAAUAUAAUUGGACAUUUAUCUAUCAAUUUUUAUAAUGUAACCAUCAAUUAACUUUUGAAAUAUUAGAAUCCAAAUAUUUAGGGAAUGGGAGGAAUCUUUUAUCCUAAAGUAUUUACUCCCUUUUUUAACCAAUACAAAAACAAACAAUAUAUUUUCUUUAAUAAAAAUGUAAUAUGUUUUUAUAAUUUGAAGCAAACAUCGAGGAAAACAGAAAAGUUGAAGAUAAUUAGAAGAGAAAUAUGGGGAGAAAAAUGAGGAGAAUAUUUGGUUUGAAUGGAGAAAAAUCUGAAAAAUGUCUAUUUUCCUUCAAAUCAAAUCAAAUUAAUUUUCGAUUAAUAAAAAAAUAUUUUGAUAUUAUCAAACAAAUUAAAGUCAAACACAUGUUUUGAUAAUUUAAACCAAUCAAAAUGUAUUUUUUUAUAUUUUGAAUUAAAUUAAAUCAAAUCAAAUAUAAAAUGGGAACCGAUAAAAUAUAGCAAAAUUUCAUAUUCAAUCUGUUCAUUCAUUGAUAAUUAGAAGUUUAUUGAUAUGAUAAAAUUUAAAAUUUUACUAUAUUUUAUGAAUAUCCAAUUAUAACUAAUUCAAAUUUUAAAAUAGAAAAAAAUUAUGGCAAUGUUAGUCUCAAAUUCGUUAGAUUGCAAAUACAUAUGGAAUGUUUCCUAUUAGAAUAUAUAUAAUGACAAUUUCAUGUACAAAGUAGUCGAAAAUCACAUCUUUUUUUACAUAAAACUUACUAAAUUCAUAUUUUGCCAAAAAAAACAAAAAAACAAAAGAUCAAUCAGCUCCGACCAAAUUUGCCAUUUCCUCCGAUUUCCCUAAUAAAAGAUUAGAAAAUGGGGGUUUUAAAUAAAAUAAGAUCCAAAUGAAAUUGGGCUCAAAUAUGUUUGAAGAUGACUAACAUUAGGCCCAACAAAAUGUAUUGGGAAGCCCAACUCUUAGACCAAAUAAUAACGGGAUAGUUCAAAUUUAGCAAUUAAAUUCAAAAUAAUUGAAUAUAUAACAAUAUUUAUAAAAAAUUUAUAAAUAUAGCAAAAUUUGUCAAAUUCUAUCAAUGAUAUAAGUCUAUCAUCGAUAGAUCAUGUUGUAAAUAUUAGUCUAUCAUCGAUACACCAUACGAAUCUAUCAACGAUACAAGUUUAUCGAUGAUAGUUUUGCUAUAUUUACAUUUUUUUUAAAUGUUACUAUAUCCUUAAUUAUUAUUUCUAAAAUAGUCAUCAAUUAUAAUUAUUCGUAAUAAUAAAACCACACUUAGACUAAGAGAUUAUUCAAACCCAUUUUUCAAUCCCUCAAAUCAAACAAAAAUUAGAUUUGAAAGAAAAAUGUUGUGUGAUUCAUCUGAAGCUAUACUACAUGCAUACUUCACUAUAUAAUCAAAUUAUCUACGUGGAUCACUCGAAUUGUGACAUCUGGUGCCAAAUAUUUUCUUUUAAAUUUAAAAAGAUUUUUAAAUUCUUUUAUUUUAAAACAUAACUUUUAUCUUAAUCUUUUUCUUUUUAAUUAUUAUUAUUAGGAGCAUACCUAAAUAUAGCACAAAUUUAAAUCUAUCACUUAUACUUGAUAGAUUUAGUAAUCAUAGAUCUAUCAUUCAUAAAAUAUUACAUUUUACUAUAUUUUCAAUACUUUUAUCAUUUAAUAUCAUUUUUUUCAUUAUUAAUUAUUAUUAAUUAUUGCAGUUGUUAUUAUUAUAUUUUAAUUCAAUUUAUCAAUAUAAAUCUCAUUCUCCCUUUUCUUGUAAUAUAUCUCUCAUUUUUUAAUUGAAAGAUUAUUUGAUUGUUUACAUUCACAUGUCUACACUUUUGCGAUUCUAUUUUUUGCGAAUUUCAAAUUUCAACAUUUCAAUUGGGAUUUUGUAUCAAGGUUUACACAUAGUUUUGAGUUGAGUAUAUAGUAUUUAAUUCAGAACCAAAAAGAAAAUUUUGUGCGGUUUUUUAAUCCAAUCUCAAAAAAAAAAAAAAGAAAAUCGCAUCAAUUUGAAAAAAAUAUCAUAAUAGAUCUAAAUUUACCAAAAUAUAAGUUAUAAUGUGAGUUUUGAACGAAAAUUGGUCUCUCUUCUCUUUUGAUAGAGAAUUAUUUGUGUACCAAGAUAUAUUAUUCUAUAUAAAAAAAUUGGAUGCUUAUUAAUUUGUGUUUAAUUUGGACUGAUUGUGCUAUAAUAUUAUUAAUUUGAUUCAAUUUGGUUUGAAAGUUGGUUUACCAUAUUGUUAUGUUUAAUUUGUUUAGAAAAAGAAAAUGAUUUUCCAAGGAAUUCUAAUAUUCCUUACAUCAUCUCAAUAUGGUAGCCAAGAAGAAUCCAUGCAAUUUAAAAUAUCAAACUGCCAAUAAGAUUUUUCUUUCUUUUGUAUUUAAAUUAUGUUUGUCCCUUUGCAUAGGGAUUUCUUUUAUUUUGUGGUCGCAUACCAAACCAUAUUUGAUUCUUGCUUCUUUUUCUAUAUACUCAUACUCAUAUUCCUUUCAAAUAUUUUUAGUCAUGAUAAGAAUGUCUUGAAAUACGACAAAACUGCUUGUCUCUAAAGUUUAUUAUUUUAAUUAAUGGACAAAAUUUUAAUAAAAACUUGUAUAUAAAUGUAUCACUUUCAUUUUGCAAUAGGUUAAGUUAUACUCAAUAUCAUACCCUUAAUCAUUAUUAUAAUAUAUUAUCACAUUCAUCAAAUAUUGAUAUCUUUUAAUUAUUAAUUUGUUCUAACCAUUUGAUUGUUUACGUUCUUUCUUAUAUAAUUUGUUUUCGAGUCAAAAUGACAUAUUGUAGAUAGUUAAAAAUUCAAAUCUAUCUUAAAAUGAGUGUAAUUCAAUAUGCAUGUAGUUUGAAACUUUUCCACGUCUGUAGAACUAAAAAAAACAAUUUGUUUUGUUGUAAAAUAAAGAACAAUAGGAACGAUUGAUAUAUAUAUAUAUAUAUAUAUAUAUAUAUGUAUUUGAAGAGUUUCUUUUCAUUUUUUACAUUUCCCUUGUAUAUGUAUUUUACAUAUUCAUUUUAUUUUCACUGGAUGUUUUAAGUUAAUUUAGUAAUAUAAUAUUUUGAUCCUAAAAAAAUUUAACACACCAUCAAACAAAACAACUAAAAGGUAAAAUUUAUUACACUUAAUUUUUCUAUAAGAUAUAAAUAUUUGGUCAAAUGUUCUAUUUUGACUAUUUUUCUUUAGAAAAAUUACUAUACUACAGUUUAUUUCAUUUUUGAAGAAACUUCAAACAAGUAAAUGUUAGUUAUUAUUAAAUUACAAAUUUAGUUUCUAAAAGUUACUUUUUAUUUUUCUCUUUUAUUUGUAGUCUUUUCAAUUGAUUUUUUUUAAUUCACUAUGUUUUCCUAUCACUCGAUCAUCCUAUUUUAAAAGAACGAGAAUACUUCUGUUUUAAUUUUAUUUUUGUAAUAUUUUAUAAAAGACGAAGAACUCUACAAAAAAUUAAACUUCCCUUCUUAAAAAACGAGAUCUAUAAAUCAAUAAAUUUGAAAGAUGCUAUAUUUAAUUUAUUCUAUUAUAAUAAAUUUUUAAACAAUUAUUUCUCAUGGUAAGGGAUGGUUUUUUUUUUUUUUUUUUUAAGAUUUAUCUAGUAAGUUUUUUUUUUUAAAAAUGAAUAAUUCAAAUAUAUUGUAAUGUGCAACAUUUGAAAGUCAAAAGCAGAAAGUUGAAAAUGGAUCCAUGAUUGGAGAGACCAAAACUAUGGUGUUAACAAAUUAUAAAUUAGAGAAUGAAAAUGUUGGGAUAAGAUUGAUUAAAUUAAAAUACUAAAAAAGAAGUUUAUAAAAAUGAUAAUAAUAUAAUGAGGGAUUGAAAGUCAUGAGUCUUAAUUUGUUAGGGGCAUUAGGGUCAUCUCCUUUGACCUUAGAAGACAAAGUGUUCUACAAACUCUUUUCUUCUUCCACUAAAAAAAGGAUGCCAAAAGAAAUUUUUGUGGUUCACUUUAAUUCCUCAUAUAAAAAUGGAAUUUAAGUGUUAGAAUAGGAAAGAAAUAAGUUUUAAUACAACAUUUUGGUCCUUUUAUUUUUUGUAUUUUUGUUCAUAUAUAUUUUAACUUCAUUCACUUUUGUCUCUUCCAAUUUAUACUUCAUUUAUUUUGUUUUAUUUAUCCAAACCAAAAUAGUACAUUUACUAAAAUUAUAAAAUCCAAUAAAUAUAUAGAUAUAUCUAUAAACAUAUGUGUAUACACAAUAUAUAUAUAGAUAUAAAUGUACAUAUAUACACAUUUAGGAUAAGAUUUGAAUUUAACCACUCCCUACUUAUAUUUAAUAUUAAAAUAGAUUUAUUUGAUUUUAAAAAUCUAAAGUAUAAGACUCUUAGAUUGUCCCAAAAUGAAGAUAUCUCUCUCCUUAGGUAUCACAUGGACAAAAGAUCCUAUAUGUACUCAAAUAUUAUUUCAAUUCUCAUCCAAUCUCUUAAAACGGUUGCUUUUAAAUAUAACAAAAUAAAUUAAAAUAUUUAUAAAUACAGUAGAAUAUCAUUUAUAGAUGAUGUUGAUAAACACGAAUAGAUAUUAGAAUCAAUCGCUAUUUAGUACUUAUAGACCAUAAAAUUUUAUUACUUUUGUUAAUAUUUUCACAUCAUAUUUAAAACAAAUUCUCUUUUAUAGCAUUUAGAUAUAUAUUUUCGUCAAUGUAUAUAAAUAUAUUAACAUAUUAUUUCUUUUAAUAUUUAAUGUAUCGAAGAAGAAGAUAGGCAAAUAUUUUGUUCAAUACAAUUGGUUGAAUGUUUCAAAAAAAAAAAAAAAACCAAUCUUAGGAAUCUCACAUCCAUCAAAGUGGAUUGUAUCCUUCAGUGUGUUACUACUGGGGACGAUGACAAUUUAAUUUUAACAUGGGAGAGUGUUACAAUUAUAUUUGAAGGAAGUAGAUUAUGACCCCAUUAAUUAGCUACUACAUACAAUGUAGCAUGCAAGUAUUGAUAUAUCAAACAAAGAUAGAGGAUCGAGAGAAGUGUGGUGAUGCAACUAUGAAAAAAAUAUGGUUCCUUGUAAGAGUUCGUAUGAGCUACCUAUCAAACUAUACAAAACCUAAUUAUAAGUUGUAUUGACGGGACGAUUGACGUGUAGGUUCUAUAAGAAUUUAAAACAAAAAUUACGUUUGCUUGUUUCCUUUUUUUUUUUUUUCGUUUAUAAAAAAUCAACAUAAUUUUGAAACUUUUGUAAUUUUUCAAUGAAAAAAAUAUAAUAUUUUACAAUACAUUUUUCAUCUAAUCUAUAUAACUAUUAAAUUAAAUCUUUAUUUGUAACUUUUUUUGUUAAUAAAAAAAUACCAAAUAAAAAGAAAAUAAGAAAAAUGAUUGUAAAGGAUAAAAUUUCUAAAAAUAUUUAAAAAAAAAAAACAAUAAAAUUUUAGGUUAAUAAUUUCCACAAAACUGAUAAUUAUAAUUGAUGAAUAUAAAAUUAAUCUUUCAUUAUAAAUUAUUUAAACUAUUUUUUUUCUAAAAUAAAAUCUUCAAUGACGAAACCCAAUUAUAUGUGAUUAUAUACCUCAUUUAUAUAAAAUUCUAUGCCUUAAUAGAUUUGGAUUGCCUUACCAGGCAAAAUGUAAACUAAUACAUCUAUUGAGAUGAAAGCCAAAGGUCAGGCUCUCCGGCCGAGGUAUCGAACUAAAAUAAGAUCUCAGAUUGAUAUCUUGAUAAAGAAUAUUUCAUGAAUGAGUGAAUCAUCUUUUUACUCGAGGUGUAAAGAAUAUUGCGAGUUCAAGAUUAGUUGACAAGAUUGGAAGGAUAAAAUGAAAGGAGCUCGGUUUGUUUGCGCCUUGAUUUUGUGAGGAGGUCCACAUUGUUAAAAGAAAGUCUAUCCCAUAGAUUGACACCUAUUUUUUGGAAUAAGACUCGUCAAGAGCUAUAUACUCCUCCUACGGUCCUUUGAACUAUGAAAACUAUUUCUUUGGUAGUCCAUUUUAACGGCUAUUUUUUGGAAUUCAUACAAAUUCUUUCUCAAUAUUCUUUCUCUCCACAAUAUUCUUUGCGCCUCCAGAAAAGUGGUCGUUUUUGGAUGAAGUACCGAAAAGUUUUUCGCAAAAUUAGAGCAACGAUUCUUAUUAACAAAUCAAAUAUGUUUAAUAUUUACUAAUAAUUGUAAGAGGAUAUAUUUUCAAAAGUUUUAAUAUUUAUUGACAAAGAUAAGAAGUUUGAUUUGAUUGUUAAGUUGGUUAAUAUUUAUUAAUAAAUAUAUGGUUGAUAUUUAGAUUUGGUUGUUACUAUAUAUAUUUUCAGAAGUUAGUUAAUAUUUAUUAAUAAAUAUGUUAGAAGUUCUUAGUCUGUGUAUCUUAUUUUGUUUGGCUCUCUCGACCGUGACAAAAAGAGAAUGUUGAAAGGAAGGUUUUCAAAAAUAAUAUUCUUUGACAAAGUGAGAUGUUAUUUUGUUUCCUUUUCUACUAUUCUUUCUCUGUCUAUGAAGUUUCCGUGUUGGUAUGACCUUCUAUGUAUGGUUGUCUUGUGCUUCUUGUGAGAUGUGUCGAAAUUAUGAGAAGUAGGUUUUGACUGCUGCAACUAUCUACGAAAAAAGAUGGUGAAUAGUCUUGAUCGAAGUUCUGUUGAUCGAGAUAUUUUGUUGGACCAACAACUUGUAAGUUAUCUUUUGAUAACAUGAUUAGUUGCUGGUUUUCUUUAAUGUUGGAGGAUAAAUCUUCCUUAUCAGACAGAUUACAAAAACACUAGUUGCAUUUUGAUGAAGGAAGAUCUUCCUUAUCAGACCGAUAGAAACACUAGUUGCAUUCUGAUGAAGGAAGAUUUUCAAGGGAGACUCUUCUGAUUAACACCUUAAUCUAAUGAUAAGUGAGUUGCAUGAUUAAGGGGAGGAUUUUGUUUGGCAAAAUCUAACUUUGAAUUGUAGUGAUAAACUGAUUUGUAUGACCGUUAGUAUUGAGUGAACUAGUGAAUUUGAAUCUUUUUACUAAAAUAAUAAUAUGUUGAUUAUGAUUUCUUAUUAUCAAAGUAAUAAGAUCUCUGAUCAAGUGUCAAGGAUCUCAGAUGUAGACGCUGUGUCAUCGAACUAGGUCAACAAUGUUUUGUGUCUCUGUUGUCUUUACUUAAUGUUCUCAUUAUUGUUUCCUUUGCAGUUAACACUAUCAUCCACUGGAGUUUGUUUAUUGUCAUUAUCCCCUUGUUGUUUUUUCAAAAUAUAAGAAGUUGGCUUUGAUUGUUUUUUGGUCUUGACCUAAAAUACAGCUAUGGGCUUUGUGAGUGAUAAAUUUAUUUAUGUGGAAGACAGAAGUGGGUGUGUACGAUGAACAAACUUUGUAUUGAAAAAGUCUUUUACGAGUACUCAAUUUGUGUGGUUUGUGUUAUUGAACACCUUGGUUACUAAUAUUGUGAGACAUUUGGUUGAGAAGAUUUGUGUAAGAUAGGGGGAAGUCUAACAUUGAAGGUUAUUUUGACGAGUCUCUCAAAGGAACAGUCUGAACAUUGAGACACAAGGGUGAAGAAUGCAACAUAUGAUGUACGAGGAGCCUAGAUCAAAUCUCUUGUUCACACAUGAAAUGGUUUAGGUGGAUUUAAACAUUUAUCUUGUAAAAGUCGCACAUGUAAUUCAAGAUAGUUGAUUCUCAAUAAGUAAUGUACUUGUGAUCCUUUUGAAUCUUAAUAAAAAUGAUCUUUUCAAUCGACCUAAAGACCCCAUAUGUAGGUGUUCUAUUCUGUCUUUUUGUACGGUUUAGUUUAAUUAUUAGCUUGAGACUUAAUUUUAAGUCAUUAAGUUAAUCGUGAUUUUUUUUCAAUCUAAAUUAUGUACACAAAUUUUUUAAUUGCAAAGUGAACUUGAAAAUUCUCAACUUUAAUUCAACCUAAUAUUUGUAAUUUAAGUCAUUAUUAGUUUACUAAAACUAAUUCAUUUUUGCUCUGUUCCUUUUUAUUUUUGUUAAUUGAAUUAUCCUGGAUUUCAACUUUAUUUUUUUUUAGUUUGCCGUCCUAAUAAGUAGAAGAAAAACAUUAAAUCAAUUUGAUUCAAAGUUAUUAUUAUACUCUACUUGUCUUAGUUCAAGUGGGACUUUUUUUAAAAAAAUUUAGCUAGAAGGGACGUUUUAGUUUUUUCAAGAAAAAAGAAUAGAAUGAAUAUUUCAAAGAUACAUUUAUAUAAAUGUGACAUUUUAAAGUCAAAAGGAGAACAUUGAAAAAUUGUCCAUAAUUAAUUAAUUGAAAGACCAAAUCUAAUUUUCCAAAUUAUAAAGAGAAUGAAAAAGUUAGAAUUGGAUGAGUUAAUAAUUAAUAUACUUAGAAUAAGUCUAUGUGAAUUGAUAUAAUUUUAAUAAUAAUGUGUAUUUAUUUGGGGGCAGAAGUGACAAUAUGCCCACUUGAGUUCAUUCCUUUGACCUAAAUUUUCUCUUUUCUUUUUAGAACAAAAGGCUUUUAUAAACUCUUUUCUUCUUCCUCUCAUAAGGAUGAUUAAAUUUUUGGGAUAUAUCUUAAUUUCCUGUUAAUUAUUUUUAAAAAUAAAAAAUAAAAAAAUUCUUACAUUUUUAUUACAAAUAAAGGUGGAAGUUUGAACUACGAUCCUCCUAUUUUUAACAUUCAUGUGUUAAUUGGGCUACUUAACUCCAACAAGACUUUGUUCCUUUAAAUUAUUAAAAAAGAACGUUAAAGAGAGAAAAUUUAUUUAGAUAUGUGUUUGACGGCAUAUUAAAAUGUUAGAUUCUAGUUUUAAAAAAUAUUUGAAUGUGUUUGAGACUAUAUAUUAAUAAAUAUAAAAAUAGUCUUGCUUAUUCACUAAAAUUUAGCUGAUUACAAUAAGUUAUUAUUAAUUUAUUUAUGAAUACAAUUUAAUUAUAUUUAAAUAAAUUGUUUAAACUGUAAUUUUAAUCUCUAUUGUUUGGAGAAAGUUAGAGUUUAGCCAAUAGUUUGAUAAUAUAUAACUAUAUGAUUUGGACAACUUUCAUAAAUAGUUGUUACGAGCAAGACUAUUUUCUAUGAUUUUAUUAAACAAAAAGGACUAAAUUAUAGUUAUAAACCAUAUAGAAACUAAAUCCUAUCCUUUUAAAAUCAUGACCAAAUUUAUAAUUUAACCUAAAAACUUAUAUAAUUAUUGUUUUACAUUAUUAUAAACUAUACAAGGGAAUUUAUGAAAAGAGAAUUGCAAAAUGGAUAAACUAUUUACCCUUUGACAAAAGGAAGAACAAUCAAUUUUUGUUCUUUAGUGGUUUUAAGGUAAAUAGUUUGUAUUUUUUUUUAUUAUUCUUGAAAAUUCCAGGAUUUUUUUUAAAAAUAAUGUGUUUUGUGAAAGUAUAUACGUAUUUAAUAUAAUUCUAUUUUUUAAAUGUAAAUUUCAAAUUCUGAGCACAAUAAAAACAUAUAUAAAAAUGAUUUUUAGAAUUUGCCAUAUUCCGCUGAAAUAAAUGUGUUUGUAAAAUAGAAUCUAAACUCUCUAUCAAAUAUGCUUUAAUAUUUUUCACUUGAAAUUAUUAUUUAGAGACCAGUUAAUAAUAUAUAAAUGCUUAUUGGAGGAAAGAAAUAACCUCCAAGAUGUAUAAAUCUAAAUCAGAACUAUGUUUAUGUCAACUAUACUUAUGAGCUCAUUCAAACCAUAAGCUAAAAUGGUUGAGUUACACUCUUGAACUAAUAUAUAUAUAUAUAUAUAUUAUAUAUAUAUUAUAUAUAUAUAUAUAUAUAUAUUAUAUAUAUAUAUAUAUAUAUAUAUAUUAAUUCUGAUUUUAUCCGUAUAUUUAAAUUUAAAGACUUUUUUUAAAAAAUAACAAAAACAAAGAAAUAUUAAAUAAUUUUAAAAAUGGAAAAAACCCACAUGUUCACAAUAAAAAAAAUAAAAAAAAAUGUCCUCCAUCAAUAUCCAUUAAUUUGGCACUUGCAUGUAUAAUAUAUUUGGUACUAAAUCGUUUAGAUUUGGUUACAUGAUUGUUUAGAUUUGAUUACACGGUGGUUUAGAUUUGGCUACCAAAUCUACCUAAACGAUUUUUUUUCAAGAUUCUUUGUACACGUUUAGAUUUUGCUAAACGAUUUCUUUUCAAGAUUUUUUGGUACAUAAUCGUUUAGAUUUUACAAUUUUUUGUUAUUUAGAGUUGAUCGUUCAUAAAUCUAAACAAUUUUUUUUCAAGAUUUUUCGGUACAGUAUCGUUUGAGUUUAGAUUUAGCUAUCCAAAUCUAAACGACGAUCGUGUAUCAAUAUCUCAACGAUUUUUAAAGAUAUUUUAUAUUUGGUAACGAUCUUGAACCAAAUAACAGUUUGAAAAAAAAUAAAAGAAAAAGAAGAGAAAAAACUAUGAAAAUGGAAAAAAUUGCCCGCGGGCCAAAAGAAAAAAAUCCCAUGACUUUUCUGGAGCAACAACUCCGGCCGAAAAAGACCUGGGAAAGGGAUAAAUCCAAAAUAAAAGGCAAGCCUAUAGAAAAGGAUGCGCCGGGAAUAAUGUUUAAAAGGAUAUUUUACGAAGAAACGAUAGAAAAAGGAAGAACAAACCUAAUAUAUCUAAAAAAUAUUCGGCUUCAUGAAUUCUUUUAUUUUGUUACACAAAUCGUAAACAUGAGUAUUUUAUUAUAUUUAUGAAAAUUUUCCAAACUUAAAUUUAAUAAUUAUAUAAAUUAAAAUUUUAAUAAAUGUAGAGGAUUUAAACUUUCUAUAAGUGUGCUUUAAGAUUGUUGAUGCAUCACUUUCACACAUUUAGAGGAUUUAUUCAAUUUAUUGAGAAACAUGAAAAUCAAAUAGUAACCAUUUUUCAUGAAAUUUGGCCAUUUUUCUUUUACUUAUUUAGAAGGAAUUGAACAAUUUUCUUUUCUACUUUAUUGAGAAUUUUGGAGGACCUAGUUUUAUUCAUAAAUCCUUAAUCCUAAACAAAAUUAAGUGAAAUUAAAAUACCUUCACAUCACUACUAAAAUUGUCAAAAUUGAUUUAAUUAUAAAACUAUAGAACUUAAAAGUCAUGCAAAAUUAAUUUGAAAGACGAUAAUAAUUCAUAGUUUAAAAAAGAAACAUUUGUAAUAUGUGUCUUGAUAAUCGACUAGCUUUACAUAUUAUUGAUCUUUUCCUUUUUCUCUAAUUAUAACUUGACGACGGGACUAACCAUAGUGAACUUAAGUCAACAUAAUUGAUAUUCUAUAUGAAAUUAUUAGUCAUCCUCAAGCUUUCAUUAACUCGUCAGCUUUUGCUUAAAGUGCUACACGUUUAAGUUUAUUAGCUUUCCAAACUAUGCUUAGUUUAAUCCUUAUCGUAGUUCACUAAUUAAGCUCAAUUAGUAAAUUUUUUAGAAAAUUCCUAACUCUCAACCAUGGCUUUAAUUCAGUUUUUUUUUUCUUUUUUCUUUUUAAAUAAAUGGAUGAUAAUAUAAUUAUAAUUAUUGAAAAAUAAUCACAAAAAAUAUUAGUCGUAAUGAUAACUAAUUAGCUAUAUAUAUGAUUUAUUAAUAAAGUAAUAGUUUACCGUUUUUGCGAGCAGAUAAUCUUCUCAUCUGCUUCUUCCUUCCUCAUUCUUUUUCUUCUUCCUUCCCAUACUGAUUUACCAAUAAGUAGUUUUUUAGCACAUAUUUCACGAUACUGAUACACAAUUAUAUCUUUCUAUCAGUUUUUGCUACUGAUAGAUAAUAAUAAUAGACUAAUACCAAUAAGAAGAACUACUAGUGAUAGAUAUUGAUAAUAAUUUAAGAUGUUUUGGUGCUCUACUCUUCUGUGCAAACAGAUUCGUACAACCCCAUCGUUUUUGGGAUAAAAUAGUUGUGUUUCGUCAAUUAGAACUGCACUGAAUAUUGAUCGAAAUACCAACACUCAAAUAGACACUUCUAUGCUCAAUAUAUGAAAACAAAUAGAAAGAAAAUAAAUUUGGUCGAGAGAGAGAGAGGGGUCGUAGAAAGAGAGACGAAAGAGGAUGUUUUUCUUGUCUUCUCAGAAGAGAAAUGGGACAUAUAUAUAUAGUAGAUGGGGAGAGAGGCUCCAACCAAACCGUUAAUUAUUUUUAUGACAAUUAAUGUAACAGUUCAAUGGUAAUGUACCGGUGGAAACGAUUGACGUUACGAUUUGUAAUAAAUUCAAUGGUCAAUUAUGGUUCAUAAUAAACCCAAUUAUUUUUGGAAACAUUUUUAACAUAAAACCGGUUUUGAAAGUUAAAAAUAUAUUUUAGCAGAAAAAUUAUAUUAUUAUAUUAUUAUAUAUUUUAAUUCCUCACCUCGCUACGUCCGAUCGGACGGUGGCACGUGGGAAUAUCGGCAAACCUACUUUUACCUAUCUCCUCUCCUCUUUCAAAACUUGAGUGCCCAUUGGGUUAUUGAGUGUCAAACAAUGUUUUCAAAGUUUCAACAGUUUGAAAAAUCGUGGGUUAUCGGGUGCCACGCACUUGGGUUGGGCCUAAAAAAUCAGCAAGUAAUGGGCCAAUUGUCUUCAACAUGGGAGUAUUCUUGGUAUUUCAAUGGUUUUGUAACUGUGUUGUACCAAAGUAUAAAAUUUUGCUAUAAAUUGUAAAUAUUUUAUUAUAUUUUUCUAUAUUUAAAAAUCUCAUACACACACAUGUGAAAAUUAUUGAAAUAGCAAAACUAGUGAAAAUAUUUACAAAAUAUAUACAAAAUUUUAGAAUCUAUCACUAGUAGGCGCUGAUAGAAAUCUAUCAGUAUCAAUGUCUAUUGAUGAUAGAUUCCAAAAUUUUACUGUAUAUUUGUAAAUAUUGUCAACGCAUGCACAUAAAAAAAUUAAUUUAUAUUUCAAACAAUAAUUAAUUCCCAUACUAAUUCCCCGUGCCAUUUUCCUUAAUCCAAACCACUCCUAAGGAGUACAAUUAUGUGGACGUCCUAGAGUGUUAAAGCUUGAGCAAUGUCUAUGCACUAAAGGAUAAAAUGUUUAUACAACAUUUUACGGAUACCUUAGGAUUUUCAUGUUUAGUUAAGUGGUGGUCGGUUGUUGUCGAAGAUGGUUGCCAACAGUAGUGGUUAGAAGUUGGCCAAGGUGGAAGCCUGUAGAGGUAGCAGCUAGAAGUUAGGGCGAUUGGAGGUGGUUGUUGUUGAAGUGGCAAUAAGGGUAUCGGUGGUGAUAGAGUUGAGUAUACCGUUACUAUGUUAGUGGACUUGAGUAUAAAAUAUUUGUGAUAUACAAAGUUGAACUCCAAAUGCUUAUCAAAUUAGUAUGUCUAAUCAAAAUUUUAAUCAACAAUAUGAACAACAUGAAAUAAAAUGUAACACCCCAAAUUUAAGAGGAGACAUGAAUGAAUCGAAAUCACAUCUGAAUGAGAGGGAUCUCGAGAACAUGAAAGAAAUGUUAAGAAAGACUUGAAAGAAUUAAAGUUACCACGUAUACCAACAAUCUGCACAUUCCUUUUCAGUGGCUUGACCAUAGAAACUCCAAAUUUCAGUGUUCUUAGCUCGAAACAAUUAUAUGUUGUGUGAGUUUUUUAGAAUUUUCAUAAGAUGCAUGUGAGUGAGAACAAAGCAUGCUGAAAAAACUCGUGUUGGUUUGUAGGGACGACUUUCACUCUAAUUAGCUUUCAAAACAAGUAAGGUUGAUGUUGCCAAGUCGCAGAGAAAUGUUGGGGAUCCACGUGACAAUUUAUAAUUUAUAAUUUGGAAAAUAAAGAACCUGCAAGACCAGAAAAUAGCUUUAAUGUUAAAGUCAAAGAUUAGAAUUAUAGAAUAGAAAAAAAAUCAUAGAUUUUAGUUACGUGAUGAUAUAUCUAUAUAGAAAAUUGACCUAGGUUGUUCCCAAACAAUUCAGAGUUGGUUCAAGAUAAUUGGAUAAACUAUCAAGUCUGGAAUGUGCCCAGUUUCAUGUUUAGCUAGGGUCCCCGUCGUUCGAACUAGUUUGGUCCUAAUUUGCCACUAUAGAUUUUUGUCAUGAUUUCUUCCUGACUUUGUCACUCUUUCAUCCAAAAUCACACACUACUGUACUACCAAUGAACUUAAAAUUGAGACUCAAACAUUGUGGACUUAUUUUAAAUUUGAACUUUUAUAAAAGAAUCUAAUAUAUAUAUAUAUAUAUAUAUAUAUAUAUUAACGGUUGUUUUUCAAUAUUGUAAUAUUGAACUAUACUUAGUGCUUACAAAAUAAAAGUAAAUCCACAUGGAAUAUUUAUUUAUUAUUGGUUUAGCUGCACGUUUAUAUGAAUCCUAUCAACAAAUUUUAGGUAGAAUAAUUUAAACAUGUUAAAGAAACAUUGUUUUAGUGCUGUAAUCCCCAUUAUAAAGAAAGGCUCCUAAUCUUUUAACAACAUAGUGAGGGGAAUUGCUUUCUCUGCUCAAACAACUCCAAUGCCAUAAAUUUAAAUAGUUACAAGGAUGUAAUUUUGAUAUAAAUAUGAGAGUAUGGUUGAUAUUUGAGGGUUGUUUUGUUUGUUAUUAUUAUAUUGCAAUGAGGCACAAAUCAUAAUUUUCUAAUUAUAUGAAAAUUGAAUUCACACAAAGCAAAAAGACAAAAUGAGAUGAGUGGAAGACUGAGUCGGAUAUAUUCUGUCACCCACCCAAAUGACUGAUCCACAACACUCUCGACGCGUCAACGAAUCUCAUUCAUCACUCACCCAAAGAAAAGAAGAAAAAAAAGAAAAAAUCAUUUUUUGCUUUCCAAAAUUUCAUCUUCAUUUUGAAUUUCAUUUGGGUUUCAUUUGGAUUUCUUUGCUGUGAAGAAGCAACCGCGAUUUGGGUCGAAUUUGGAUUGCGAAAAGUGGGGCCUUUUCUUCUCUUCCUUUGCCUUUCACUCUGCUUUGACUUUGACUGCUGAAGCCACUACGAAGAAAAGUCGCACCUUCUUCCCCCUUUCUUUCUUUUCUAGUUUUUACCCUCUCCUUCCCUCCUCAUAAAACCCCCCCCAUUUCCUUCCUCCAUUCUUAGCAUCUCAAUUUCACCCUCCUAUCGAGCCCUUCUCGAUUUCUCCCUUCUCACUACCACUAUUUUCAAUCAUUCAACCUGUUUCUUCCUUCAAUUUACUUCCAGGUACUAACAAUCUUUCCAUUCUUCUUUAAUCUAUCCUGUUUUCUGCCUUUUUCUUUCUGCUUUUCACAUCGGUUUUGCUUUAAUCCAUCUGCGGUACUCUUACUUUUUCUGCUUCUGUUGAUGGAUUUCGGAGGUUUGAGUGUGUUUUCCAUGUUUGUUCUUCAUGUGGGUGUCUCUGGAGGUUGUUUAUAAAGUCAUGUCGGUGGAUGAAAUCUUUUUAAAUUAAGAUCGGUUGCGUUUAGGAAUUCAUUUUUGCUUACAAACCCAUAUUUCAAACUUUUGAGUUGUUUUGGUUUCUGAUUUUUGUGGCUUGAAAUUUUGCAGGACCUGGAUAUGUGCAGUGGCUCUAAGAAUAAAGUUGCUUCCACGAAUUCCGCCAUGGAAGCUAGGUUUCUGAAGCUUAGCGAUGGGGGUUUAUUUUCUGAAAAUUCGAUCUUGCUUGAACUUUCAGCCUCUGAUGAUGUAGAAGGGUUCAAGAGAGAGGUUGAAGAAAAGGAUUUGGAUGUUGAUGAGCCAAGCUGCUGGUAUGGAAGAGGAAUUGGGUCAAAGAAGAUGGGUUUUGAAGAAAGAACUCCGUUGAUGAUUGCUGCCAUGUUUGGAAGCUCCAAGGUUGUCAAGUACUUAAUUGAAACAGGCAAGGUUGAUGUCAACAGGGCCUGUGGUUCAGAUUUGACCACCGCCCUUCACUGUGCUACUGCUGGUGGCUCUUGUUCUUCCCUUGAGACCAUCAAGCUCUUGCUCGACGGAUCUGCUGAUGUCGAUUGUGUCGACGCCUACGGGAGAAAACCUGUGGAUUUGAUUGUUUCAGCUUGCAGGAUGGUGUUGAAUUCAGGAAGAAAGGCUAUGGAGAUGUUGUUGAGAGGAGAUGGUAUGGCUGGGGAAGCUGAUCUGAGCCUUUACCUUGAAGAAGACCAGCAGAAGAUCACAGCUUCCCAGUUCUCAAAAGAAGGAAGUGACAAGAAAGAGUAUCCAGUUGAUGUAUCGCUGCCCGACAUCAACAGUGGGAUCUACGGUACUGAUGAUUUCAGGAUGUAUACUUUCAAAGUGAAGCCUUGUUCGAGGGCGUAUUCGCAUGAUUGGACCGAGUGCCCUUUCGUUCACCCUGGUGAGAACGCCAGGCGUAGAGACCCCAGGAAGUACCCAUAUAGUUGCGUUCCAUGCCCUGAAUUCCGCAAGGGGGCUUGUCCAAAGGCAGAUUCCUGUGAGUAUGCACAUGGUGUUUUCGAGUCUUGGCUCCACCCUGCUCAAUACCGAACCCGGCUCUGUAAGGAUGAGACUGGCUGCACAAGGAAAGUUUGCUUCUUUGCUCACAAACCUGAUGAGUUGCGCCCAGUAUAUGCAUCAACAGGCUCAGGCAUGCCUUCACCCCGGUCUCUUUCGAGCAACACUGGAGAUAUGUCUACCAUGAGCCCGUUGGCUCUUGGUUCAUCAUCGUUGUCGUUGCCAACAACCUCAACACCUCCCAUGUCUCCCUUAGCAUCAGUGUCUUCUCCUAAAAAUGGAAACUUGUGGCAGAACAAGAUUAACCUUACCCCUCCUGCUCUGCAGCUCCCUGGUAGUCGGUUAAAGGCUACCUUGAGUGCAAGAGAUUUGGAUUUAGAGAUGGAAUUGCUCGGAUUAGAAAAGAACGUGAGCCAAUUACAACAUCAACAACAGUUGAUUGACGAGAUUAGCCGGCUCUCAUCUCCUUACUGGAAUGCAGAUGUAAGCAGGACUGCAGAGUUGAAGCCAUCGAACCUUGAUGACAUGUUUGGAUCAUUAGAUUCUUCCUUAUUGUCUCAGUUGCAAGGCGCCUCACUAAAAACACCAAUCUCAGCUCAAGUUCAAUCCCCGACUGGGCUGCAGAUGCGCCAAAGCAUGAGCCAACUUCGUGCAAGUUACCCAGCUAAUAACCUAUCAUCCUCACCUGUAAAGAAACCCUCCUCUUUUGGCUUUGACUCAUCAAGUGCAGUGGCAGCUGCAGUGAUGAACUCAAGGUCUGCUGCCUUUGCAAAACGAAGCCAGAGUUUCAUUGAUCGAGCUGCAGUAUCCCGUCUUCCUGGGUUCACCGGAGCUGCAAAUUCUGCAGCUACCAUGUCUUCCCAUCUCUCAGAUUGGAACUCCCCUGAUGGCAAACUAGACUGGGGAAUGAAUGGCACCGAUCUCAACAAACUCAAGAAAUCUGCUUCCUUUGGUAUCCGAAAUGGAACUCCCACGUUUGCUCCACCAGUAGAGGAACCCG